rnacentral:lncRNA from 1 species
CCCUAUAUUAUGCAUAAUAUUUAAGUCGCGCGCAAUGAUCGAAUAUACGAUUUAAUGAUAUUCCCUUUUUAUAAAAGGUUGUUCUUCUCAGUCUCAGAAUCAAGAUUUUGAUUUAACAACGAAAUACUGUGAUUUCAAAUUCUAUUUACUUCUCGAUCUUAGCCGAAAUAAUUGGCAUCGAUCUAUCAAUAAUAAUUGAAUUCUCUUCUCGAACUUAUCAAGUUCUAACUAAUAUUCGUCUAGCCAGAAUAAUUAGCUAAGACAUUUCUCAGUAUAAUUUGACAAUAAACAGGAAUUAUCUGUAUUGUCAAUUCUAACUUCUACAGAUAUGAAUAUCCAACAACAGUUAUUCUACAAAUAUAUAUUUCUGAAUCAAUAAUUCAAUUUGAAUUAUUAAGCAUGCACUAACUGCGAAUAAUCAACAAUAAAUUCCCUGGAUGUGGUGUAAUUAGCAAUAAUUAACCACUAUAAUAAUUGAAUAAAUUUAACUCAAGGUUGAGUUAGGAAACUUGCCUCUUCCGCUGAUUACAGCUACACAAAAUACUUAUCUGCUUUCGAAAGACCUAUAACCAAUAAUAUCGGUCUUACAAUUAGCACAAUUAUUCAUAACACGUAACACUGUAGUUCACAGUCAAACUUCUCCUAGGCACAUUACCACAUAGCCACAUCAGUGUUUAUAACCUAUAUAAACACAUAACAAGUCUAACUAUAUCAGUCUGGUUGGACUUCGGUCCAUUCUCGGUGUUCUGGUCACCCUAUCCGACAAUUAACACAUUGAUUGUCCAUUAAACUUGGUCUCUAAGCUUCAAUAUUAAUUUAGAUAAGUCAAUUAUCAAUUAUAAUAUUUUUCGGAAGCUUUUAAUAAUUAUCAAGCAAUUAUUAUAAUUUAUAAUAAUUUUUCAAACAUCGGAAUCAUUUUUAAAUGAUUUAAUUAUCAAAUAAUCUUAUCAUUAUUAAUAUUUAAUAAUAUUAAAAUAUUAAUAACAUACUUGUCAAAAUAUUAAAGUUAUUAUCAAUAACUUAAAAUAUUUUUAAAUCAACAAUAUUCCACUUAAAUGAUUUUUAAAGUAAUUAAAAUCAUUUUUAAAUCACCACCAUUAAUAUAUAAAUAUUAAUGAAAUUAUCAUCUAAAUAUUAAAAGUCAUUAAUUAUAACUUAAAAUAUUUUUAAACUAUUUUUCUCAUUGUUAAAUGAUUUUUAAAUCAAUAAAAUCAUUUUUAAUUCAUUUAUUUAAUAUCAUAAUUAAAUAAAUCAAAUAUCAUUAAUAUUAAUUUAUUAAUGAAAAUUCUCCAAAAAUAUUGAAAAUUAUAUUUUAUAAUUUAAAAUAUUUUCUAACACUUUAUUCUCAAUUAAAAUGAUUUUUAAAUCAUUUAAAUCAUUUUUAUCUUAUUUAUUUAAUUUAAUAAUCAAAUAAAUCUAAUAUCAUUAAUAUUAAAUUAUUAAUGAAAAUUCUCCAAAAAUAUUAAAAGUUACAUUUUAUAACUCAAAAUAUUUUUAAAUACAUUUUUCUUAUUUAAAAUGAUUUUUCAUAAUAUUAAAUCAUUUUUCUCUAAUUUAUUUAAUACACUAAUUAAAUAAAUUAAAUACCUUUAAUAUUUAAAUAAUUAUAAAUAUUAAAGAAAAAUAUUCCAAUUGGUCAGAAAUUAUUUUUCAUAAUUUAAAAUAAUUUUUAAAAUCAUUUUUGGUAAUUUUUAGAAUUUAUUUCUAAUUUUUAUCAAUUUCCGAAAUUUUCAGAAAAUAAUUUAAUUAAUCUGUCGCUAAAAGCCUUUAGCGACACAAAGCGUCGCUGUUGGUGUUCUUGAGCUCAAGAACACUGACAGCUUCGUGUUUAAGGGUCAUCGUUUGACCGGCUUUAAUUCACAGCAUGAUCAAGUUCUGGGCUAACUAAAAGUUUGUUAUUGUAGUAUAAAUGUAACACUACAAUAUCUAAUCAACAAUUUGGUCAACCAACAUCACAACAAGGAGAUCUAGACCUCCAAAGUUUCUGUCAGGCGGUUUCUGGGCCAAAACAGAUUCGAGUUGCCACUUUCAAGCUUAAUUAUUUCUGCUUUCUGUUCAUUGUUUAUGUGAUAUUAAAGUUCAAACAUAUAGUCGAUGUGUCAAGGAACAAUACCAUACCAACAAAUCAGUCCAAAAAUAAACAAAUCACAACUUAUCAAGCGGUCAACUUAUGUCAGAAAAUUCGUGCAAGUACUUUUCUGGAAUUUCCAGAAAUUCAAAUUAUGGUUGUUUGGCCUACUUUGACUGCUUGUUACACUCGAUCUAUUGAUCAAAUAUAUGAUAUAAAGCCAUAAAUCUAUAGACAAGAUACCAGGAUACACAUGUAUUACAAAAAUAACAUCAUAAACCAAAACGUCUAACAUAUCAAGAGGCUUAAAAAAAUUGUCAGACGUUGUUUCGAACAUUCUGGGCUGCCCAGAUUUUCAUCCAGUCAACCUCGGUCAACGCUGUUUGACCCUAAAUAACUUGAAAUCCAGCUAUCUAAUGGCUGCACUACAACUUGCAGAUUAAAGACCAUAUGCCAGGCUACGGAUCCAAACAAUAAAACAAGAAAACUCAAACACAGGCACGGAUCUAUGGCACCUGACAUUAGCUUGUCAGACCACAGAUCGUGUUCUUGACAGUUUUUUAAAAAACACCAAUUUAAAGCACUUUGAUGCUAUGGAUAUAUGUUUGAUCAUCAAUGAUCAACAUAAAACAUCCUCUAGCAUUAAUCUAAACACAUAAACAUGAACUCUGUUUUAGCAACAUGGAUCAAAAAUAAAAGUAGGUUUUAUACCUUCUUGACCAAACUUUGAUCUUGAUCUUUCCAAUCUGUUUUUUUGUGUUUCUAGGAUGUAUUUGGUGACUGAUUUACUAAACAAAUUCGGAGGUUUGGGAAGAAGAGAGAGUUGGUAAGAGCAAGAGAGAAAAAUGGCCAAAUUUAUGACUUUUUCUCACUCCUAAAUCUAUAUAUAUGAUGAUAUGUUGCAAGAUCUAAUGCUAGCUGUCAUUGGGAGGCUGAUUUCUGAGAUUUUUAGGUCACACAAGUCAACAAAGUUGUUCACCAACUCAUGAUUUGGCAAAAUAUACAAAUAAUCUAAUAAAAUAUCCAUAAAGGGCAUUUUUGACAUUUCCUUAAUUUUCUAGAAUUUCUCAUUUGAUGAAACCCUUAGGGUUUAGGGUUUGGACAAUCUAGGGUUUAGGUUUUGUACCCUUUAGGUCUAAAAAUUCUAAUUCCCAUAAUUUGCAAAUUUAGGGUUUAAUUAGAAAAAUAAAUUUUCUAAAAUAAAAUUAGGGUUUCUAAAAUAGAAAUUUAAAUUACAAAAAUAUAAUUAGUGAUUUCUAAUCAUAUUUAUGUUUAACAAACACUUUAGGCAUGCUAAUAAAAAUUAGGGUUGCCUAAUUAGGGUUUACAAUUCCCGGUUUUGAAAUUAGGGUUUCCCGGCGUACAAUUAGGGUUUUAAUUGUACAAUUUAUUUUCUAAAUUUAAGAUUAGGGUUUUAAAUCCCUUAUUAAGGUUUAUUAAUAUUAAACCUUAUCCAGUCAACCAUUGAUCAACAUUUCUAUACAGUCCAAACACAUAAUCAACAAUACAAUUAUUUUAAUUGUAUUUUCUACCGAAUCCCUAUCCGAAAAUUAGGGUUAGGGUUUUCUAAAGUUGUUAAGCACAACUCUACUCUAAAUUUAUUAGUCAAUACACAAAUUGACUUUCUCGAGACUCGUAUCACAGAUACUUGUCGCAAAAUUGGUAAUUAAUAUUAAUAUUAAUAAAAAAAAAAUUAUUAGCAAAAUUUUUGAUUAUUCAAAAUCCUGGGUUAUCACAGAUAUCAAAGCCAAAAGCUGAAAUAGAGGCUCAUAGUGCAGACAACCUUGAUGAGGUGGUGGUAUUGGAAAACGUACUAUCAGAUCUGGAAAUGGUGGGCCUGACAGAUAGUGAUUCAGACACUAAAGUUGGAGCUGAUAAAGCAUCAACGGAGGUACAGAAUCUGAAGAACAAGGUCGUUUAUCUAGAAAAACUGUGGGAAAUAGAAAAACUACAAAAUAACUAAUUGCGAAAGGCGUUAAUAUAAACUAUGGAAGAACAAGAUAAGCUUAAAAUCCAAAUUGAUCAAAUGGGAGCCGAAAGCAACAAAUCGUGUGCAGCUCCGAGCAAGAAAGGGAAAAGAAAGAUGAAAGACCGUGACUUAGGAAAUAAGUAGGAUUAGUAGUUGAUUAUGUAUGUUUGAUAAUGUACAGGUGUAAUGUAAUAUUCUCAAACUUUUGUAUAAGUUAUUACAGUAAUUCCCAAAUUUUGUGAUCACAAAGGGAUAGCAGUAUGUGUUAUGUUAUGUAAAGUACUUUGAAUUGAUGAAUACGAAUCUAUGUUUCAUUAAUGGAAUAAGUUUUGUAUAAAACUUCGUGUUACAUGUUAAACUUAUACAAUAAGGUUUAGAAUGUAAGUUAAAUUUAUGAUUUUAUGUAAUCAGAUAAUGCCGCCAAUACGACAAACACGAAAUCAAAGGGCAGAAGAAUCUGUCAACAACGCUGAGGGACAACAGCAAGAUCCAAUGCAAAACUUUGUAAACAUAGUAGCUCAUGCUAUGUAGCAGGGAAUACCAGCCGCAGGGAACCGACCAGACAAUCGCUUGGAAAAUUUUAAAGACUUCAAGGCAGCAGGACCACCAGAAUUCAGGGGAACAUCCGACCCUAUAGAAGCCCAGACAUGGGUUAAUGAGAUAGAAAAGGUGUUCGUAAUUGCUAGGGUAUAUAAGGGGCAAAAGACCUCUUUUUCCACCUAUAUGAUGAAAGGGGAGGCGAACUUUUGGUGGGAAGCAAAUCAAGCGUGGGCAGGAGAGGGAGUAGUUACUUGGGCUAGGUUUAAGACUUUAUUUUUUGAAAACUACCUCUCAGCUAGCAUGCAGGCUAGGAUGGAGGUGAAAUUUUUUGAGUUAAGUAGGAGAAUAUGACUGUUGCGGAGUAUGCCACAAAGUUUAAUAAGUUGGCUAGGUUCGCUCCGCAUCAAGUUGAUACGGAGGCAAUGAAGGCAAGAAGGUUUGAGCUGGGAUUAAAACCCUGACUCUAGAAUAAGGUGGCAGUGUUGCAGAUCAAUACUUUUGUAGCACUCAUGGAAAAGGCUAUCAUAGCUGAGGAAGGGAGUGAGGUCAUGAGCCUCUACAACAAGGAGAAAAGGAAUAAGGGCAAGGCAGUAGGAGCGGUGAAGGUAGAAACUAAUAGUGGGAAUAAGGGUGGGAAAAGAAUGGGGAAUUAUUUUUAGAAUGUUCAGGUGAAACAGGAAGGUGUGAAGAAGCAGGUAAUUCAGUGUAGAAACUGUGCGAAGAAUCACUAUGGUGAGUGUCUGAAGGGUAAGUUUGUAUGCUACAAGUGCGGGCAGGAGGGCCAUAUUUCUCCCAACUGCCCCAACCCAAGGAUGAACAAUGGGAGUUUUCUGUGUGGUUCUAUGGAGCAUAAGGUGAGGGAUUGUCCAAAGAGGAAAAUGGAGGCAGGGAGUGUAACCACGGAAAAAGGCAGCGGGACUAUGGCAAUCACAUGACCGAUUUCAACUAACAAACCAACCACACGAGUCUUCAAUAUGACGAUCCAGGAUACUGUGGCAGCUGGGAAUGGAACUCCAGGUAUUAUUCGAAUAACUUUUAUUUUCGUGUAUAUAUUUGAUUUUCCUUUAUAUAGAAAAUUAUUUUAAAAAUAAAUUUUGAAGGAGGAAUUUGAGUUCUUUUUGAAAUCAAGCUUCUGUUUAAUCAGAUAGACAAAUUUUAUAUGAAUAGUUAAAGAUUUGUUCGAUCAAUUAUGAUCGAGAUCUAUUGGCAAUGAUUGCGUAGGCUAUGUACCCUUGUAUGUAUGAGUUUUAAAACGGUGAUUCCGAGGAUGGAAUCCUUAUAAGGGAGGGUGAAUGUAAUAACCCGAUAUUUUCUAUGUAAAUAAAUAAGAAAUAUUGUAUAUAAUUUUUUUUAUUUUAAAUAUGGGAAUAUGUGCCAAGUAAUGUGUAUAUACAUGUAUAUAUGUGAUAAAUAAAAUUUAUUUAUUACAUGAAUAAUUUCAAAUAAUUUUAUUUUAGAAUUAUUGAUCAUUAUAAAGUAUAUACUUAUAAUAAUUAAUUUUAUAGUAGAAAUGUCUUUAUUAUUUAUUUUCUAUGAAAAUAUGAUUUUUAUAUUAUUUAAAUAAUAUAUGAAAUGAUUAUUGGAAUUAUUAUAAUUACUAUUUUAUUAUAUGAAUUUUAGUUCAUAUUAUUUAAGUUAAUUAUUUUUAACUUAAUUAAUAAUGUUAUAUAUGAAAGAUAAACUAGAUAUAGAAUCCAAACCCUAAAUUUGGGUUUUGAUCGAGGGAUGAGAAUAAUAAUAUAAUAUUAAUUAUAUUUUGAUUUUUUAGUGCUAUAAAUAUAUACAAUAUAUGUGUAGACUGAUAAUGUUCAUGCAAUUAUGGUGUAUCACGACAAACCCUAGUAAUACUGUCAUAAACAAUAAUUAGAAACUCAAAACCGGAGUUUAGGGUCGGUCAGAAAUGGUGUUAUAUGAAUUAAGUAGCGUAAUAUAGAAUUUUUGUUAAUUAGGAAAAACCCUAAUUAAUAUUAGAAAAUCCUAAUUUAAAAUUAGAAACCCUAAUUUGCUAAUUAGGAACCCUAAUUGCUAAAACUAGAAAACCUAAUUAUUAUUUUAAUAAAUUGAACUGAUAAUUUGGGAACCCUAAUGAUAUUAAGGAACCCUAAUUAUUUAAAACCCUAAUUUCUAUUAAAAACCCUAAAUUUAAUUAGUGUGUUUUAAAUUAAAAUUUUAUUACACUUUAAUUUUAAUUUUUCAAACCCUAGUAAUUAUUUGGGAAACUUUAAGAUGUAAAAUCUAGUGAUUAAACCCUAGAUUCAAGCACCUUGGACAAGAAUACCCUUGAAAUUAAAACACAAAUUACCAUUUUACCCUUUUUAUCCCAUUUGGUGAAUUAUAGUUAGCCAAAUCUAGCAAUAUCUUGCUAGCCACCCUAGUCUACCUAGCUAUGAACAUACAAGCUACAAAUCUCAGCCAUGUGAUCAACCAAGUUCAUUGCAUACAUGUUUUACAUAUAGAUUAAGAGAGAGAAAAUGCAUUAUUGCCUCAUUUGUGCAACAAACACUUACCCAUACUCUCUCAAGCUCUAACGUACGAAUUCUUCUAACAUUUCAGUCUCUAAAUCAAGCCCCACUAACACCAAUAUCAAAUCAAAAGCAUAGAAAUCAGAUUUGUUCACUUAAAGGAAUGAACCCUAAAAAGAAAUCUGACUUUUGAUCUUAUUUAGAUGUUAGUUUUUUGUGUUAAAAAUGUUGUAUGGAGUCUAAAAAGGUGAUCUGGGUUGCUAGAUGUUAGAUCCAUAACAUCUAGAGGCUCAGAUUUGUCAUUUUACAAAAUCUGAAAAUUUGUGUUUUUAUACUUUGACAACCAAAUGUCAGACCCUGUAGAUCUCCUUCUACUAUGCUUUUUUGUUGUUUUAAGCUUUAAUCUUGUAGUCUGCUAUGAGAUCUUGGAUCUGGAACUUGAAUCAGGUUUAGAUCUAGCAUAGAUUGAAAGUUAUUGUUGGUCAAAGUCGGUUGACCGACCAUGACUUUCCUUUUCUGGGUAACCCAGAAACUUUUUUUCAGCGUCUGCCAAUGUUUUGAAAGGCAUAGAUCUGUCUGUUUUUAAGUGUUAUAAUGAUGUGUUUGUAUCCAGUUUAUAGCUUGUCAUACAUACUAUAUAUUUGUGACUUUAGAUCCUUUAAACCAUCAACGAAUCAAACGUAGUGGACGGUCAAACUUGACCAUCCGAUCAUGACUUGCAUUUCUGGGAAUUUCCAGAAACAUGAAGAACAACUUUCUGACAUAGGUAGACUGAAUUAGAUCUUUUAACUGUGAUGUUGAAUUACUGAUUUGUUGUUAUAGUAAUGUUCCUUGUCAUGUAUACUAUAUAUUUGAACCAUUAAACGACAUAAAUCAUGAACAGAACAUAAAGGAAAUCGAGCAUGAAAGUGAUAGGAUGAACUGGUGGGUUUCUGGGAAAACCCAGAAACGUUCUGACAAGAACUUGUUGAGCCGAGAUCUUUUUGAUUAAUUAUGUUUAGCUUUGAACAUGGAUUGUGUGACGCCCCCAAAAUAAGGUAUACAUCACCCAUCUUGGGUCGCCAGAUACAUGGUACAAAAUUCAAAUACAACUUACUAAUACAACUAUCGUGUACAGUACGACAAAACACAAACUGUAAGUUUGAAUACAAUUAUUGUCUACUAGAGAUUAUACAAACUCAAAAGGAGUCCUCAUUACAAUUAUUAUCACACUAUUUUACAAAAUAGUGAGGACUACUAAUGCUAUCCUCUGGACCAUCACUCCGUUCCCCGACUCGUCCCAGCUAUAUUCUCAUUUCCUGAAGAGAACAGUGAAAGAAAGGGUGAGCUCAACUAGCCCAGUAAGAAAUAUUAUGACUAAGAUAAUGCAGAAUAAAUUAUCAUUAGCCUCCAACAAUGUUAAACUGAUAAAAUACAAUAGACAUCAAGUUUAACUGCAGCGGAACAAGCAAUCCAUUAAAAGAGUCAAGUAGAGAAUAAAAUCUACUAUCUUUUAUGAUUUAAAAAGUUUUUCAUCACUUUUAUCGCUGAGACUCAGCUCAAUAAAUAAUCCACAUCAUUAAAUCAUCCCUGCACUACAGGCCAAGGAUAUUCUUUAGUAUCACGACCACGAAUUAUCCAUGCACUACGGGCCAAAGAUAAUCGUGUUUUCAUCAACGGUCCUGAUCAUGCCAUAAAACAAUUCAUCUUUGCUCCCUUGGCCGAAGAGAAUCCAUAGCCAUAAUCAUACCAAAAAUUGUCCAUCAAUGCACUACGGGCCAAUAAGGACUUUUAAUUUUCACAUAAUUUGUAACAUUACGGUCAUGAUUAUACCGAAUAAUCCCUAGUCAUAAUCAUACCAAGUCCAUCUAUGCCUACAUGCCACAGAUGAAUUUCAACAUAACAUAAACAUGAGGAUGAUAACAAUGAUAUAAGAAUUCAAUUAAACAAGUUCAAGAAUUAAUUUGUCCAGGAACCAAUAACAUCCAAAUUGUCAACAUGAUACUGCUUUGUAGAGUACAAUUCAAGAACGCUUAGAAGAAUAUUUCCACGAAAAGAUACUAGAUGAAGCGCAAAUAUCAAGGAUAUUCCACUAAUUUCAUGGAGUAUAGAAGUUAAAAUUUUAAUUAAAUGAGUAUAAUACCGAAUGGAAUAACAAAAGAAAUCAUCAUGCAUGCGGUACUUCGCAUAGACGGUUAUUUCAAUAGAAUAAUAAUAACGGAACCAGGUCAGGUGAAAUUAACAUUGACAGGAUGUUCCAACAGAAUAAUAAAUGAUGGAACUAGGUCCGACGUAUAGCACAGACAGGAUAUUCCGACAGAAUAAUAGAGACGAAAUAAUAGAAGAAUGUCACCAAGUAUAGGGUAGCCUGCGUAUACAGGUUAUUCCAACAGAACAAUAAAGAAAUGGAAUAACAGAAGUUCUCUUCUUGAAUACAAAAGAAUAAUAUCCCUUACCGUAAAAUAAUACUUGAUAUAAGAGUAGUGAAGUAGCAGAAAACUUUUCUUCUAUCUCUCUAUAGUCUCUCUCUAUAGUUUCUCUCUCUAGAGUUCAGUAAAUUCAUAAGAAAAUAAUGAAGGAAUGAGCUUCUAUUUAUAGGAAAAUGGAAUGCAUAAUAACUAAUCCAUGAAUGGUCCAAAUUGAUUUACUUUAAUCUGACAGUCCAUAUUUUAAAAAAAAUCUUUUAAAUAAAAUAUAAUAUAUUCUAUUUAUAUAAAAAGAUUUUUACUAUGCAAGCACUAUGCGGGCACUAUGCAAACACUAUACAUAAUAAAAUAUAAUAUAUUCUAUUUAUAGAAUAACUUUAAUAAAGUAUUCUGUUUUAUAUAAAAAGAUGUUUCUAUUUUAUUACGUGAAUAAAAAAAAACUUCUAAAUCAACAAUAAUUGAAUCAAAUAAUGUGAGAUACUAUGCAGCAACUAUUGUAGCAAUAAUUGAAUAAAACAGAGUGACUUCUCACAUAAAUAUCAAUAAUCAAUACCGUGUGCUACUAUGCAACAAAUUGUAUUAUUGUACUUUUACUACCGAGUAGUUCAACAGUAUCAACGGUAAAACUUCCGCCGUUAUUUUCAAUAAAAUAUUUUUGUCGUUUUCUCAAUCCGACAAUAAUUCCGUUGUGGGGUCCACCAAUGAUUAUGCCGUCGUAUGAAUAUUUCCUAUUUAAAAUGAAUAUUCCCCGACCAAUCGAAUAUAAUACGAUAACUUACAUACUUUGCAAAAUUUAUAAAUAUUACCCACAACUAUAACAUUAUCUCAAAUUCACACCAUAAUAUAAAAAAAUAAUUUUGAGAAAAUUAAUUCUUUAUUCAUAAAAUCUGGGGUUUCACAAUCUCCCCUCCUUAUGGAAUUUUGCCUUCGAAAUUUACGUACGUACCUGGUAUGCCGAACAGGUGAGGAUACCUUGACUUCAUUUUAGAUUCUAACUCUUGAGGUAUAACCCUUGAGUGUUGGAUACGAUUCUUCUUAUCCAAGAUUUUAACACGAGAUCUCAUACGUUAAAUCAUCCGCUAUCUCGUCCGAUUCUAAAUUAAUAAUGUGGUUCGGGUCAUCCACAUAUUUACGUAACAUUGAUACGUUAAAAACGUUAUGAGCACGCGACAUACUUGGCGGUAAAACGAGUCUAUAAGCCACAGUUCCUACUCAAUCGAGGAUUUCAAAUGGGCCAAUUAAAUCGAGGGUUGAGAUUUCCUCUCUUCAGCAACUCUUGCUUCUAGAAUAACGCCCUCUUGAACCUUCUUCUUCACAUUCAUCAGAUUCGGGUAUGUAGCUUGAGCGUCUUUAACUUUAUCGAUUAAAGUCGAUUUUACUCGUAUAUUCGUUAUCUUCACGUGGGUCCCUAGAGUCUUUAACUCUAUCUUCAUCAUUUGCAAGUUAUACGAAAUGAGUCUUUGUGUUAACAACAUCGCACUUGUAAACGCAUACGAUCUUCUACUCAACACGUCAGCUACCACGUUCGCUCUUCCACGAUGAUAUUGAAUAGUACGAUCGUAAUCUUCAACAGCUCGAGUCAACGUCUUUGGCGCAUGUUACGUUCGUUUUAGUUGAAGAAAUAUUUUGAGGGUUUAAGAAAUGGGUUUUGUACUGGUGUCAAUACAAAAUUCGAUUUCACGCUCUGGGGUAGGCUAAGAAGUCUUCAGGAAUACGUCAAGAGAUUUAUUAAUGAUAGAAAUAUCAUUCAAAACUGUUACUCUCAUCCAAGACUUGGAUAGUACGUCACAUUGAUACCAACUGUGACUUCUAUCCCUUAACCUAGAUAGCACCUCACAAUGAUACCUAUCAACUUGUCAUCGUCAUUCAUGACGUCGCCUACAGAAAGUCUGGCUUCAGUGCAUUCCACACAAGGAAGUCAUCAACAAAAGGAUUGGGGCUCUUUACUUAUGGCUUGAUAUGACAAUGAUUGAAUUUAGUGGUUUGGUUGCUUGAAUUCGCAUAAUAGGUUGGUUAGGAAUAUGAAAGCUAACAACCUUACGAAAAACAUGAUGAGUAGUUAACCAAUUGUUUAAAAAAAACACAUCAAAGGCAAGUAUUUUCAAAGAGAUAAGAUCGACAGGUAAUGUGAAAGUAUUGAUUUGAAUCAAACAAGAUAUAUAAACAGUGGAGGUAACGAAGAUUUCUCCCAAUGGAGUUUCAAUAGAUAAAUCAAAGUUUAACUUCUCCAGAGUUAAGUAAAAACAUUAAACACAACUACGUGAAAUAAAAGAGUGAGUAGAACCGGUAUCUAACACAGUAUAGACUUCGUAAGAGCUUAUGAUUAACUUACCCGUGAUAAUUUUAUUCAGGUUCCUCGUCAUGAGAAAAAAAAAAUGCUCUCUCUUAAACUACCUGCUUUGGCUUGUCUGGGACAUACUUUGGCAUCACUAUCCCAGUUGGACUUGACUUCACCAUACGACAAAAUCGAGCUAGGUGACCUUCUCUUCCGUAAUUAAAACACGCUUUGGAUUAUUGCGUACAGUUUGGACGAAUGUGUACCUCCUGUCCGUAUUUGAAACAUACGACCGGUGGUCGUUCUUCUUCCUUUGAAACGGGUGCUGGUGCCGUUGUCUUUACGUCAUUGUUGAACCUUCUCUUCUUGAAAUGUCCAUUCUUAUUGUUUUGGCCAUGAUUACCACCGAAGUGGUUACCAUUUCUGACAUGUUGAUUCCCUCAAUGCUUACUGUCACCGUUUUGAUGACUGUCAUCACCGGUAUUAUCAUUUUGCCGGCUGCUCUCUUUUGGUUGCGUUGACUCGUUACCGCGCUCCAAUAACUGAGCCUUAUUUACAACAUCUGAGUACAAACACAGUUUAUGAGAAAAAAGAUAUUGACGUAUCUCCGGUUUAAAACCUCUUAAAAACAUUCGCGUCAUUCGCUCCUCAUUAUCGACCAAAUGGGAUGCAAACCGGGAUAACUCCCCAAAUUUAACCUCGUAUUGCGACACGGUCAUAUUGUUUAGUUCCAAUUUGAUAAACUCCACUUCUUUCAUGUGACGAAUGCUUUCGGGAAAGUACUUGUUAUUGAACAGCUCUUGGAACUUCUCCCAAGACAUCUUGAGUGCGUCAGGCUGGGUUCUUUUUUUACAGAUUCCCACCAGUAAUCUGCCUCUUCACGCAACAUAAAGGUGGCAAAGGGAACCUUGUGCUCCUCGGAGCAUCCCAAGACAUCAAAUAUCUUGGUGAUCUUCUUUAACCACGUCUUCGCCUUAAGUGGUUCUGGCUUUCCCAAAAACUCCGGUGGUCCCAGCUCCUUGAAUUGCUUUGCGGUGACCAACCGUGGGUUGCUAUUGUUUCCUCCUGCAUUAUGAACAGGAGCCGCCUUCGCCUGAUGUUGCAUGAAUUCUAAAAAGCUCUUAAACGUACCGUCGUUCGUUAAUUGAUCAGUGUUGUUGUUUAUAGGAGGAUUAUCGCCAUCUUGUUGCACAUUGUCCUGAUUACUCAUCUGUGGAGAAUCAACAGUCUCCUGUGCUCCAUUGCUUAUCUCAACAUUUUCAGAUGCCAUUUUCAAAUACUGCCACAAAACAAGGGUUAAUUAACAUAUCACAUAUUAUCUCUAUACUCUGACCGACCAAUUAAAUAUCAAAUAAACUUAGGUAGGUCAUACUAGAGAAGGAAUUCCCCGUCUCUCCCCUCCUAGUUCUAUUCUCACAUCCUAGCCAGGGAUCAUAUCCCUAAGCUUUGAUACCAACUGUGACGCCCCCAAAAUUAGGUAUACAUCACCCAUCUUGGGUCGCCAGAUACAUGGUACAGAAUUCAAAUACAACUUACUAAUACAACUGUCGUGUACAAUACGACAAAACAUAAACUGUGAGUUUGAAUACAAAUAUUGUCUACUAGAGAUUAUACAAACUCAAAAGGAGUCCUCAUUACAAUUAUUAUCACACUAUUUCACAAAAUAGUGAGGACUACUAAUGCUAUCCUCUGGACCAUCACUCCGUUCCCCGACUCGUCCCAGCUAUAUUCUCAUUUCCUGAAGAGAACAGUGAAAGAAAGGGUGAGCUCAACUAGCCCAGUAAGAAAUAUUAUGACUAAGAUAAUGCAGAAUAAAUUAUCAUUAGCCUCCAACAAUGUUAAACUGAUAAAAUACAAUAGACAUCAAGUUUAACUGCAGCGGAACAAGCAAUCCAUUAAAAGAGUCAAGUAGAGAAUAAAAUCUACUAUCUUUUAUGAUUUAAAAAGUUUUUCAUCACUUUUAUCGCUGAGACUCAGCUCAAUAAAUAAUCCACAUCAUUAAAUCACCCCUGCACUACAGGCCAAGGAUAUUCUUUAGUAUCACGACCACGAAUUAUCCAUGCACUACGGGCCAAAGAUAAUCGUGUUUUCAUCAACGAUCCUAAACAUGCCAUAAAACAAUUCAUCUUUGCUCCCUUGGCCAAAGAGAAUCCAUAGCCAUAAUCAUACCAAAAGCUGUCCAUCAAUGCACUACGGGCCAAUAAGGACUUUUAAUUUUCACAUCAUUUGUAACAUUACGGUCAUGAUUAUACCGAAUAAUCCCUGGUCAUAAUCAUACCAAGUCCAUCUAUGCCUACAGGCCACAGAUGACUUUCAACAUAACAUAAACAUGAGGAUGAUGACAAUGAUAUAAGAAUUCAAUUAAACAAGUUGAAGAAUUAAUUUGUCCAGGAACCAAUAACGUCCAAACUAUCAACAUGAUACUGCUUUGUAGAGUAAAAUUUAAGAAUGCUCAGAAGAAUAUUUCCACGAAAAGAUACUGGAUGAAGUGCAAAUAUCAAGGAUAUUCAACUAAUUUCAUGGAGUAUAGAAGUCAAAAUUUUAAUCAACUAAGUAUAAUACGGAAUGGAAUAACAAAAGAUAUCAUCAUGCAUGCGGUACUUCGCAUAGACGGUUAUUUCAACAAAAUAAUAAUAACGGAACCGGGUCAGGUGAAAUUCACACCGAAAGGAUGCUCCAACAGAAUAAUAAAUGCGGAAUAAUAAAUGAUGGAACCAGGUCCGGCGUAUAACACAGACAGGAUAUUCCGACAGAAUAAUAAAGACGGAAUAAUAAAAAUGGAAUCAGGUCCGGCGUAUAGCACAGACAGGAUAUUCCGACAGAAUAAUAAAGACAGAAUAAUAGAAUAAUGUCACCAAGUAUGUGGUAGCCCGCGUAUACAGGUUAUUCCAACAGAACAAUAAAGAAAUGGAAUAACAGAAGUUCUCUUCUUGAAUACAAAAGAAUAAUAUCCCUUACCGUAAAAUAAUACUUGAUAUAAGAAUAGUGAAGUAGCAGAAAACUUUUCUUCUAUCUCUCUAUAGUCUCUCUCUAUAGUUUCUCUCUCUAGAGUUCAAUGAAUUCGUAAGAAAAUAAUAAAGGAAUGAGCUUCUAUUUAUAGGAAAAUGGAAUGCAUAGUAACUAAUCCAUGAAUGGUCCAGAUUGAUUUACUUUAAUCUGACAGUCUAUAUUUAAAGAAAAAUCUUUUAAAUAAAAUAUAAUAUAUUCUAUUUAUAUAAAGAGAUUUUUACUAUGCAAACACUACGCGGGCACUAUGCAAACAAUAUGCAUAAUAAAAUAUAAUAUAUUCUAUUUAUAGAAUAACUUUAAUAAAGUAUUCUAUUUUAUAUAAAAAGAUGUUUCUAUUUUAUUACGUGAAUAAAAAAAAACUUCUAAAUCAACAAUAAUUGAAUCGAAUAAUGUGAGAUACUAUGCAGCAACUAUUGUAGCAAUAAUUGAACAAAACUGAGUGACUUCCCACAUAAAUAUCAAUAAUCAAUACCGUAUGCUACUAUGCAACAAAUCGUAUUACUGUACUUUUACUACCGAGUAGUUCAACAGUAUCAACGGUAAAACUUCCGCCGUUAUUUUCAAUAAAAUAUUUUUGUCGUUUUCUCAAUCCGACAAUAAUUCCGUUGUGGGGUCCACCAAUGAUUGUUCCAUCGUACGAAUAUUUCCUAUUUAAAACGAAUAUUCCCCGACCAAUUGAAUAUAAUAUGACAACUUACAUACUUUGCAAAAUUUAUUAAUAUUACCCACAACUAUAACAUUAUCUCAAAUUCACACCAUAAUAUAAAAAAAAUUAUUUCGAGAAAAUUAAUUCUUUAUUCAUAAAAUCUGGGGUUUCACAGAUUGAAACAUGUUGUAUGUUGGUUACUUUAGACAGCCCGACGAGCAGAACACAUUUACCUUGAACAGAUUUCAUGAUAGAGGGCCAUCAAAAGCGUUGACCGGCCACGACUUUAUUUUCUGGGCAGCACAGAAACGUCAAGAACAGCUCUGACAGCUUGUUCUUGAGCUUAGAUCUUUUAGAUUAUGUAUGUUUUGACCAUGUUUGUUGUUAGAUUGGGUAGUGCCACAUUAGUACUAUAAUAUCGAACCAUUAACUUGACAAGAAACACAUUGCAUAAGGACUUAUUGAUGGUCAAAAAAGCAAGCUCGAGCACUGACUUUGAAUGUCUGGGUUUCUCAAGAACACCUAAGGCGACACUUAUUGUUGCCAAAGGGCUUUAGCGACAAACUUAUUAUAAUUAAUUAAUUUAAUUUCUAAAAAUCAUUUAAAAUAGUAAAUAAAUUCUGAAAAUUACAAAAAUAGUUUUAAAAAUUAUUUUAAGUUAUAAAAUUAACUUUUAAUAAUUUGACAUAUUUUUCAUAAAUAUUAAUAUUUAUUUGGAUACUAUUGGUAUUUAAAUUAUUUAAUGAAUGCAUUAAAUAAUUUAAUUAAAAAUGAUUUUAUUGUUUUAAAAAUCAUUUUAAAUAAUAAUAAAUUAUUUAAUAAUAUUUUAAGUAAUAAAACAUAACUUUUAAUAUUUUAAGAUAAGUGUCAUUAAUUAUUAGAUAUGAAUGAUAUUAGAUUUAAUUUGUAAUUAUAUUAAAUAAAUUAAUUAAAAAUGAUUUUAAUAUUAUAAAAAUCAUUUUAAAUGAAAAUAAAUAGUUUAAAAAUAUUUAAAGUUAUAAAAUAUAACUUUUGAUAUUUAAAGGUAAAUUUCAUUAGUAAUUUAAUAUUAAUGAUAUUAAGUCUAUUUAAUAAUUAUAUUAAAUAAAUAGUUUAAAAAUGGUGUUAUUGAAUUAAAAAUCUUUUAAUAAGGAAAUAAAUUAAUUAAAAAUAUUUUAAGUUAUAACUAAUGACUUUUAAUAUUUUGAUAAAUAAUAAAUUAAUAUUCUAAUAUUAACGUUAAUUAUUUAAAAAUGAUUUUAAAUGUUUUAAAAUUCAUUUAAGGGUAAUAUUAAUACUUUAAAAAUAUUUUGAGUUAUUAUAAAUAAGUUUAAUAUUUUGGCAAUGGUUUCAUUAAUAGUUUAAUAUUAAUUAAAUAUUAAUGAUAAUAGAAUUAGUUAAUAUUUAAAUCAUUGAAUAAUGAUUCAGUGUUUGAAAAUUCAUGAUAAAGUAUAAUAAUUAUUUUAAAAAAUUAUUAUAAGGCUAUGAAAAAUAAUAUGACUGAUAUUUAAAAUAUCUAAACGAAUAUUGAACUACACGAUAGUCUUAGACUCGAUAUUUACCCGAUAAAGUCGUCGGUACACCGAAAUAUUUCAGAAAUUGAUCUAGACUUAGAUAAAUUGACUAGAUAUGUGUUUGUUAGUGAAUCAAUAACUGUUAACAUAUAUGACAAUGUGAUUAGGUUAUGUGCAGACUGCAAAUAACAGUACUAUGUGAUAUGAUAUUAAAUUCUAAUCGAACGAAUGAUCUUAUUAUUGAUAGGUCGUUGUAUAAAAGAUUAAUCUAAGUUGCAUUAUUGUAAGCAGCAGCUCAGGCAAGUAUCUGAACUAUUCUUUACAUUGUGCAAGUAUCUUACUUUUGCAUUUACUUUAUGCAAUGGACACGAGUAAGAAAGUACUAGAAUCAUAUUAUUGUGUCAGAUUAUUAACUCUAUUGUUAUUNNNNNNNNNNNNNNNNNNNNNNNNNNNNNNNNNNNNNNNNNNNNNNNNNNNNNNNNNNNNNNNNNNNNNNNNNNNNNNNNNNNNNNNNNNNNNNNNNNNNGUUGUGUGUAGAUGUCAGGUGGAAAAGAAUUAGGAUACUCUCUGAUCGUAAAGAAGGAGCCGAUAUCAAAGCCAAAAGCUGAAAUAGAGGCUCAUAGUGCAGACAACCUUAAUGAGAUGGUGGUAUUGGAAAAUGUAUUACCAGAUCCAGAAAUGGUGGAACUGACAGAUAGUGAUUCAGACACUAAAGUUGCAGCUGAUCAAGCAUCAACGGAGGUACAGAAUCUGAAGAACAAGGUCUCUUCUCUAGAAAAGCUUUGGGAAAUAGAAAAGCUACUAAAUAACCAAUUGUGAAAGGCGUUAAUAGAAACUUUGGAAGAACAAGAUAAGCUUAAAAUCCAAAUUGAUCAAAUGGGAGUCGGAAGCAACAAAUCGUGUGCAGCUCCGAGCAAGAAAGGGAAAAGAAAGAUGAAAGACCGUGACUUAGGAAAUAAGUAGGAUUAAUAGUUGAUUAUUUAUGUUUGAUAAUGUACGGGUGUAAUGUAAUAUUCUCAAACUUUUGUAUAAGUUAUUACAGUAAUUCCCGACUUUUGUGGUCACAAAGGGAUAACAGUAUGUGUUAUGUUAUGUAAAGUACUUUGAAUUGAUGAAUACGAAUCUAUGUUUCAUUAAUGGAAUAAGUUUUGUAUAAAACUUUGUGUUACAUGUUAAACUUAUANNNNNNNNNNNNNNNNNNNNNNNNNNNNNNNNNNNNNNNNNNNNNNNNNNNNNNNNNNNNNNNNNNNNNNNNNNNNNNNNNNNNNNNNNNNNNNNNNNNNUUGAGUUAUUAUAAAUAACUUUAAUAUUUUGGCAAUAGUUUCAUUAAUAGUUUAAUAUUAAUUAAAUAUUAAUGAUAAUAGAAUUAGUUAAUAUUUAAAUCAUUGAAUAAUGAUUCAGUGUUUGAAAAUUCAUGAUAAAGUAUAAUAAUUAUUUUAAAAAAUUAUUAUAAGGCUAUGAAAAAUAAUAUGACUGAUAUUUAAAAUAUCUAAACGAAUAUUGAACUACACGAUAGUCUUAGACUCGAUAUUUACCCGAUAAAGUCGUCGGUACACCGAAAUAUUUCAGAAAUUGAUCUAGACUUAGAUAAAUUGACUAGAUAUGUGUUUGUUAGUGAAUCAAUAACUGUUAACAUAUAUGACAAUGUGAUUAGGUUAUGUGCAGACUGCAAAUAACAGUACUAUGUGAUAUGAUAUUAAAUUCUAAUCGAACGAAUGAUCUUAUUAUUGAUAGGUCGUUGUAUAAAAGAUUAAUCUAAGUUGCAUUAUUGUAAGCAGCAGCUCAGGCAAGUAUCUGAACUAUUCUUUACAUUGUGCAAGUAUCUUACUUUUGCAUUUACUUUAUGCAAUGGACACGAGUAAGAAAGUACUAGAAUCAUAUUAUUGUGUCAGAUUAUUAACUCUAUUGUUAUUGAUUAUGUAUCCAAUUAUUCAUAUUCAUACAAGUUCUUAAAUUAUUCGAUCAUUGUUUAUCAACACAGUAUUACUGUAUAAUUCAGAUAUUUAUUCUUUUCGUUAAUUCCUAUAAAGGGUUAGACAAGUGUCCCCACUUGGAUAACCAUUGUAUUUAAUCCCAUGUUGACACAUACCUAUUGAGUUCCGGUAUGUAUACAUUAAUUAAAUGUUUUCUAAGCUACUUGAUCCAGCUAGACACGGAUUUAGAAAUUUUGUUGAGCAAGAUAGAACUUUAUUGUAUCCAACCAGAUUGUUUUGGUUCGGAUUCCCGACUAAGUAUUAACAUCCCGAACAUAGGAAAAUUUUUGUGAACCUAAGGUGGAUAGAGUGAACGAUAAUAUCGUUCUUGCAUGUAGUAUUGAUCAAUACAGGGCAUAAUAGGCUGAUCACCCCCCGUGCCCGUAAGUUAUGACGGUUGACAGAUGAAUUUCUGAGUAACCUUUUCGAAAAUAGAAAAUAAUGUUCAUAGUAUGUUGACUGAUCUCCAGUUAUAGUCAAUACGUAGUUUCAAAAAUUUCAUAUAGAAGUGAUAUGUUGUUAUUAUUGGUUCAGCUUACUUCACAACUGUUGAUUCGUUGUAGAAGUGUCAUUCAAAGAAAAUAUUUAAUUCUUUCAACUAAUAUCUAUUGUUGUUAUUAGAUGCUGGGCAAUCAAAUGCUCAUUCUUGCUUUAAAUUUAAAUGUUUUCAGCUAAGUAUGAUCAACNNNNNNNNNNNNNNNNNNNNNNNNNNNNNNNNNNNNNNNNNNNNNNNNNNNNNNNNNNNNNNNNNNNNNNNNNNNNNNNNNNNNNNNNNNNNNNNNNNNNNNNNNNNNNNNNNNNNNNNNNNNNNNNNNNNNNNNNNNNNNNNNNNNNNNNNNNNNNNNNNNNNNNNNNNNNNNNNNNNNNNNNNNNNNNNNNNNNNNNNNNNNNNNNNNNNNNNNNNNNNNNNNNNNNNNNNNNNNNNNNNNNNNNNNNNNNNNNNNNNNNNNNNNNNNNNNNNNNNNNNNNNNNNNNNNNNNNNNNNNNNNNNNNNNNNNNNNNNNNNNNNNNNNNNNNNNNNNNNNNNNNNNNNNNNNNNNNNNNNNNNNNNNNNNNNNNNNNNNNNNNNNNNNNNNNNNNNNNNNNNNNNNNNNNNNNNNNNNNNNNNNNNNNNNNNNNNNNNNNNNNNNNNNNNNNNNNNNNNNNNNNNNNNNNNNNNNNNNNNNNNNNNNNNNNNNNNNNNNNNNNNNNNNNNNNNNNNNNNNNNNNNNNNNNNNNNNNNNNNNNNNNNNNNNNNNNNNNNNNNNNNNNNNNNNNNNNNNNNNNNNNNNNNNNNNNNNNNNNNNNNNNNNNNNNNNNNNNNNNNNNNNNNNNNNNNNNNNNNNNNNNNNNNNNNNNNNNNNNNNNNNNNNNNNNNNUAUGUUUGAUAAUGUACGGGUGUAAUGUAAUAUUCUCAAACUUUUGUAUAAGUUAUUACAGUAAUUCCCGACUUUUGUGGUCACAAAGGGAUAACAGUAUGUGUUAUGUUAUGUAAAGUACUUUGAAUUGAUGAAUACGAAUCUAUGUUUCAUUAAUGGAAUAAGUUUUGUAUAAAACUUUGUGUUACAUGUUAAACUUAUACAAUAAGGUUUUGAAUGUAAGUUAAAUUUAUGAUUUUAUGUAAUCAGAUAAUGCCGCCAAGAUGACAAACACGAAAUCAAAGGGCAGAAGGAUCUGUCAACAACGCUGAGGGACAACAGCAAGACCCAAUACAAAAAUUUGCGAACAUGGUAGCUCAGGCUAUGCACCAGGGAAUACCAGCGGCAUGGAACUGACCAGACAAUCGCUUAGCAAAUUUUAAAGACUUCAAGGCAGCAGGACCACCAGAAUUCAGGGGAACAUCCGACCCUAUAGAAGCCCAGACAUGAGUUAGUGAAAUAAAAAAGGCGUUCAUAAUUGCUAGGGUAGAUGAGGGGCAAAAUACCUCUUUUUCCACCUAUAUGAUGAAAGGGGAGGGAACUUUUGGUGGGAAGCAAAUCAAGCGAGUGCAGGAGAAGGAGUAGAUACUUGGGCUAGGUUUAUGACUUUGUUUUUUGAAAACUACCUCUCAGCUAGCAUGCAGGCUAGGAUGGAGGUUAAAUUUCUGGAGUUAAGCAGGAGAACAUGACUGUUGCGGAGUAUGCCGCAAAGUUUAGUGAGUUGGAUAGGUUCGCUCUGCAUCAAGUUGAUAUAGAGGCGAUGAAGGCAAGAAGGUUUGAGCUGGGAUUUAAACCCUGACUCUACAAUAAGGUGGCAGUGUUGCAGAUCAAAACUUUUACAGCACUCGUGGAAAAGGCUAUCAUAGCUGAGGAAGGGAGUGAGGUCAUGAGUCUCUACAUCAAGGAGAAAAGGAAUAAGGGCAAGGUAGUAGGAGCGGUGAAGGUAGAAACUAAUAGUGGGAAUAAGGGUGAGAAAAGAAAGGGGAAUUAUUUUGGGAAUGUUUAGGUGAAACAGGAAGGUGUGAAGAAGUAGGUAAUUCAGUGUAGAAACUGUGGGAAGAAUCACUCUGGUGAGUGUCUGAAGGGUAAGUUUGUAUGCUACAAGUGCGGGCAGGAGGGCCAUAUUUCUCCCAACUGCCCCAACCCAAGGAUGAGCAGUGGGUAUUUUUUGUGUGGGUCUAUGGAUCAUAAGGUGAGGGAUUGUCCAAAUAAGAAAAUGGAGUCAGGGAGUGUAACCACGGGAAAAGGCAGCAGGACUAUGGCAAUCACAUGACCGAUUUCAACCAAUAAACCAACCGCACGAGUCUUCAAUAUGAUGGUCCAAGAUACUGUGGCAGAUGGGAAUGGAAAUCCAGGUAUUAUUCGAAUAACUUUUAUUUUCGUGUAUAUAUUUGAUUUUCUUUUUUAUAGCAUAUUUUUUUAAAAAUAAAUUUUGGAGGAAUUUGAGUUCUUUUAGAUAUCAAGCUUCCGUUUAAUCAGAUAGACAAGCUUUAUAUGAAUAGCUAAAGAUUUGUUCGAUCAAUUAUGAUCGAGAUCUAUUGACAAUGAUUUCAUAGGCUAUGUACCCUUGUAUGUAUGAGUUUUAAAACGGUNNNNNNNNNNNNNNNNNNNNNNNNNNNNNNNNNNNNNNNNNNNNNNNNNNNNNNNNNNNNNNNNNNNNNNNNNNNNNNNNNNNNNNNNNNNNNNNNNNNNCGUGAAGCACCGAGUUCGGGUUUUAAGUACCUGAAUUUGGGGGCGUCACAGGUUGGUAUCAAAGCUUUAGGGUUAGAAACCUUAGGUGGGAUAAUACCUUAGGCUAUAACCUUAAAACAAAGGAAAACGUUGAAAAUACAAAUAACUCAUAUAGAGUUUAAAAGGAGAUGAACUGAAUAAAUUCAUUGUUAAACAAAAUAAAAGAUAACUUUUAUAAAACAAUUGUUUGCUGUGUGUAUACUAUUUACUAAUCAAGAUAUGUUGUGUGUAGAUGUCAGGUGGAAAAGAAUUAGGAUACUCUCUGAUCGUAAAGAAGGAGCCGAUAUCAAAGCCAAAAGCUGAAAUAGAGGCUCAUAGUGCAGACAACCUUAAUGAGAUGGUGGUAUUGGAAAAUGUAUUACCAGAUCCAGAAAUGGUGGAACUGACAGAUAGUGAUUCAGACACUAAAGUUGCAGCUGAUCAAGCAUCAACGGAGGUACAGAAUCUGAAGAACAAGGUCUCUUCUCUAGAAAAGCUUUGGGAAAUAGAAAAGCUACUAAAUAACCAAUUGUGAAAGGCGUUAAUAGAAACUUUGGAAGAACAAGAUAAGCUUAAAAUCCAAAUUGAUCAAAUGGGAGUCGGAAGCAACAAAUCGUGUGCAGCUCCGAGCAAGAAAGGGAAAAGAAAGAUGAAAGACCGUGACUUAGGAAAUAAGUAGGAUUAAUAGUUGAUUAUUUAUGUUUGAUAAUGUACGGGUGUAAUGUAAUAUUCUCAAACUUUUGUAUAAGUUAUUACAGUAAUUCCCGACUUUUGUGGUCACAAAGGGAUAACAGUAUGUGUUAUGUUAUGUAAAGUACUUUGAAUUGAUGAAUACGAAUCUAUGUUUCAUUAAUGGAAUAAGUUUUGUAUAAAACUUUGUGUUACAUGUUAAACUUAUACAAUAAGGUUUUGAAUGUAAGUUAAAUUUAUGAUUUUAUGUAAUCAGAUAAUGCCGCCAAGAUGACAAACACGAAAUCAAAGGGCAGAAGGAUCUGUCAACAACGCUGAGGGACAACAGCAAGACCCAAUACAAAAAUUUGCGAACAUGGUAGCUCAGGCUAUGCACCAGGGAAUACCAGCGGCAUGGAACUGACCAGACAAUCGCUUAGCAAAUUUUAAAGACUUCAAGGCAGCAGGACCACCAGAAUUCAGGGGAACAUCCGACCCUAUAGAAGCCCAGACAUGAGUUAGUGAAAUAAAAAAGGCGUUCAUAAUUGCUAGGGUAGAUGAGGGGCAAAAUACCUCUUUUUCCACCUAUAUGAUGAAAGGGGAGGGAACUUUUGGUGGGAAGCAAAUCAAGCGAGUGCAGGAGAAGGAGUAGAUACUUGGGCUAGGUUUAUGACUUUGUUUUUUGAAAACUACCUCUCAGCUAGCAUGCAGGCUAGGAUGGAGGUUAAAUUUCUGGAGUUAAGCAGGAGAACAUGACUGUUGCGGAGUAUGCCGCAAAGUUUAGUGAGUUGGAUAGGUUCGCUCUGCAUCAAGUUGAUAUAGAGGCGAUGAAGGCAAGAAGGUUUGAGCUGGGAUUUAAACCCUGACUCUACAAUAAGGUGGCAGUGUUGCAGAUCAAAACUUUUACAGCACUCGUGGAAAAGGCUAUCAUAGCUGAGGAAGGGAGUGAGGUCAUGAGUCUCUACAUCAAGGAGAAAAGGAAUAAGGGCAAGGUAGUAGGAGCGGUGAAGGUAGAAACUAAUAGUGGGAAUAAGGGUGAGAAAAGAAAGGGGAAUUAUUUUGGGAAUGUUUAGGUGAAACAGGAAGGUGUGAAGAAGUAGGUAAUUCAGUGUAGAAACUGUGGGAAGAAUCACUCUGGUGAGUGUCUGAAGGGUAAGUUUGUAUGCUACAAGUGCGGGCAGGAGGGCCAUAUUUCUCCCAACUGCCCCAACCCAAGGAUGAGCAGUGGGUAUUUUUUGUGUGGGUCUAUGGAUCAUAAGGUGAGGGAUUGUCCAAAUAAGAAAAUGGAGUCAGGGAGUGUAACCACGGGAAAAGGCAGCAGGACUAUGGCAAUCACAUGACCGAUUUCAACCAAUAAACCAACCGCACGAGUCUUCAAUAUGAUGGUCCAAGAUACUGUGGCAGAUGGGAAUGGAAAUCCAGGUAUUAUUCGAAUAACUUUUAUUUUCGUGUAUAUAUUUGAUUUUCUUUUUUAUAGCAUAUUUUUUUAAAAAUAAAUUUUGGAGGAAUUUGAGUUCUUUUAGAUAUCAAGCUUCCGUUUAAUCAGAUAGACAAGCUUUAUAUGAAUAGCUAAAGAUUUGUUCGAUCAAUUAUGAUCGAGAUCUAUUGACAAUGAUUUCAUAGGCUAUGUACCCUUGUAUGUAUGAGUUUUAAAACGGUGAUUCCGGGGACGGAAUCCUUAUAAGGGAGGGUGAAUGUAAUAACCUGAUAUUUUCUAUGUAAAUAAAUAAGAAAUUUUGUAUAUAAAUUUUUUUUUAUUUUAAAGAUGGGAAUAUGUGCCAAGUAAUGUGUAUGUAUACAUGUGAUAAAUAAAAUAUAUUUAUUACAUGAAUAAUUUCAAAUAAUUUUAUUUUAGAAUAUUGAUCAUUAUAAAGUAUAUACUUAUAAUAAUUAAUUUUAUAGUAGAAAUGUCUUUAUUAUUUAUUUUCUAUGAAAAUAUGAUUUUUAUAUUAUUUAAAUAAUAUAUGAAAUGAUUAUUGGAAUUAUUAUAAUUACUAUUUUAUUAUAUGAAUUUUAGUUCAGAUUAUUUAAGUUAAUUAUUUUUAACUUAAUUAAUAAUGUUAUAUAUGAAAGAUAAACCAAAUAUGGAAUCCAAACCCUAAAUUUGGGUUUUAAUCGAGGGAUGAAAAUAAUAAUAUAAUAUUAAUUAUAUUUUGAUUUUUCAGUGCUAUAAAUAUAUACAGUAUAUGUGUAGACUGAUAAUGGUCAGGCAAUUAUGGUGUAUCACGACAAACCCUAGUAAUACUGUCAUAAACCAUAAUUAGAAACUCAAAAUCGGAGUUUAAGGUCGUUCAGAAAUGGUGUUAUAUGAAUUAAGUAGCGUAUUAUAGAAAUUCUGUUAAUUAGGAAAGAUCCUAAUUAAUAUUUGAAAAUCCUAAUUUAAAAUUAGAAACCCUAAUUUGCUAAUUAGGAACCCUAAUUGCUAAAACUACAAACACUAAUUAUUAUUUUAGUAAAUUGAACUGGUAAUUUGGGAACCCUAAUGAUAUUAAGGAACCCAAAUUAUUUAAACCCCUAAUUUCUAUUAAAAACCCUAAAUUUAAUUAGUGUGUUUUAAAUUAAAAUUUUAUUACACUUUAAUUUUAAUUUUUCAAACCCUAGUAAUUAUUUAGGAAACUUUAAGAUGUAAAAUCUAGUGAUUAAACCGUAGAUUAAAGCACCUUGGACAAGAAUACCUUUGAAAUUAAAACAUAAAUGACCAUUUUACCCUUUUUGUCCCAUUUGGUAAAUUAUUGUUAGCCAAAUCUAGCAAUAUCUUGCUAGCCACCCUAGUCUACCUAGCUAUGAACCUAAAAGCAACAAAUCUCAGUCAUGUGAUCAACCAAGUUCAUUGCAUACAUGUUUUACAUAUAGAUUAAGAGAGAGAAAAUGCAUUAUUGCCUCAUUUGUGCAACAAACACUUACCAGUACUCUCUCAAGCUCAAACCCACGAAUUCUUCUAACAUUUCAGUCUCUAAAUCAAGCCCCACUAACACCAAUAUCAAAUCAGAAGCAUAGAAAUCAGAUUUGCUCACUUAAAGGUAUGAACCCUAAAAAGAAAUCAGACUUUUGAUCUUAUGUUAGAUGUUAGUUUUUUUGUGUUAAAAAUGUAGUAUGGAGUCUAACAAAGUGAUAUGGGUUGCUAGAUGUUAGAUCCAUAACAUCUAGAGGCUCAGAUUUGUCAUUUUACAAAAUCUGGAAAUUUUUGUUUGUGUACUCUGACAACCAAAUGUCAGACCCUGUAGAUCUUUUUCUGCUAUGCUUUUUUGUUGUUUUAAGCUUUGAUCUUGUAGUCUGCUAUGAGAUCUUGGAUCUGGAACUUGAAUCAGGUUUAGAUCUAGCAUAGAUUGAAAGUUAUUGUUGGUCAAAGUCGAUUGACCGACCAUGACUUUCCUUUUCUGGGUCUCCCAGAAACUUCUUUUCAGCGUCUGACAAUGUUUUGAAAGGCAUAGAUCUGUCCAUUUUUAAGUGUUAUAAUGAUGUGUUUGUAUCCAAUUUAUAGCUUAUAAUACAUACUAUAUAUUUGUGACUUUAGAUCCUUUCAACCAUCAACGAAUCAAACGUAGUGGACGGUCAAACUUGACCAUCCGAUCAUGACCUGCAUUUCUGGGAAUUUCCAGAAAUAUGAAGAACAACUUUCUGACAUAGGUUGACCGAAUUAGAUCUUUUAACUGUGAUGUUGAAUUACUGAUUUGUUGUUAUAGUAAUGUUCCUUGUCAUGUAUACUAUAUAUUUGAACCAUUAAACGACAUAAAUCAUGAACAGAACAUAAAGGAAAUCGAGCAUGAAAGUGAUAGGAUGAAUUGCUGGGUUUCUGGGAAAACCCAGAAACGUUCUGACAAGAACUUGUUGAACCGAGAUCGUUUUGAUUAAUUAUGUUUAGCUUUGAACAUGGAUUGAAACAUGUUGUAUGUUAGUUACUUUUUUAGACAGCCCGACGAGCAGAACACAUUUACCUUGAACAGAUUUCAUGAUAGAGGGCCAUCAAAAGCGUUGACCGGCCACGACUUUAUUUUCUGGGCAGCCCAGAAACGUCAAGAACAGCUCUGACAGCUUGUUCUUGAGCUUAGAUCUUGUAGAUGAUGUAUGUUUUGACCAUGUUUGUUGUUAGAUUGGGUAGUGCUACAUCAGUACUAUAAUAUCGAACCAUUAACUAGACAAGAAACACAUUACACAAGGAAUUAUUGAUGGUCAAACAAGCAAGCUCGAGCACUGACUUAGAAUGCCUGGGUUUCUCAAGAACACCUAAGGUGACACUUACUGUCGCCAAAGGGCUUUAGCGACAGACUUAUUAUAAUUAUUUAAUUUAAUUUCUAAAAAUCAUUUAAAAAUAGUAAAUAAAUUAUGAAAAUUACAAAAAUAGUUUUAAAAAUUAUUUUAAGUUAUAAAAAUUAACUUUUAAUAAUUUGACAUAUUUUUCAUAAAUAUUAAUAUUUAUUUGGAUAUUAUUGGUAUUUAAAUUAUUUAAUAAUGCACUAAAUAAAUUAAUUAAAAAUGAUUUUAUUGUAUUAAAAAUCAUUUUAAAUAAUAAUAAGGUAUUUAAUAAUAUUUUAAGUUAUAAAAAUUAUUUUAAGUUAUAAAAAUUAACUUUUAAUAAUUUGACAUAUUUUUCAUAAAUAUUAAUAUUUAUUUGGAUAUUAUUGGUAUUUAAAUUAUUUAAUGAUGCAUUAAAUAAAUUAAUUAAAAAUGAUUUUAUUGUAUUAAAAAUCAUUUUAAAUAAUACUCCCUCCGUCCCAUAGUUAUAGACUGAUUUUUUUUGUCACAUAGUUUAAGAAAAUCAGUUUAUUGGCAAUUUUUAACAUAAAUUUUCUAUAUAUACCCCUUAAUAUAGAAUUAAUGAAUACGUUAAUUACUCCGUACUUAUCACACUGGAACUCUCAACUUCAUUGAUUAACGUGUUAAAGUCCAUAACCAUAGAACUUUAACCAAAAAGAAUACAACAACAUUAAAUGUGGUGAUAAAAAUAAUGACAUUGAAUGAUGUCUUCAAAAAAGAGUAAUGGUUGAAUAUUUAUUAUAAGGGCAUAAAAGUAAAAUAAUGAACCAACUAAAUUUUAUAAAUAGUAAGUAGCCUAUAUAUUGGGACAUCUCAAAAUAGAAAAUCAGCCUAUAACUAUGGGACGAGGGGAGUAAUAAGGUAUUUAAUAAUAUUUUAAGUUAUAAAACAUAACUUUUAAUAUUUUAAGAUAAGUUUCAUUAAUUAUUAAAUAUUAAUGAUAUUAGAUUUAUUUAGUAAUUAUAUUAAAUAAAUUAUUUAAAAAAUGAUUUUAAUAUUAUAAAAAUCAUUUUAAAUGAAAAUAAAUAGUUUAAAAAUAUUUUAAGUUAUAAAAUAUAACUUUUGAUAUUUAAAGGUAAAUUUCAUUAAUAAUUUAAUAUUAAUGAUAUUAAGUUUAUUUAAUAAUUAUAUUAAAUAAAUAGUUUAAAAAGGUUUUAUUGAAUUAAAAAUCAUUUAAACAGGAAAUAAAUGAAUUAAAAAUAUUUUAAGUUAUAACUAAUGACUUUUUAAUAUUUUGAUAAAUAAUAAAUUAAUAUUCUAAUAUUAAUGGUAAUUAUUUAAAAAUGAUUUUAAAUGUUUAAAAAUCAUUUAAUGGUAAUAUUAAUACUUUAAAAAUAUUUUGAGUUAUUAUAAAUAACUUUAAUAUUUUGGCAAUGAUUUCAUUAAUAGUUUAAUAUUAAUUAAAUAUUAAUGAUAAUAGAAUUAGUUAAUAUUUAAAUCAUUUAAUAAUGAUUCAGUGUUUGAAAAUUCAUGAUAAAGAAUAAUAAUUAUUUUAAAAAAUUAUUAUAAGGCUAUGAAAAAUAAUAUGACUGAUAUUUAAAAUAUCUAAACGAAUAUUGAACUACACGAUAGAGUCUUAGACUCGAUAUUUACCCGAUAAAGUCUUGGGUACACUGAAAUAUUUCAGAAAUUGAUCUAGACUUAGAUUAAUUGACUAUAUAUGUGUUUGUUAUAAGUGAAUGAAUAACUGUUAACAUAUGUGACAAUGUGAUUAGGUUAUGUGCAGAGUGCAAAUAGCAGUACUAUGUGAUAUGAUAUAAAAUUCUAAUCGAACGAAUGAUCUUAUUACUGAUAGGUCGCUGUAUAAAAGAUUAAUCUAAGUUGCAUUAUUGUAAGCAGCAGCUCAGGCAAGUAUCUAAACUAUUCUUUACAUUGUGCAAGUAUCUUACCUUUGCAUUUACUUUAUGCAAUGGACAUGAGUAAGUAAGUUUCAGAAUCAUAUUAUUGUGCCAGAUUAUUAACUCUAUUGUUAUUGAUUAUGUAUCCAAUUAUUCAUAUUCAUACAAGUUCUUAAAUUAUUCGAUCAUUGUUUAUCAACACAGUAUUACUGUAUAAUUCAGAUAUUUAUUCUGUUCGUUAAUUCCUAUAAAAGGUUAGACAAGUGUCCCCACUUGGAUAACCAUUGUAUUUAAUCCCAUGUUGAUACAUACCUAUUAAGUUCCGGUAUGUAUACAUUAAUUAAAAGUUGUCAAAGCUACUUGAUCCAACUAGACACAAAUUUAGAAAUAUUGUUGAGCAAGAUAGAACUUUAUUAUAUCCAACCAAAUUGUUUUGGUUCGGAUUCCCAACUAAGUAUGAACAUCCCGAACAUAGGAAAACUUUUGUGCACCUAAGGUGGAUAGAGUGAACGAUAAUAUCGUUCUUGCAUGUAGUAUUGAUCAAUACAUGGCAUAACGGGCUGAUCACCUCCCGUGCCCGUAAGUUAUGACGGUUGACAGAUGAAUUUCUGUGUAACCUUUUUGAAAAUAGAAAACAAUGCUCAUAGUAUGUUGACUGAUCUCCAGUUAUAGUCAAUACGUAUUUUCAAAAAUUUCAUAUGGAAGUGAUAUGUUGUUAUUAUUGGUUCAGCUUACUUCACAACUGUUGAUUCGUUGUAAAAGUGUCAUUCAAAAAAAAUAUUUAAUUCUUUCAACUAAUAUCUAUUGUUGUUAUUACUUGCUGGGCAAUUAAAUGUUCAUUCUUGCUUUAAAUUUAAAUGUUUUCAGCUAAGUAUGAUCAAUCAGAAGGUUCAGGCAAGAACAAGGGGAAAGGAAAGCUGUUCGAAUGAGUUUUAUAAUAUCUAAUAUAAUAGUUAAAGUUUAUUAAGACAAUAAUAUUUAUUAUCUAGGAUGUAAUGAAUGUUUAAAGGUCGCGUACCUGGGAUUUAGACUUUGAUAUAUGUAAAUUAAGUUUGAUAUUUAUAUUAUUGUUAUUAUUAUUAGUAUUAUUCCGCUCAUAGAAAUGGUAUCGUGAAGCACCUAGUUCGGGUUUCAAGUACCUGAAUUUGGGGACGUCACAGUUUUUAACACACCUUCUUCAAUCACUUGUUUAGAUAAGACUGUAUUGAUCCAAUUUUAGUAUUUGACUAGAUUUAACACUUUGUCCUCGUGGGUAUGACACACUACUUUUCAUUAUACUACUUGUUGACUGGGUAUACUUGCGCGUGUUUUAUUGAUCGUGAAAACGACCAACAAGUUUUUGGCGCCGUUGUUGGGGACUUAGUAUUAUUUUUUAUCAAUAUUAAUACUAAUUCAAUACGAUCUUAAUUUGAACUCAUAUAUCUAUUUAAUCUUCUUCUCAAGUAGUCUCAACUGUGUAUGCCACCUCGAAGGAUUCAGAAUAUAAUACCUUUUGAUCUCGAGGUAGACAUAACAUAUAGACGACUGAGAAGAGAAAAAGCUUGGGACAUACCUACUCCUGUUAUAAUGGCCGAUGAAAUUCAAAAAUCUUUAAGGGAGUAUGUCAUGCCCCAUAUUACAGAUUUACAAGCGAGCAUUUUAUGGCCCGUGAUCCAAGCUAACAACUUCGAGAUCAAGUCGGGCACCAUUUAAAUGAUCCAAAAGAAUGUUCAAUUCGGGGGAUUAGCAAAUGAUGACCCGAACGAUCAUUUGAUUAAUUUCAUGGAAAUUUGCGAUACAUUUAAAUGCAAUGGAGUGUUCAACGAUGCCAUCAGACUCCGACUAUUCCCAUUCACUCUGCGGGACAAGACCAAGAGUUGGUUGCAUUCACUUUCGCCAGGCUCCAUCACCACAUGGGCUGACUUGGCUCAAAAAUUCAUGGAGAAGUUCUUUCCACCUGUAAAAAUAGCCAGGCUUAGACAUGACAUCACAUCCUUCGUCCAAUUUGAAUCCGAGUCUCUGUACGACUCGUGAGAGCGAUUCAAGGAUAUACUGAGAAGAUGCCCCCACCAUGGAUUUCCAGAAUGGCUUCCCAUUUAGACCUUUUAUAAUGGUUUAUUUGGGUCUACUCGUUCGAGUAUAGAUGUCGCAUUUGGUGGGGCCUUCAUGUCAAAUCAUCAUGUAGAAGGAUAUGACUUGGUGGAAAUAAUGGCUGCCAACAAUUACCAAUGGCCUAAUGAUAAGCAAGCACCUAGGAGAGUGGUAUGGGUGUAUGAGGUUGAUUCAGUCAUGACAUUAGCUGCUCAGGUUGCUGCGCUAAACAAAAGACUCGACACCAUAGGAGUAUAAUCAGUACAAAGUGUUGCGGUGCCAUGUGAACUGUGUGCAAGGAGCCACCCAACUGAUCAGUGCGCUAUAAGCCCUAAAUCAGUUCAAUUUGUUUCAAACUACGGGUGGCAGCGAAAUUCCAAUCUUCCCACUCACUACCAUCCUGGACUGAGAAAUCAUCCAAAUUUCUCAUAGAGCAACACUAAUAGCAACCAAGCACAAACCAUCUACCACCAGACCAAAUUAUUCGAAUUCUCCUAGUUUUCAAAACCAGAACCGAUACCAAUAGCAUCCACAAAGUUCUUACCAACCCCCACCUUCACAGGAAAGAAAGCCCAGUUUGGAAGAUCUCCUCUCGAGGUAUUGCUCAAAAUAAAAGUAGGAGCAAUAAUCAAGAGGCAUCCAUUCGGAACCUAGAAGUCCAAAUGGGACAAUUAGCAACUGCACUUAACAGUCGUCCUCAAGGCACAUUGCCAAGUGACAUUGAUGUCAACCCAAAACGGGAUGGCACGGAGCAGUGCAAAGCAGUCACACUCCAGAGUGGAAGGACGAUAAAUGAAAACGGUGGAGAGACAUCAACAAUGCAAGAGGAAGUUGCUGAAAAGGAACUAAAUGUGGAGCCAAUUAUAAGGUUUUGUGAAAAUCAAAGUAGCAAUCAAAUUACAAAAUUAGUGGAAGCAAAAUAAAAUUAUAUUUUAAAUAUUUUCACAAACCAAUUACUCGGAUCAUCCUUUAUGCAUUUUAUUAUUUAAAACAACGAACAAGAAGUUAUGGAAUCAUACCCAUAUAGAUAUGAGCUUCCACAGGUACGAGUUCAACUCCUACUUCUCCGCGGUCUCCUUGAAUCUCUGGGUAGAUUCCUUCCUUUGAUCAAUGUUAGCCACCCAAGUGUAUGGCCUCUAGAGGUCAUCCACGAAGAAAGAAGAAUUUUCAAAAAGAAAGGUGUAUUGACUCAAAUCAUAGUUUUUCAUAUCUCUAUAGAAAAAGGGGCGUACUCUCCAACUUUUAGAUUUGCAUAUAUCUAAUAUCUGAUAUAAGACUCCUUAUAUAAAGAUAUCAGGUAACCCUAUUUAAUUAAAAUAAGAUUUUAUUUAUUUAUAUAAACUCCUUUAAUUAAAUAGGCUCCCUAAUCUUAUUAGGGAUAAUUAAUUAAACUUCUUUAACUAAUUUUGCCUCCUAAUCUUAUUAGGAUUAAAUGAGAGUACUUAUAUUAAAUUAAUUCCUAAACUCUUUUACAACUCAAAAAUAAUAAUAAUUAUAAUAAUAUUAAUAAGACUCUUCUUAUUAAUUUAUAUUUAAUAUUUCCAAAAUAUUAAAUUAUAAAUAUUAAGCUGUUUAAUUUACUCUAUCACCAUAGAUUAAAUUAAAUAUACUAAACAUAUUAUUACGAUUAUGCCAUUAUGUUCUUAAAUAAUUGUUCUUCCUUUUAUGGUGUGACCCUUUAGGUUCUCUAUAUUAAACCGGUUGUAAAUAAAUCAAUUAGAACAAUUCUAAUCUUAUUUAAAUAAAUAAAUCAAACUAUUAAUUUAUUUAAAAAAUUAAUAUUUAUUCUACAAUAGGGAUAAGCCUCCCUAGCGAUUAACGACUUUUCAGAUAAUAUGGAUUUCAACAUUAAUCAUAAAAGAACCUUUGAGUAAAUAGUUACCGUACAAUUCAAUCCUUCCACCAUACAAUGUCCCAUUUAAAUAUAAGACAUGGAUUUACUGUCAAGUCGUAUUUUAUUUAAUUAUAGGUAUUUUGAUUCCCAAAUGCACAACUUCGAAUAAAUGCAAAUUAGAAACUACUUUACAAUUUCAUUUCACCUUGGUCAAAGAUUCCUGGGUUGUCAUUUAUCGAAUCACAUAAGACAUUUCUCUUCUUUUACUAGAAGUGGUAACUUCUAUAUUGAUCAUUCAUUAUCUCCAUAUAUAACUUAUUACACCCAAGCAUAUCCUUUGAUAUACCCUAAAGGUCUUAAGGAAUAAGUCAAAAUAUAAUUCAUUAUACAUAAAAUACUAUGAUGAUCUCAAGUCUAAGAAUCAUUUGUACUACUAUCACUACAGGAAUUCCUAUUGACAGGUAAGUAAAACUCCAUUAGGUAUUCCUUAGCGAGUCACGUUUAGUGAACUUAUUCUCCAAUAAGCACCUACAUACUUGAUUAGUGUCUCCACACAAAUGAUCAUGAGAUCAAUCAUUCUCAUCCAAUGAGCAUGCAACGUAUGUAUCAAUCUAUCCGGAUUCACUAAUCCCCUUUUCAGUAAUCCAUUGAUUGAGAACAUUUUAGUUUUAAGCUAUCUAAGAAUUUAGAUCUCAUUAGCAUGAUCUCAUCAUGAUUCUAAAAGCAUUGGUUAAAACUAUGGGUUUAUCACAUAUUAUUAAAACAACACCAUGUAGAUAAUAAAUGCCUUUAAUAAAUAAUUAUUUUAUUAAUAAAUAAAUAAGAUUGAUUACAAAGUAAAUGCUUUAUCAUCAUACAUGAUUAGCUUGUAUGCAUACUACUUUCAAUCUCUCACUUGCACUAAAGCUAAUCGUCGUGGUAUCUCAUACCCAUCUUCUCUAAGUGACGAUCGAACUGUUGUUGUGUUAACGCUUUAGUAAAUGGAUUUGCAAUAUUGUCUUGAGAGUCCACAGGCUCCAGGGUGUCAUCUCCUCUUUCAAUGAUCUCUCUAAUUAAAUGAAAUCAUCAUAACACGUGUUUGGAUUUCUGAUGAGACUUGGGUUCCUUAGCUUGUGCAACAGCUCCGGUGUUGUCACAGAACAAAGGUAUUGGUCCUGUAAUGCUAGGAACCACACCAAGUUUGGUAAUGAACCUCUUCAUCCAAACAAUCUCUUUUGUAACUUCACUUGCAGCUAUGUACUCUGCCUCUAUCACCGAAUCAAUAACUAUUUGCUGUUUGGAACUCUUCCAACUCACUGCGCCACCGUUUAAGGUAAACACAUACUCUGAAAUGGAUUUACUGUCAUCUUGGUUUGUUUGAAAACUUGAGUCUAUAAAGCCCUCUGGUUUCAAUUCAGACCCACCGUAGACAAGAAACACAUCCUUAGUUCUUUUUAAGUACUUUAGGAUAUUUUUCACUGCCUUCUAGUGUUCUUCUCCUAGAUUCGACUGAUAUCUGCUUGUUACACUAAGUGCAUGAGCGACAUCCGGUCUAGUACAUAUCAUAUCGUACAUGAUAGAUUCUAUUGCUGAAGUAUAAGGAAUCUUACUCAUACGGUCUCUCUCCUAAGGUGUCUUUGGGGCUUAUUUCUUAGAGAGAUGUAUUCCAUGGCUCAUCGACAUGAGACCUCUUUUGGAAUCUUCCAUGCUAAACCUCUUUAGAAUCGAGUCAAUGCACGUUCCUUGGGAUAAGCCAAACAUCCUUUUAGAUCUAUCUCUAUAAAUCAUUAUCCCCAAAAUAUAGGAUGAUUCACCUAAGUCCUUCAUGGAGAAGUGUUUAGAUAACCAGAUUUUAAUCGAUUGUAGCAUAGGAAUAUCAUUCCCUAUCAGUAAUAUAUCAUCUACAUAUAAUACAAGGAAUGAAACAACGCUCCCACUAACCAUCCUGUACACACAUGGUUCAUCCUCAUUUUUGAUAAAAUCAAACUCUUUGAUUGUCUCAUCAAAAUAGAUGUUCCACCUACGAAAAGCUUGCUUCAAUCCAUAAAUGGAUCGUUGUAGCUUACAAAAUUGAUUUUUUCGAACCUUUGAAACAAAUCCCUUUGGUUAUGUCAUAUACACAUCCUCCUCAAGUUUCUCAUUGAGGAAGGUCGUUUUCACAUCCAUCUGCCAGAUUUCGUAGUCAUGGUAAGCUGCAAUCGCAAGCAAAAUCCAAAUGGACUUGAGCAUCGCUACUUGAGCAUUAAGCCUAUAGUCAACUCCUUGUCUUUGUUUGAAACCUUUUGUGACCAGUCGGGCUUUAUAGGUUUCUACCUUGUCGUCUGCUCCAAUCUGUCUUUUAAAGAAAAAUUUACACCCAAUAGGCUUAAUGCCUUCAGGUGGUGAAACCAAAGUCCUACUUGGUUUUCAUACAUGGAGUCUAUUUCGGAUUUCAUGGCUUCUUUCCACUUCUCUGAGUCAUUACUACUCAUAGCCUAUUCAUAAUUUAAUGGAUCGUCAUCAUCUAUGAUGCGUACCUGAUUGUCAUCUUAUAUGAAAAAUCCAUACCUAUCAGGUAUAUUUGGUACUCUUUUAGAUUUACAAAUAGGGUGUUGUACAGAAGGUAUCUCUACUUGGACAGGUUCAUCCAUUUGUUCUCUAGUGGUUUAUUGUUCUUGAAUUUCUUCAAGAUCUAUUUUCCUCCCACUGGCCCCUUCAAGGAUAAACUCCUUUUCCAAGAAGGCAGCAUGUUUGGCAACAAACACCUUUUAUUCAGUAGGAUUGUAAAAAUAAUAUCCUAAACUUUCUUCAGGAUAUCCCACAAAAGUACACUUAUCAGAUCUUGUCCCAAGCUUAUCAUUCUGAAACCUUUUCACAUAAGCUGGACAUCCCCAAAUCUUAAUAUUCUUAAGACUAGGUUUCCUCCCUGUCCACAUCUCAUAUAGAGUCUUAGGGACGGAUUUUGAGGGAACCUUAUUUAGUAGAUAUGUAGCCGCUUCUAGGGCAUAUUCCCAGAAUGACACCAGAAGAUCGGUAAAACUCAUCAUGGAACGAACCAUGUCCAAAAGUGUUCGAUUUCUCCUUUCAGAUACACCAUUUAGUUGUUGCGUCCCUGGUAGAGUCCAUUGUGAGAUUAUACCAUUUUCUUUGAGACAAUUGAGAAACUCACUGCUUAAAUAUUUACCUCCUCGAUCUGAUAGAAGAAUCUUAAUAAUCUUGUCAGUUUGCUUCUCUACUUCACUUCUGAACUCUUUGAACUUUUUAAAUGAUUCAGAUUUGUAUUUUAUUAAAUACACAUCAAAAUCCUGAGUGAUCAUCAGUGAAUGUAAUAAAAUAAGAAUACCCUCCUCGUCCAUUCAUUGUCAUUGGUCCACAUACAUCUGUGUGAACCAACGCUAACAACUCUGUAACUCUUUCUCCUUUUCCACUAAAAGGAGAUUUAAUCAUUUUGCCCAUGAGAUAAGAUUCAUAAGUUGGAUAUGAUUCAUAAUCAGAUAGCUCCAAGAGCCCAUCUUUUAUGCAACUUGGAUAAUCUUGUUUCAUUAAUAUGACUGAGUCUACAGUGCCACAUGAAGGUAUAAUUUACAUCAUCUCUUUUCCUUUUCUUAGUUUGUUCAAUUUGAAGUAUAUUUUCAUGCAAGUCAAGAAUGUAAAGUCCAUUUCGUAAAUUACCAACACUAUAUAAAACAUUAUUAUUAUAAAUUGAACAACUAUUGUUCUUUAUUAUAAUGUCAAAACCAUCCAUAUCCAAUAUAGAUAUUGAAAUAAUGUUUCUAAUAAGUGACGGAACAAAAUAAAAAUUAUUUAAACUAAUGGACUUGCCACAAUAAGUCCAUACAGCUAAUACAAAAACCUUUGCUCCAUUUCCCACUCGUAGGAUGACCUCAUCCUUGCUUAGCUUUCUACUUUUGACCAGUCCCUGCAUAUUAUUACAUAUGUGAGAACCACUGUCGGUAUCCAAUACCGAAGUAGAAGAAUGACUUUCAAAAAAAAUAAUUUCAAUCAUAAACAAAACUUGAUUAGGAUUCGAAGCUUCUCCAAGCUUCUUCUGCUUUUGCUCCGCAAGAUAAUCCUUGCAGUUCCUCUUCCAGUGAUUCGACUUGUUGUAAUGGAAGGAAAUUUCUUUGCUAACUGGAUAAGGUUUCUUUUGAUCCUUCACUUUUGCCUUACCUUUAGCCAUCUUGGAUUUCUUCUUUUGAGAAGAUACCUUGGGCCGCUUCCUUUUCUUGGAAGAAUCAUCCACCAUUAAGACAUGGUCCUUCUUGGAUGGGAAGUUACCUUCAGUAGUUUUUAACAUGUUAAGUAAUUCAGGAAAGCUGACAUCUAACUUAUUCAUGUGAAAAUCACAACAAAUUGUGAGAAGGUGUUCGAGAGUGACUGAAAGACUAAAUCUUGACUCAACUCCCCAUCCAUGACAAACACAAGAUGUCUAAGACGUUCAAUCAGAUUGAUCAUCUUUAAGACACGAGUCUCAACGAUAGUACCCUCGGUCAUCCGAGAUCGGAAGAUCUCCUUAGAUAUUACAUAUCUAGCAGUUCCACUUUUUUCACCAUACAACUCUUACAGGUGCAAUAGCAUAGUAGCAGCAUCCAUGGUUUGAUGCUGACGUUGAAGCUCGUUACUCAUGGAUGUGAGCAUGAUGCAUUGAGCCACAAAUGUAUCAUCUUGCCACUGUGUAAAAGUAGCAAUAUCUUCCUCAUAGGCUGUCUCUGCAACUUUUGCAGGUAUGGGAGAAUUUAGGACAUAAGAAAUCUUUUCAAUAGUGAGAACAAUUCUCAGAUUCCUUAACCAGUCUGUGUAAUUCGGUCCGGUCAGUUUGUUAGCAUCAAGUAUGCUACGCAGUGAAAUUAGUGAAUGUGAUAUUUUUCAAAAUUCUGCAUGUAAAAAGAAAUAUUUUAGCAAACAUUCAUUUAUUAAUUUAUUUUACCAAAAUAAAUUAGGUCUUAUUUUAUAUUGGUAUCUCCCACUAUUUUCUUCAAACUAUAUUACCCCCCAUCAAUAUAGUUCAGCAAUAUCUAAUUAAAGAUUUUCUAGUGAGAAUAAGGAUCCCAUAAUGUAUAUAGCCUUGUGUGUGCACAACAAACUAUAUAUAAAUAAAUAGGUAGACAACUCUUGUCAAUUACAUCAUCAUGUAACUCCUUAUAUUUUAUCUCUUAAAUCAUAAUGGUCAAGUGUAUGUACAUCCGAACUAAGAUGAUUUAGGUUAAGUCAUACCCAAUAUUUCAAUAUAAGUGAAGAGAAAAAUACAGCCCUUGUGUGUGCACAACAAAGCGAUAAUGUUCAAUUCCUUAUAAACAUCAUAUGUAAUAAAAACAUCUUAAAUAUUUAAUACUCACAUUGUGUGUGCACAACAAACUCAUAUUAAAUAUUCAAUGCUCUAUUGUUUUUAUCAUGCUAGAAGGCGAAGCUCGAUAUUUCAAAUAUCUUUGAACGUUACAACUAAAUAUAAUUUCAUCGAGGGGUUUGUUAUUAUUAGUCUCAUCUUAUUUAGCGCACAUGCAAAUAUAUAUAUAUAUAUAUAAUACUAGCAUUCAAAUAUAGAAUACUAUAUUCCACCCAGAUUGAUUAUAGACUUUUAUUCUAGUUUAGUUCGCUAGAGUAACCAAGUGAACCAAAAGAUCAAACCCUAGGGUGCAAGAAUAAACAUUUUAAUAUAACUAUUACAUUUAAACUCGGGCUCCAUUAUAAACGGGUCUUCGAUCGCUCCUUUGUCCUUGAUCUCCGGUUCUUUGAAAAAAAUUCUAACUAAUCCUAGUACAUAAACUAUUUAAUUUAAAUAGAAACCUUGAUCAGCAGUUAAGGGGAAGUACAUAGGAGAGAGAUAUAAUAUACAUCAAGAAGAAAACCAGAAAAGACGAGGACACAUACCCCAUUUAAAAACUCAUUCAUUCAAGCAUCCAACCAAAAUAAAUUCAAUCACAUUGGUCAAUAGUCCAUAAUCAAUCCCAUUUAUUAUCAUACAUAUCAUCAUAUGUAUCAAUAAAUAAAACAUUCAUCUUAUGAAUUAAAAUCAUUCCAUAUAUAUAUGAGUAUCAUUUAAUUUGUAUUUUUAAAUUGCAUGAAAUCCAAUUUCAAGAUUAAAAUAAAAACUUUAUUUUAAUUAUAAAAUUAUUAAGAUUAAUAUAUAUAUAUAUAUAUAUAUAUAUAUAUAUAUAUAUAUAUAUAUAUAUAUAUAUAUAUUAAAUACUAACGUAAUAUAUAUCUGUAACUGAUUCACGUGAAUCAAAUCACAAACACACACACACACACACACACACACACACACAUAUAUAUAUAUAUAUAUAAUUUUAAAAGUUAAUAAAUCAACCAUGCGAAUCACAGAAUAGCGAAACCGAUGAUUGUGACUCCGCGAAAUACUAAUUUUCAAAAACUGUUUCCAUUUUUUUAAAAUAAAUUUUAUACAACAAAUUAUGCCCAAUAAAUUAUUCUAAAUACAUACCCAUACAUAUAUGGAAUCAAAACAAUUAAUAAUUCGUAUAAAGUUUGGCUCUGAUGCCACUUUAAGGUUUUGUGAAAAUCAAAGUAGCAAUCAAAUUGCAAAAUUAACGGAAGCAAAAUAAAAUCAGAUUUUAAAAUUUUGCACAAACCAAUUACCUGGAUAAUCCUUUAUGCAUAUUACUAAUUAAAAUGAAGAACAAGAAGUUAUGGAAUAAUACCCUUGUAGAUACAAGCUUCCAUAGGUACGAGUUUAACUCCUACUUCUCAGCGGUCUCCUUGAAUCUCUGGGUAGAUUCCUUCCUUUGAUUACACCCAAGUGUAUGACAUCUAAAGGUGAUCCACCAAGGGAGAAGAAUUUUCAAGAAGAAAAGUGUAUUGGCUCAAACCCUAGUUUUUCAUAUCUCUAUAGAAAAAGGGGCGUACUCUCCAACUUUUAGAAUUACGUAUAUCUAAUAUCUGAUAUAAGACUCCUUAUAUAAAGAUAUCAUGUAAUUCUAUUUAAUUAAGAUAAGGUAUUAUUUAUUUAAUUAAACUCAUUUAAUUAAAUAGGCUCCCUAAUCUUAUUAGGAUAAUUAAUUAAACUCAUUUAACUAAUUUGCCUCCUAAUCCUAUUAGAAAUAAAUGAGAGUACUUAUAUUAAAUUAAUUCCUAAACUCUUUUAGAAAUUAAAAAAAAAUAAUUGUAAUAAUAUUAAUAAGACUCUUCUUAUUAAUUUAUAUUUAAUAUUUCUAAAAUAAUAAAUAUUUAGCUAUUUAAUUUACUCUAUCACCAUAGAUUAAAUUAAAUAUACAUAUUAUUACGAUUAUGCCAUUAACUUUUUAAAUACUUAUUCUUCCUUUUAUUGUGUGACCCUAUAGGUUCUCCAUAUUAAACCGGUUGUGAAUAAAUCAAUUAGAACAAUUCUAAUCUUAUUUAAAUAAAUAAAUUAAACUAUUAAUUUAUUUAAAUAAAUAAUAUUUAUUCUAUAUUAGGGAUAAGUCUCCCUAGCGAUUAACGACUUUUCAGAUAAUAUAGAUUUCAACAUUAAUCAUAAAAGAACCUUUGAGUAAAUAGUUACUGUACAAUUCAAUCCUUCCACCAUACAAUAUCCCAAUUAAAUAUAAGACAUAGAAUUACUAUUAAGUCUUAUUUUAUUUAAUUGUAUUUAUUUUAAUUCCCAAAUGCAUAACUCCGAAUAAAUGCAAAUUAGAAACUACUUUUUAAUUUCAUUUCACCUUGGCCAAGGAUUCCUGGGUUGUCAUUUAUCGAAUCACAUAGGAGAUUUCUCUUCUUUUACUAGAAGUUGUAGAUUCUAUAUUGAUCAUUCAUUAUCUCCAUAUAUAACUUAUUACACCAAAGCAUACCAUUUGAUAUACCCUAAGGGUCUUAAGGAAUAAGUCAAAAUGUAAUUCAUUAUACAUAAAAUACUAUGAUGAUCUCAAGUCUAAGGAUCAUUUGUACUACUAUCACUACAGGAAUUUCUAUUGACAGACAAGUAAAACUCCAUUAGUUAUUCCUUAGCAAGUCACGUUCAGUGAACUUAUUCUCCAAUAAGCACCUACAUACAUGCUUUAGUAUCUCCACACAAAUGAUAAUGAGAUCAAUCAUUCUCAUCCAAUGAGCAAGCAACGUAUGUAUCAAUCUAUCCGAAUUCACUAAUCCCCUUUUUAGUAAUCCACUGAUUGAGAACAUUUUAGUUUUAAGCUAUCUAAGAAUUUAGAUCUCAUUAACAUGAUCUCAUCAUGAUUCUAAAAGCAUUUCUUAAAACUAUGGGUUUAUCACAUUAUUAAAACAACACCAUGUAGAUAAUAAAUGCCUUUAAUAAAUAAUUCUUUUAUUAAUAAAUAAAUAAGAUUGAUUACAAAGUAUAUGCUUUAUCAUCAUACAUGAUUAGCUUGUAUGCAUACUACUUUCACCAAUUGGUGCUAAGUAUGGGGGAGAGGAGAAUGCACAGGAUGAACCUACAAAAUCAACCCCUAUAGUUAACAAAUCAAGUCCUCCUAUCCAACAGUUAGCCUUCCUAUGUAAAUUUUUUAAAGUUUUUAGAAGUGUUUAAGAAGCUUCAUAUUAAUAUUCUGUUUGCAUAGGCGUUGGAGCAAAUGCCUAACUAUAUAAAAGUUAUGAAGAACAUCUUGUCCAAAAAGAGGAAGAUGGGGGAUUACGAGACAGUGGCACUAAUAGAAGAAUGUAGUGAAAUCUUACGGAACAAGCUUUCACCAAAGCUGAAUGAUCCUAGGAGUUUCACUAUACCGUGCACAAUAGGGAAUCAGUUCAUCGGCAAAGCUCUAUGUGAGUUGGGAGCUAGUAUUAAUCUAAUGCCUCUAUCAUCUAUAAGAAGUUGGGGUUAAAUGAGGCCAAACCUAUGACGCCCCCAAAAUAGCUCCAAUCCACCCAACCCAUUCUGAGUCGCCAAAUACAUGGUACAUAAAAUAACUAUAACUUUAUUAUUACAAUUGUCGUGCAAAAUACAACAACACAUAUGCUGUAAGUUUUGAAACAAAUAUAUAUCAACUAUGACUCUCAUCCCAACCUUGGAUAACACGUCACAAUGGCACCUUACAUAAAGGUACAGUCAAUAAUUGUUUUAGAAAUUAAAAUCUUUGGAAAAUGCUCAAGAAAACCUUCGUACAUAGGAGGCCUGCAUCUAAGUUAUAAUAAAUAUCAUAUGACUGGAGAAUUAUCCUUUGUUGACCCAAUAGACCCCAAAGAAAAAUAAGAAGAUUGCUAUCAUGUUCUUUCCAAUGGUGAGCCUUUUCUUGACAUAUAAUUAUCUCCAUUGUCUCCAAUUGAGAAUUAUAUUUCAACCAAACUCCAAGAUUAUAUAGGUAGUGCUCGUAGAUAUACUCAGCAAGUGGAUGUGCACAACCCUGUGUUAUGAUAACACGAAGUCGUAGGUCAUUAGACAUCUUGUAUGAUAGUGGCUAAACACCCUACUAAAGUUGGGUUCACCUCACCCUAUUCGGUUCACAAAAAUUAAUGGUUAAAUGACGUAUAAAAUACGACACACUUAUCUCAAAUUCUCAAUAAAAUUAUUUCUAUACUAUUUUAGGGAAAACCUCAACAGCUAUAGACCACCGUUUUAUUCCACUGUUACCCCCGAUGGACCCAGCUACACUCGUAUUACCUGAAAGGAAUUGUGAAGCAAAAGGGUGAGCACAAAUAGCCCAAUAAAGAAUAUCACGACUAAAGAUAAUUAAAUUAUCAAUAGCCUUCGUCAGUAAUAAAUCAGAGAUUUAGAACAUAUGGUAGAUGAUAAAACUUUUCAACCAUAGUUACAGUGGAACGAGCAAUCCAUUAGAAGAGUCAAAUAGACCAUAAAGUCUAUUAUAUUCUUCACGUUAAAAGUCUACCAACAAUAUUUUAUCCCUGUAACAUCAAUCAACAGUUCUGGUCCACAAUCAUAUGAAUAACUCGUAAUCAUAAUUGUGGUUCUAAAUUCCUCUUCUCAUCCAGGACGAAGAUAAUUUUCAUCACAUGUCUUUACCUGAAACAUCAAAGAUCAUGGUUAUACCAAAUCACAGUUCCUGUUCAUAAUUAUACUAAUAAAUUCAUCUUUGGACCACGGGCCAAAGAUAUUCGUCAACAGUUCAUCUUUGCACUACAGACCAAAGAUAUUCAACAACAUGUCAUCUUUGCACUACGGACCAAAUAUAUUCAACAACAUGUCAUCUUUGCACUACAGACCAAAGAUAUUCAACAACAUGUCAUCUUUGCAUUACAGGCCAAAGAUAUUAAUAUCCCAAAGAAUUAUAAUCAUUUCAAAAUUUAUAUAAACAAUAAUUAUAACCAUGUUGAUCAAUUCACCUUUGCACUUAAGCGAAAGAUAUUCAAUUGUAAAUUCAACGGUCAUGAUCAUACCAGUUAACAAUUCAACUUUGCACUGCUGGCUAAAGAGAACUCAUAGUCACAAUCAUACCAAUAAUCUACCCAUCUUUACACUCAAGUGAAAGAGAAAUUCCAUCACUAGAGUUAAACAAAUAUUAAAUAUGAUAAUAAAAACAAUAUGAUCAAAACAUGGAUUUAAUUUCAAGAGCAAUAUUCAUAAAUCAACUAUAAUUUGGUCAGAAAUAGAAACCAAUUUUUCCGUGAAUAGUAUCCCGUGAAUAGUAACUCGUGAAUAGUAACUCAUAAAUAGUAACUCAUAGAUAGUAACUCAUGAAUAAUACUUUGUAUUGUACAUAGUACUGUAUACAUAAAUAAUAUCAUAUACGUAAAUAGUGUCAUAUACAUGAAUAGUGUCGUAUACGUGAAUAGUACCGUAUACGUGAAUAGUAACCCCGACACAAAAAGGUAAAAAUUUCCCAAUAAAAUUCAUACCAAUAUUUCGGUAUAAUGAUAUUGAAAGAAAUAAUAUCAUUUACGAAGAAAAUAACAUCCCUUACCUCAAAAGAAUAGUACUUUUGGCCGGAAUAUCAGAUAUACCGCUGAAAGGAAUUUGCACCGUAUAGCAACACUCAAAGUAUCAAAAUACUCACAAAAAUACGCUCGAUAAUAUAUAGAGAGAAAACUUCAGUUUCUGGUGUGAUUUUCCCUUCUAACCUAAGCACCCUAUUUAUAGGAAAAUGCUUAGAACACCAAAGUAGAAAAUUUAAUAAAAUAAUAAUAUUUAUAAAAAAUAAUUCACGCCCACCUCUUGACAUCUGAAAUCAGCUCAUUUACCACACAUGUGGGGCCUACAAAAAUGAAAAAACAAUGUUUUUCUUUUAAAAAAUAUUUAAAACUUUAAAAAUCAAUUAUUCCGGAACUUCAAUAAUUCAUAAUAAAUAUCUCUUUUAUCAGAAAAAUUCAAAUCUUAUGUUUAUUCCAUAGGAAAUUCAAUUCUCUAUAACUUUGUAAGUUUAAGUUUUUCUAGAUUCCAAGUAGAAAUUGACCGAAAUCCACAUACGGACAAUUUUGCAGGCUAUAAUCAAAUUUCAGUCAAAAAUGGGGCCCACCAACAUGUUUAACAUGUUUUUGGCAUUUAUUGCAACAAAAAUACUCUUUCUCCUCAUUUAUUCAUAUAUCACACAUUCAUUGUAAAAAUAUCACCAUUAUUAUAUUAUUAUAAUAUAAUAAUAUAUUUAAAUGUAUUAUUUUAUCAGAAAAGAUAAAAUAUCAAUUUUCAACAUUUGACACUUUUCUAAAAAUUCCUCCAUUUAUAUCCACAUAAAUAAAUAUUUUUCUUAUCAUAUAAAUCAAUAAUUAAUUAUUCACAAAUAAUAUUACAGAAUCACAAUAAUGACAACUUGGUCGUUCCCAGGAAAGAGUGUGUUUUCCAAUAAGGAUUUCUCCUUACUGGUGCAUAAUUAGAUGACCAAACCUCUCAUUAGACAGAACUUUCUAGACAUUGCCAAUAAUGUUAUCUAGUAAUAUUAUUAAAAUAAUAUGAAUUAUUUAUCUGAUAAUGGGAAAUACUGUGCAGUGACAAUUAUUGAAACAAAAAUAAUAUAAAAUAUCAACGUAGCAAUUAUUGAAUCAAUAAAAUAAAAUACUGAACAGUAAUUACUGUAACAAUUAUUGAGUAGUGCCUUCUUACGUAAGAAUCAAUAAUUGGUGCAAUACCGUGUGCUAUUGUGCAACACCGCGUAUUACUGUGCUUUAACCACCGGGUAUUCCAACAGUAUUAACGGUAACAAUUACGCCGUUAUUUAUAAAAAAACUCAUACUUGUCGUUUUCUUCAUCCAAUCGCUUUUCGUUAUGGGGCCCACACAAGGCUGCACUGUCGUACAAAUAUUCCCCGUCAGUAAGAAUAUUCCACGACCAAACGAAUUUUCCCCGACAAUAAUGAAUAUUUUAUAACCACUUAUUUAUUUAAAAUAGUUACAUAUAUCACCCUUAACUUUAACCUUUUAUCAUUUCAAUCAUUCACUAAAUAGUAAUUAUAAGAAAAUUUGAAUACUUUUAUUUCAUAAAAUUCGGGGUCUUACAAAAUCUACUAGUGUGACCUUGCAACUGGUUGACAGAUCUCUUACUUACCCGAAGGGGAUCGUGGAAGAUGUGCAUAUUAAGGUGGACAAGUUCAUUUUCCCUAUGGAUUUUAUCGUCCUGGACUUCGAGGAGGAUAGGGAGGUCCCAAUUAUCCUAGGCAGACCAUUUCUGGCAAUGGGAUGGACACUAAUAGAUGUACAAAAGGGGGAAUUGACUAUGAGAGUACAGGACUAGGAGGUAACAUUCAAUGUAUUCAGGUCCAUAAAGUAUCCCACUGCCUCGGAAGAAUGCUUCAAAAUUAAUGUGAUUGACAAAUCGGUGCGAGAAGUAUUUUCUGAAACUUGCAUGUCGGACUCACUUGAGGCUACUUUUACAGGUGCUAGUAAUAUGGAAGAGCCUACUCAUCUUGAGUGUGCUAAGUGAUUCGAUGCACCCCAGAGACUGAAACAGUUCCAGCGACAGUUCGAAUCUCUGAAUGACCAAGAAGCAUCAACUUCCAAGUCACAACCCUCAAUCAUAGAACUGCCUGUCCUUGAUCUCAAGACCUUGCCAAACCAUUUGUUGUAUGCCUAUUUAGGGUAGUCAUCCACCCUGCCAGUUAUUAUUUCUGCAUCACUAGAUGAGGCUCAGGAAGAGAAGCUACUUCAAGUUCUCAAAUAGUGUAAAACAGCCUUGGGGUGGUCAACCACGGAUAUAAAGGGUAUUAGUCCAUCUUUCUGCAUGCAUAAAAUCCUACUCGAAGAGGGGUCUAAGCCUUCUAUCGAGCAUCAACGGCGGUUCAACCCCAUUAUAAAGGAGGUGGUCUAUAAGGAAAUAAUCAAAUUGUUAGACACAGACAUAUCUAACCCAUCUCAAACAGUCCUUGGGUUAGUCCCAUCCAAUGCGUGCCAAAGAAAGGCGGCAUGUUAGUAGUGUCAAACGAGAAUAAUGAGUUUAUUCCCACCUAGACAGUGACUGGAUGGAGGGUAUGUAUGGACUAUAGGAAGCUGAACAAGUCCACUCGUAAGGAUCAUUCUCCUCUAUCAUUCAUUCACCAAAUGCUCGAUAGACUCGUCGGGCAUGAAUUCUAUUGUCUCCUUGACGGAUACUCGGGCUACAAUCAGAUUGUUAUAGCACCCGAAGAUUAGGAGAAAAAUACAUUAACAUGUCGUUAUGGGACCUUUGCCUUCCAGAAAAUAUCUUUCAGACUAUGUAAUGCUCCUGCAACAUUUCAGCGCUGCAUGAUGUCCAUCUUUUCUAAUAUAGUGGAUCAGACCCUCAAGGUCUUCAUGGAUGAUUUUUCUAUCUUUGGGAGUUCUUUCAAAAACUGUCUACAAAAUCUUACUGUCGUUCAGAAAAGAUGCGUAGAGACAAACCUAGUGUUGAAUUGGGAGAAAUGCCACUUCAUGGUAAGAGAGGGCAUUAUUUUGGGGCAUAGGGUAUCUGCUUGCGGGAUUGAAGUAGACAGAGCAAAAAUUGAUGUUAUCAAUGAUAAUAUACUACCACAAUCAUUAGUGAAAGGGGUAAGGAGUUUUUUGGGACAUACUAGAUUUUAUAGACGGUUCAUCCAAGACUUUUCAAAAAUUACCAAGCCACUAUGUAGCUUAUUAGAAAAGGACGUUUCUUUCAAGUUUAACGAAGCCUGCCUAGGUGCAUUUAAAUUGUUAAAGGAAAGACUCAUCUCAGCUCCUAUAGUAGUGGCUCCUGACUAGACCUUUCCAUUUGAACUUAUGUGCGAUGCCAGUUGCAGACACGCGAAAUUUUGCUUUCCUGUUACUAACUGUAGACACUCGAAAUUUUGUUUUUCUGUAACUAACUAUGCAGGAGAACAAAAACGACUCUUUCACACUGCAAAGAUAACCAUGGACGACCACAACAUCAAUUCUAACCCCGGAGAUAGCCCUGGGAGAUCUAGUUUCCAACCUCAGAGAUAACCUCGGGAAAUCAAUUUCCAACCCCGGAGAUAACCCCAGGAAAAUCAGUUUCAACCCCAGAGAUUACCCCGGGGCAUCAAGUUCAAAACCUGGAGAUAAUCCAGGAGGACAAGCCAACCUCAGAGAUAACCCUGAGGAUAGUCAAAGUCAACCUCAGAGAUAAUGUGACAACCCGGAAAUCCGGAUUGUCCAGAAAUUAAGAUUUAAAGAAUUAGUUAUUAAUAAAAUAAAUUUUUAUUAAUACUAUUCUGUGCUAUGUGUUUAUUAAUCGUUCUAUAACAUAGAAUGAUUAUAAGUCGGGAUGAUUCUGGCUACGAGCUAGAUUUAACGAGUAAGAAUUUUCAAGACGAAAAUGAAAGUUUUCCGAGAACAAAAUAUUUUUCGGGGAAAAAGACGAAAUAGGCACUAUUCAUCCGUUUCUGCUCGGAGAUUUAUUUUGAAAUUCUGAGAAGUUAUUGAUUACGUAAAAUGUUGAGACGUGAUGGAAUAUUCAAUAAUAUUUCAGUUAUGGCAAAAGAAAAGUUUUCGCCUGCGGACUCAAAACCUAAGGGUUAGGAAAAGUGAGUUCCGCGAAUGUAAUGAGUACGUAUAAUAACUAGGGUUAUUAUGCGUGCGAAAUACGAGUAUGAUACGAGUUAUUAUACGAGUAUAGAAAGAAGAAUAGUAUGGCGUACAAUACGAACAUCGUACGAGUUAAAUACGAAGAGAAUACGAGAACGGAAUGCGUAGAAUACGAUUAGUCUUAAUGGACUUUGUGUUCAUGGACUUUGUAGAAUCCAGUUGGACUUGGAUUAUGUCAAGCCCUAUGAUUUGUGAAAUUAAGCCCAAGAAAGGCCCAAUAAGAAUUAGGGUUAAGGCCCAAACCAAGAAAAGAAACCGCGAAUCAAACCGAUGGGUAAACGGAUGGGUAAUAACCAAGGGGCAAUCCAUGGGAUGACCCAUGGGCAUGUGGGUCGGCCACUGGGCCACCAAGUAAGGGUGGAGGCCAAGUUUACUUGGUGGCUAAGUGUUGGAGGAGGUGGGAAUAGUAAGGAGGUUAGGGGCGAAAUGACCAAAUUGCCCUAGCUUUGGUUUUCUAUAAAUAGAAAGCUAGACUUUCAUUUUCUAGGAUUUUGAAAAUCCUAUAACUUGAGUGAGACAGAGAGAGAGCUCGGUUGGGAGAGGAAGAGGAAGAGCGUGAGCAUGAAUGCUCAGAUCAAAAGUGAUCGUGAAAUAGAAAAGCUUGCAAAACGUCGGCUUUGUCUAAUGGAAGAGGAUUAAAGAAGAACGGUAAUCCGAACCCGAGUUUCUUCUAAUAUUUUCUUUAAGUUUAAUAUGUUUAAAACAUAGCUUAAUGAGAAUAGGGAGAAGAUGAUGUUAGAAAUGAUUUCAUAUGGUUGAAAUCAUGAGAAAAGAAGAAAUAAGAACUAAAAAUUUAGUAUAUAAAUUUCUUAAGGAAGUAUAAGAUUCGUGAGGAUGUUGAGCGAUCUGAAUGAAUAUUAUGAACGAGUAGGUGGAAUAAGUAAUGAAUGAUGUUCUAUAACAUCAAAUUCCAAGAAAAAGUAGAAUCGUAAUCCAAAAUAUCGAUUAAAUGAAGAACGAACGAAGAACGCGAAGAACACGAAGAAUGUUGUUGAUGGACAAAUUUAAAACCAUCGUAGUGUAAUUGUUGUUGAUGGACAAGUUUAAAACCAUCGUGUAUAAGUUAGUUGCUUAUUUCUUGGUUAGGAACGUUAGAAACGUUCAUGAAGAACAGAUUAAAAUUGAGCUAUAAUGAAGUUAUGACGAAAUUUUCGUAAAAGACGAGCGAAAAUUAGAAAGUUAGUAAAUGAACCCGAACGUGUAGGGUUUCAUAAGAAUGUAAGAGAACGUAUAAAACGUGAGUCGUGGACUUAAGAAUGAACGAAUUCCGAGUUCGGAUGACCGAAUUACAGACGAACGAACGAAUAACGUUAAUAACAUAAACAUGAACGAAGAGCGAAGAUUAAGCCAAUUGAAUGGCAUGUUAACGGAUUCAGAACGAAAUCAGCGUCUCAAUCUUGUAAAAGACUUAGACAAAUUUUCUAGGUUUCAUGCUCGGCGCCGCAGGCGAGUUGUGCCUUGGAGGCCGACGCCGCAGCGCGUAACAGUGUCUGAGCACAAUGCAAGAGUUCGCCGCAGUGCGAACCAUAGUACAAUUUGUGGCGCCGCAGCGCCAUGUACAAUACAAAAAUCUUCUGGAGUGUGGCGCCGCAGCGUGGCCCACUAAGUAAGGACUCGCGCCGCAGCGCCAAUCCGGGAAGAGAGGAGAGAGAAGUAGAUCGCGCCGCAACAUGAGAGGAAGGGAAGGGCACGGCGCCACAGCGCCGGUGCAGAGUAAUGCCCAGAAAUGAGAUUUUUAGUUCUUAGUUACUGGAGGAUGUGCAAGAAAGAAAUAUGAACAUAAUGUUCAACUAAUGUAACACUUAAUCAAGUGGUUUAAACCUUUAAUAAAGGUUGAACGAAAAGAUUAAACAAGAAUAAAAGACAAAGAAUGUAGAUCCGGGUUACAGAACCGAUGUCUGGGGACCGUAGUCGUGAUAAACGAACGUGAGGGAUUGCUAUGGUUGUGAUUCCUUAGACGUUGAUUGACGAUGUUAAUGUAUAACAUUUUGAGGUUAUGACAUGGUAUUGAGAGAUGAAUGUAAAGCGUUUAGAAUACAACGAUCGGUCUUAGCAUACAGCGAACCGUAUGGCUUUGACAUUAAGAAAGAAUAAUGAACAUGGGGUUUAUGGGAUGGAUAACGAUCGAAAGCGAUUAAAACCUUGAGUAAAGGUUGAAUGAGAGAUUAAGAGACGAGCAACGUGAACGUUGAAUAUGUAAACGAUCCUCGUGAAUUGUAUUCGCGUUUGACGAACGUGCUAAGUAUACCCUGGUUGUAUGAUUUAGACGUUGAUGAAUGUAGUAAAUAAGAUACGAAUGGUAUCAAGAAAGCCGUAUCAAACGAUAAUGAUAUUAAUGAAAGCCGAAUGUGAAUCGGAUAAAAAUGAAUCCUGAAGUAUGGCAAUUACUUGCCAGAAAGCCAAAAGGAAUAAGAAAUUAACUUAACGAACAUUAUAAUUUAAUAAUUCGUAUAAGUUAAGAGAAAGUUAGGUUGUGGUACAAUCGUAACCUUUGACGGUUGACAUAUGGUAGCUGGGCUAAAUAAUUCCUUCAGAGAGCGAAGGUAUAUAUGAAACUGGCAACCGAUCUAACUCACUGUGAUGGCAGUGUAGAUGAGAUGGGAACUUGUUUGUUGGUUGUUUGUGGAAAAACACUCAGAGUACCAUAUGGAGUACAGCAGAGAAGCGAUGUGUAUUGAGUCCUAGAGAAGUAUACGAAGAAGAUAAGAAUGUGAAUCAUCAAAGAUGAUGAACGUGUUGAGUAAGACAUCUCCUUAUAUCAUGAAACCGUAAACCGGAAAUGAAAGUUAGUCGUGUAAAAAUUAUAUUGUAAGAACGCGAACCUUAAGAAGUAAAGUUAAGUAAACCAAUGCGUAAGUCAAGUAUAUGACUAAUUGGUGUAUUUUUUAUUUCCUUACGUGUUAUAGGGAUUGGAAUGAGUAGUUCAGCGUAAGCUGUAGCUAUGCGUAAGGCAAGUUUCCUAACUUCAUUCAUAUUUUAAAUGAAUGCUAGUUUCUUAAACUUCUCAGAUGUUGAACUUGAGAAGUUCUGUCUAUGUGCGAAUGUGCGAUAUUUGUGUAAGGUGGUAGAACGUAUGAGGCCUUGUGCCACAAUGUGAACACUUCGGUGUUUUUGUGAGAUGAACUGUUCUAUGUUUGAACUGUUCAAUAAAAGGAUGUCCUGUUUAUACUUGAACCGUUAUUGUUAAGUCUGUGCUAUUGAUUCUAGACAGACAUAAUGUGCAUGAAAGAGAGUAGAGAAUGAAAUUAUUUCAAAGUGCAUGUAACUAAUGUUUUAAGAGGAUAGGAAUCAAGACUAUUCCUAUUAUUCAAGCUGCUUCGUAACCUUUGUUCGGUUAUUGAAGUCUGAAAAGAAUGUUUAAAUUCUUGAAGUUGUUUAUUCAACUGUUAUGACUUGCUGGGUAAUUGAAUGCUCACACUUGCUUUAAAUGAAAAUUUUUUUCAGCGAACGAUGUUAGAAGAACUUAAGGAUCCCGUAUAUAUCAAGAUGAUGGUAUCCAGAUGAAGUGUCAUUCAGAAUGUGAAUGAGCGAGAAGAUCAAGUGAAGACUUGUGAUGUAGAAAGAUGAAAAUUAAACUAUAAACUAGUUUAAUGAACUGUAUGUAUCCUUGGUGGCGGAUAAAAGUCACUCUUGUAAGAUGAAAGGAAUAAUGUAAUUAUCAUUAUUUGUAAUGAGAAAGGUUAUAAGGUUUUAGAACCUGGGAAUUCAGAAUGUAUGUUAUUAUAUUCAGUAUAUAAUGAUGUAUGUUGGAUGAAUGAUGUACUCGUGACGUACGAAAUUCGGGUGUGAAGAUAGACCGAAUUUCGGGGCGUUACAAGUUGGUAUCAGAGCUGAUAGGUUAUAAACAUUAGGUAUGAGUACCUAAGACUAUAAUCGUAAAGAGAAGGAUAAGAAGAUCACCAUGUGAUCAUAGUAAAUCGUAGUAACAGAUGAGCUAUUAAACGAUGAAUGAUUUAUAGCUAAUGCUAUGAAUGAAUGGUACUACAAAGUAGUACGGGAAGAAGAACUCAAAUUGAGUUGUAAAGGAUAGUAUACGAAUUAAAGAAAAUUCGUAUUAAGUAAAUAGAAAGUUAGAAGUUGUAAGAUUUCAAUUGAGGACUCAUGUGAUGGCUGAGUUGUAUGAAUCUUUGUAUGGUCAGAGGUUUUUGCUUGGUGUAACAACCACUCAGUUUAUUACAGUGAUAAUCAUUGAAAUUGGUUGCGCUAUCAAGAUGUAUAUAAAGAGAAGGUGAAUCUUUUCUCAUGUAUAUACUUGAUAGGUAGAAAAUGAUAAGAUAGAUGCGGGUUCUUAAAACUCAUACUUAUGAAAAGUUUGUGACUCAUAGUUAUAUGCUAUGUUUCUGAGCCCUAAGCAUAUGGAUAGUCCUUGAUUUGUUCUUGGAUUACAUAUUGCGAAGAUAAGUUCUUAAACACAUAUGGUUGUGUAAAGUGUGGUAAGUUGAUGAACUAUACUAAGGUAUAGGACUGUUUAGACUGAAAGUAAGUAUGUUCAGUAGACUUAGCAUUGAAGGUGCUAGAGAAGAUUAAGUAUUAUCGUAAGUAAGACAAUAAAGGAAGAUGGAGAAUAGGAUAUUCCAAGUCAUCUAGCUAUGUCAGAUUUCGAAAUUUCUUGAAAUCGUGCUGAUGUGCGCAUUUUGAAAAUGAAAGAAUUGGUUCAGCUUUUGGAACCAAUAGAUUUUUAAAGAACUAUUCUUGGUAUGUCUAUGCUAAUUGUUUCAGCUAGACAAAAAAUUGGUUUAAAAUAUCAAAAUAAAUUUUAUAUCAUCAGUGCAUUUGAUGCAAAGAUGGUAAAAGGAUGGAAUUAUUAAUUCAAUUAAACCUGGUGUUGGAUUUGAUCUUAGGAUCAACAACCUGCUAUGGUAUGAUGUAUAAUGACGAAGUCAUAAACUGACGAAGUCCUCAACGUACUGUGAAGAGUGCGAUAUCAUGACGUCAUGAAACGUUUUGAUGUAUUGCGAAAGAAUUUAAAGAAGUAGUCGAUGUCAAUUGAGUUGACUAGACGAAUGUUUCAAGUUGAUGUCCAAUUUAUUGGUAUGGUCUAAGCUACUUGAUUUGGCUAAGACGAAUGGUAUGUCAUGAUUAAAAGAAAAUCGAGCUUUCUUUGAAGAGUUAUGCCAAACCAAAUUGUUUUGGUGCGGAAUCUAAGGAGUAAGUCUGAGGUGAACAUACUCUAAAAUGGGAUUAUACGAUGGGUUGAUCACCUACGUAUGGAAGAGGUAGUUUACCUUCUUUGUGAUUGUAAACUGACCGUGGAAAGAAAGGUUACGACGUUAUGCUGGUAAACCUAAUAAGAGUUCGUGGUCAAUUUGACCCCUCAGUAAACGUAUGAAAUGUUUUAAAGGAAUUCUUAUAUUCCUCGCUAUUCCUUCUACUUCAUGAUUUUUGAUAGGUUAUGGAGGUUAGGAAUGAUAGAAAGAUAAGAACUUCUUUGAAGAGAAGUUGAGAAGAAAAGUAAGCUAAAAUUUUGAGGGCAAAAUUCUGUGAAGAAGUGGUGAAUGUGAUAACCCGGGUAUAGGUAUGGUUUGAAGAAAUUCCGAGGACGGAAUUUUUAUAAGGGGGGAAGGAUGUGACAACCCGGAAAUUUGAAUUGUCCAAAAAUUAAGAUUUAAAGAAUUAGUUAUUAAUAAAAUGAAUCUUUAUUAAUACUAUUCUGUGCUAUGUGUUUAUUAAUCGUUCUAUAACCUAGAAUGAUUAUAAGUCGGGACGAUUCUGGCUACGAGCUAGAUUUAAUGAGUUAGAAUUUUCAAGACGAAAAUGAAAGUUUUCCGGGAACAAAAUAUUUUUUAGGGAAAAAGACGAAAUAGGCACUAUUCAUCCGUUUCUGCUCGGAGAUUUAUUUUGAAAUUCUGAGAAGUUAUUGAUUACGUAAAAUGUUGAGACGUGAUGGAAUAUUCAAUAAUAUUUCAGUUAUUGCAAAAGCGAAGUUUUCGCCUGCGGACUCAAAACCUAAGGGUUAGGAAAAGUGAGUUCCGCGAAUGUAAUGAGUACGUAUAAUAACUAGGGUUAUUAUACGUGAGAAAUACGAGUAUGAUACGAGUUAUUAUACGAGUAUAGAAAGAAGAAUAGUACGACGUAUAAUAAGAACAUCGUACGAGUUAAAUACGAAGAGAAUACGAGAAUACGAGAAUGGAAUGCGUAGAAUACGAUUAGUCUUAAUGGACUUUGUGUUCAUGGACUUUGUAGAAUCCAAUUGGACUUGGAUUAUGUCAAGCCCUAUGAUUUGUGAAAUUAAGCCCAAGAAAGGCCCAAUAAGAAUUAGGGUUAGGCCCAAACCAAGAAAAGAAACCGCGGAUCGAACCUAUGGGUAAACGGAUGGGAAAUAACCAAUGGGGCAACCCAUGGGAUGCCCAUGGGCAUGUGGGUCGGCCACUUGGCCACCAAGUAAGGGUGGAGGCCAAUUUUACUUGGUGGUUAAGUGUUGGAGGAGGUGGGAAUAGUAAGGAGGUUAGGGGCGAAAUGAUCAAAUUGCCCUAGCUUUGGUUUUCUAUAAAUAGAAAGCUAGACUUUCAUUUUCUAGGAUUUUGAAAAUCCUAUAACUUGAGAGAGAGAGAGAGCUCGGUUGGGAGAGGAAGAGGAAGAGCGUGAGCAUGAAUGCUCGGAUCAAAAGUGAUCGUGAAAUUGAAAAGCUUGCAAAAUGUCGGCUUUUUCUAAUGGAAGAGGAUUAAAGAAGAACGGUAAUCCGAACCCUAGUUUCUUCUAAUAUUUUCUUUAAGUUUAAUAUGUUUAAAACAUAGCUUAAUGAGAAUAGGGAGAAGAUGAUGUUAGAAAUGAUUUCAUAUGGUUGAAAUCAUGAGAAAAGAAGAAAUAAGAACUAAAAAAAUUAGUUUAUAAAUUUCUUAAAGAAGUAUAAGAUUCGUGAGGAUGUUAAGCGAUCCGAUUGAAUAUUAUGAACGAGUAGGUGGACUAAGUAAGGAAUGAUGUUCUAUAACAUCAAAUUCCAAGAAAAAGUAGAAUCGUAAUCCAAAAUAUCGAUUAAAAUGAAGAACGAACGAAGAGCACGCGAAGAACACGAAGAAUGUUGUUGAUGGACAAAUUUAAAACCAUCGUAGUGUAAUUGUUGUUGAUGGACAAAUUUAAAACCAUCGUAGUGUAAUUGUUGUUGAUGGACAAGUUUAAAACCAUCGCGUAUAAGUUAGUUGCUUAUUUCAUGGUUAGGAAUGUUAGAAACGUUCAUGAAGAACAGAUUAAAAUUGAGCUAUAACGAAGUUAUGGCGAAAUUUUCGUAAAAGACGAACGAGAAUUAGAAAGUUAGUAAAUGAACCCGAAAGUGUAGUGUUUCAUAAGAAUGUAAGAGAACGCAUAAAACGUGAGUCGUGGACUCAAGAACGAACGAAUUCCGAGUUCGGAUGACCGAAUUACGGACGAACGAACGAAGAACGUUAAUAACGUUAACAUGAACGAAGAGCGAAGAUUAAGCCAAUUGAAUGGCAUGUUAACAGAUUCAGAACGAAAUUCUGUUCGUAACUAAUCGAAGUACAUAAGAUAAGGAAGAAAAUGGCUUUAGAACGACCUCGUUCCGAGUUAUAACGAAGAAGUUAUGAGAUUUCGAAAUCAGCGACCUUGUUCCGGUCUCGCCGCAGCGCGAGAGGAAGGGAAGGGCACGGCGCCGCAACGCCGGUGCAGAGUAAUGCCCAGAAAUUAGAUUUUUAGUUCUCAAUUACUGGAGGAUGUGCAAGAAAGAAAUAUGAACAUAAUGUUCAACUAAUGUAACACUUAAUCAAGUGUUUUAAACCUUUAAUAAAGGUUGAACGAAAAGAUUAAACAAGAAUAAAGGACAAAGAAUGUAGAUGCGGGUUACGGAACCGAUGCCCGGGGACCGUAGUUGCGAUAAAUGAACGUGAGGGAUUGCUAUUGUUGUGAUUCCUUAGACGUUGGUUGACGAUGUUAAUGUAUAACAUUUUGAGGUUAUGACAUGGCAUUGAGAGAUGAAUGUAAAGCGUUUAGACGCUGUGAACGCAACGUUGUUGCGAUGAACGAUCGGUCUUAGCAUACAGCGAAUCGUAUGGCUUUGACAUUAAGAAAGAAUAAUGAACAUGGGGUUCAUGCGAUGGAUAACGAUCGAAAGCAAUUAAAACCUGGAGUAAAGGUUGAAUGAGAGAUUAAUAGACGAGCAACGUGAACGUUGAAUACGUAAACGAUCCUCGUGAAUCGUAUUCGCGUUUGACGAACGUGCUAAGUAUACCCUGGUUGUAUGACUUAGACGUUGAUGAAUGUAGCAAGUAAGAUACGAAUGGUAUCAAGAAAGCCGUAUCGAACGGUAAUGAGAUUAAUGAAAGCCGAAUGUGAAUCGGAUAAGAAUGAAUCCUGAGGUAUGGCAAUUACUUGCCAGAAAGCCAAAAGGAAUAAGAAAUUAACUUAACAAACAUUAUAAUUUAAUAAUUCGUAUAAGUUAAGAGAAAGUUAGGUUGUGGUACAAUCGUAACCUUUGAUGGUUGACAUAUGGGAGCUGGGCUAAACAAUUCCUUCAGAGAGCGAAGGAAUAUACGAAACUGGCAACCGAUCUAACUCACUGUGAUGGUAGUGUAGAUGAGACGAGACGAGAACUUGUUUGUUGGUUGUUUGUGGGAAACCACUCAGAGUACCAUAUGGACUACUAGCAGAGAAGCGAUGUGUACUGAGUGAUCACUUUAUAAAUAUCAUUCUUUAAUAAAAUAUAAAGUGAUCAUUAUAAAUCUUGCAUUAUUAGUAUUAGAUUCUAAUACUAAUGAUCACUUUAUAUUUUAUUAAAGAAUGAUAUUUAUUUUUAAUAUAUUAAUAAUCCUUUUAUUGAUAUUAUUACAAAAAUAAGAAAAAAUAUUAAAGGGGAUAAUAAUAAAUAUAGAUAUUAACUUAUUUCUAUUUAGAAAACCCCCAAUUAAUAAUAUAGAUUUAUUAAUAAUAAUAAAUCAUAAUAUAAUAAUAAUGCAAGAAUAUAGAUUUUGGGGGAUGGCGAAGUUUUAAUAUAAAGAUAUAUCCUUUGUUGAAAUUAACAGCUAGGCCCAUGGUGCUCGGGUGGUCAUAUGACGAGUGUAUGGAGUUUGAGGUUGCGAGUUCGAAUCUGUUUAGCAGCGAAUUGCUUGAAUAAAAUCAUUUUUUUCAUUUUUUUAUUGUCAGCCAUGACAAGCUGUACCGGCCGGCUAUUUUUUUCAAUUUUUUAUCGCAAGCCGUAUCAGCUUGUACCGGCCAGCAUUUUAAUAUUAUUUUAAUGCCAGCCGUAUCAGCCUGUACCGGCCGGAAUUUAUUUUAUUUUUUUAUUCCAUUUUAAUGUGCAGAGUCAUGACAUAUAAUGGAGAAAUAAAAAAAAAUGUGUAAGCCGGUAGAAGCUCUUCCGGCCGGAUUAUUUUAAUAAUAAAUAUUCACUUUUUAUAACUAUACUGACAAUAUAAUUUUACGUGGGCCUCACUUAUUAAAAUAGAAGCCGGUACAGGUAAAUAAUUAGGCACAACAACCUGUGCCGGCUUAUCAAAUACAAAAGUUAAUCGCAGCCAUCAAUUCAAUUUAUCAACGGUCCAAAAAGGGGGUGUUGCACAGUACUCAUAGCAACCGGCUGCUAUGGAAGGGCUCCCAUAUAUAUAUAUAUAUAUAUAUAUACUCGAAUUCGAAUUAACGAACCAAGCUUGGAUCGAUAUAUAUCCAGUGCGUUUAUCGCUUUUAUAUAUAUAUAUAUAUAUAAAAGCAGUAAAUGGCCACGAAGUAAACUCCAGGCCUGACAGAAAUGUAAAUAUAUAUAUAUAUAUAUAUAUAUAUUUACAUUUAGUCCCAUCUGGAGUUUACUUCGUGGCGGUUGAUUGUUUUUAUAUAUAUAUUUACAUCUUUUAUAUAUAUAUAUAUAACUGUUUACAGCUUUCAUACAAACUGCUACAUCAUGUGAGCCUAGGAAUCAUGUGAUCAAAGAUUCAGUCUCCUGAAUCUAGAUUCGGUUCCCGUGAUGGACAUUUUCGGCCGUGACUAGCUUGUAAAUUAUUAACGGUGUCGAACUCCUUGUGGACAUGAGAGUCGUCUAAGAAACUUUAGACACCGUGAGAAUAAGGGUUUGAAAAACCUCUUUUGCAAAACAUCAUUGCUAUAUCCUGUUAAAACUGAACUUUUAUACAAAAUUCAAACCCUUUGUAUAUAGGUGCAAACGAGGCAUAGCACUACGUCAAGAUAAUUGCACAUUGAUCUAAACACACACACACACACACACACACUCACUCAGAUAAUGGUUUAAAUUGAAAAGUGGCGGACACCGUGGUAACACGAAUGUCGGGGGGUUCCUAACACCUUCCCUCUGCAUAAUCAAGCCCCCGGACCCUAACGAAUCUCGGUUUCACAGACCAGUCAAAUAGUGUCACAUCACUAGGUCAAUAAGAAAACCUUUUCUCGGUUGAGUUGGUGCAACCAUUUAAAAAUACCAACUGGCGACCCUUACAGUCCAAUCGUCGACAUAUACAUGUCGGACCUUUUCACAACUUGUUUUUUCAAACAAAUCUCACCUAACAUGAGAGUACCAAAAGACAAGAACAUAAAAGGGACAACAAAAAUCCCGACGUCGACAGGUGGCGACUCUGCUGGGGACAUCCAGUAAGAGGGCUUAAGCCGCUAUUACAAACUUUUUCAAAACAUUUAUCUGCUUGUGUGUGGAUGUUGCAUUUACAUUUGAAUGAAUGUGUACGAAUGCAUUUACUUAUUGCAUUUAUUGAUUCGCACUAUAUCUGCUUGUGAUAUUAGUGCUUCACACAUGUCAUCAUUUCCAUACGGUGAGUGUUGCCUCUUUUUUACGACUAACAAAAGAGCUCUAACUCAUGCAAGCAUACAUGCGUCAACAAGUAAUACAUAACAAGUAAAGUAUCGAUCCCACAGAAAAAGUUGUUUAACUUAAACUACUAUUCAUUAAUUAAAUCACUAUAUUCAUAUGCUCACACUAUGGAUUAAACUUGGUUUGUUCUUGAAUUGCAAAUAACAACUAAAACAAUAUAAACGAUAUAAUAAAUGAUAUUGGAACUAAUGGGAUUCUAACUUCAUUCAAUCACCACUAUCAUGCCUGACUUGUUCACAUAUCAUUGGAAAGUAGCCAAGAUCACUAAAAGAGUAUUAACCAUUUUUCAAUGCACUAAGACCAACUUACACAACAUCCACAUAUGAUAGACUCUAUGUAAUCAUAAACAUAACCAACAUCACUAUAUGUCUAUGUGAAAUUACAACUAUAUUGAUUUUAAGUUCAAGCUCUUAUCUUAACUUAUGCGGUGAAACAGUAUAUGUCUAUAUGGUUCACGAAAUACAUAAGCCAUAUAACACAACCCUAUAUACGUGUGCUAUCAUGAUUACAGUCCAUAUUUGCAUGUUCAUUGUCAAUUCCAUACAAAUACUGAAACGAAUGGUGAUCAAGCAUUCAUGUAUGCAAAACAAUCAUGACAGACAUCCCAUAUAAUAUGCAAAACAACCCAUCAUUUAAGUGUGCAAUCAAACUACAUAAUAAAAUCCGUUAGAAUCCCAUAAUGGAGUUUAGUUCAUGACUAAACCAAAAGCCAUUAUGGGAUCAAAGUUAAACAUGAUCAAUAAGCAACAAUUAAAAGAUGAAAGAUGAAACUAUCAAACCCAAUUGCUGAAUACACAUCAAUAUUCAAUCCUUAUAAGAUUCCAGCAAAAACUAAUAUUCAUAAUCCGCUCUCGUAGAGAAAUCCCAAGAAGGAGUGCAAAAUAGAGUUAUAGCCUCCUUCUACGUUGGAAUCCUCUCUAGAGAGUAAAAACCCUAAUUACAAUGCAAAGAUACGUGAAAAACUAAUCAAAUGUUGAAUGAUACCCUUGACACCAGUCAGGAAUCGUUUUAAAUCAAAUACAACCUUUAAAAUUUAGAGAUAAAAUAAAACACAUCAGCAGCAUCAGACAUCGCGCGCGGCCGCGCUCUCUUCUAGCAUGAUAGUCUCGCGGCCGCGAGACUUGCAGUAACAUCCAAGAUCUGGUUGGGCAAUCACGCGGGCGCGCGUCCUCAAGGCUAUUUUGCCGCAUGGCCACGCGACUUGAAAUCUGCAGAGCCUGGUUCCUUUUUUCCUACUGCUGCUGCUGCUUGCUCAGUCAUGCUUUAUCUCCUUGCACCAAUGCACCUUCAUGUCAUGCCUAUCCCAUCCUUUUACCUCGUUUCAAGCAUCCAUUUGCCUUAUGCUCCAUAACACCACCAAAAUAGGUCGAUUCCUGCUCUUAUUCACCAAAAGGAGUUUUAAGAACGUGCAAUUAAAAUUAACAUGAAAUGUAGCUAAAACAAACUAAAAUGUACUUGAGAUGGGCAUAGUUCGUAUGAAUUGGUACUCCAUAAGUAGGUAAAAAUCCUACUUAUCAAAUACCCCCAAACUUGAACCAUUGCUUACCCUCAAGCAAUGCAUACUAAUGAUUAAUGAAUGAUGCAAAUACAUUACUAUGCACUUAAUUCUCACAUUGUCCCAACCAUUAUAGACAUUCAGUCCACUUUUCCUCAGCGAAGUUUUUCUAGAUUUGAGAAUACAAAUUCAAACCAAACUACAAGCAUAAUGUCAUAUACUAAAAUAAUUCACCAAUGCUAUACAGAUGCUGUGUGUGUGUGUUGUGUUCGCCCAAUACUUGAUUUAGAUGUAGAAUGCUCAUGCUAUCUUGCUCCAACCAGAAAAAAAAAUAGCAUCAAUCAAGACUUAUGUUUAUAUAUGCUACUUGAACUAUUCUGACAUCUUAAAAUAAACUAAGGUUCAACAAUGAGUUUAUCUGCUUUCUUCUACUCACGAGGGCGAAUUUGCUCUUUCUCGCGGUGUUUAUUGCUAUUUUUCUAUUCUUUCUUUUUCUACAUGACUGUGCAAUGUCUUACUCCAUUAGGCACACUGCUACCCCUUAGCGAGCUUUCGACCAACGACUCCCAGACCAUGAAAGACCUUAGGGCGCUAGGUGUAGAGACAAUCCCCUCGGGCGUACUUACUCAAGUAGCCAGGGCCCCGCAAUAAGACUAGCCAUGCUAUUUCUACUUUUUCUCUUCAUUUUUUUUAUACACAGAUACCCAUGUUUUCCCAGAGUUUAAAAAUCGAUGUUUUAUACAGUCUCAAAGCCACUUUUCACAUAUUUCUCUUUUUAACACUAUAUUUUUCCGUCGAGCAAAAGACACGUGUUUCUUAUACCUACAAGUACUUGUGAACCCAUUUGUGCAAACCGAGAGCAUGUAUACAACAUUAUGAAUUUCGUUGUAUAAAACGUUAUAACUCAGCUCAAGUUAUCCAAAAUAUUCAGAAUUCAUUUAAAAACUUCACUUUCAUCAUUGGCUAGACAAAUUUUUUUUUUUCUAAACGGCAAGAACUGUGAGGUAAGCAACAUGCAACUAUGUGCUAAAAUGUAAAACUAAACAUGCACAUAAAAAUUAAAAUAACCAUACACAACUAUAUGAAUUAUGUAAAACUACUCAUGCAAAACUAAUAAUAAUAAAAAAAUUACUAACUACUACCUAAUACCCCCAAACAUAAAAUAUGCAAUGUCCCAAUUGAAUGAAGGUAAAAGGUAUGAAAACUCCCCUAAUUAUCGGUGGUGUCACCCUCCUCGGGUGGUGAGUCCGGUGGUGGAUAUGGUGCUGCGGUUCCAAACUGAGGCCAUUCUUAUGUUGUUCCUUGUUGCGCAAAUUCUUCGGCUAGAGCCCUUGUGAAUCCCAUCGCAAAUGUGCCCAAAUUGUCAUAUAUGGCAUCGACCUUGCGCUCCAACCUUCGGAGCUGUCGAUCGCCAUUGGUGGCAUGCACAUGCGUGGAUGGGCCCGCUUCGUCUGUUUUGUGGGGGUGGUUGUUGUUCUAGAAAAAUAGGAUGAAGGAUGAAUCCUAGUCCGUGUGGGUGCAGUACGCCACCUGUCCACUCCUUGAAAUUCGCAAUAGUAGCAUGAGUGAUAACAUGGUGCGAGUACUGCAUCAGCUCAUUAUGCCAUUGGAUUCCUUGUUGAGUACAGAUGACGCAUGCGAAAUAGUUCCAUUUCUAUUCCCAUGAAUAUAAUUCAGCAUAUUUCUGUGGAUUAACAGGCCGAUAUCGAUGUAUUUCCCUUUGUUGAUUCCCCACAAAAUAAUCGCCCGCUCGGUAGGUAUGGCAUUAUAAUGAGAUGACAGAAUGAGCUUGGCACAAAUAAACAUGUUCCAGGCCUGGGCAUACCAAUUCAAUGCUGACGACGGAAAUGAUUUUGGUUCAGUUGUUCCUGUCUUAUACUUCCAUUUGGUGCCCGGGAUACACAAAUCAGUAAUCACAACGGCGAGAUCCGUCUCCAAGUAUUCGCCUGCUAACCAAUUGUCAGACCCGGUAGGAGGUGCAUCAUAUAUAUUGAAUACUUCUCUAAUCGCGGAAGGGCGAUAAUUCACCAGUUCUGCUCGAACAAUAGUAAUGCCUCUUGUUAGCAACUCCGUGGCAUUAGCAUAAAAUUCUCGAACAAUCCCCACUGGAAUGGGCGUAGGAGAUGCAGUUAAACCAACCCAAUCUCGUUCGCGUAUCAUCUGCCAAAGUUGGCCAUCUUGUUUUGUCGGUUGGAAUCCCCGUUCCUUCACAAGAGAUUUGGCCAUACUCCGAUAAUAGUCUUGAUGUGCUUCCAAAUUGAUAAACCUGCUCUCGUCUAAGACCUCCUCUUCCUGGUGAUCGGAAGAAAAUUCGGAUGAAGAGGAGAGUGAGAUUGCACGUGCUCAUUUUGGACCCAUGUGGUGAUGAUAGAGAUAAUGGGAAGGAAUUGUUGAUGAAUGUUCCUCAAAUUUAGUGCUUCACCAGAUCCUAAGUUUGGAUCACCAGAUCCCCAGUCAGUUUAGGUUUUCUAAACCUUUCUCACCAUAUACAACCUUUUUUCACAUCCGUUUGCCCCAUCAAAGACAAACACACCUUCCAACCAGCAGCCUAGUUUCAAAUCAUCAGAUCCAUCCCUCACCUCAGGUUACCCAUCAGGGAUUAAACCUUUCACACCUUUAGUUUAUCUCACCAGGGAUUAAACCAUUCACACCUUAAGUUUAUCCCUUUUGGGAUUAAACCAUUCACACCUUCAGUUUGUCCUGUACAUGGGAUUAAACUUUUCAUCUUCAAUUCAUCUUGUACAUGGGGUGAACUACGUCGACCUGAUCUCCCCAAUACACGGGAGUACGUAGGCAGCCAUUUUUAUGGUACGGUCUCACCAUAUAAAAAAUAAAAACAAACACUCCUAUCCAUAACCACAUAUAGAAACCAGUCCGAAGACACAAAAGAUGGUAGGUAAUACACCCAAAUUAACGAUGCAUUCUGAAAGAUCAUGAGACAUCUCAAUGUAUGUCCCUCAAGGAGGAGUUCAGAAUACAUCAAGAUCACAAGUUCUAGAGAAAUAGGUAAAUAUCAAGUAAGUAACAAGGCACAACUAAAAGGGAAGUGAAUCAACAUAUAUUUCCCUGCCAUAUAUAAUGAUGUUUGAUAUAUACAAUGUGUACUGUACAUGACAAAAUGGCUAAGCUAGUCUUUGCAGGAAAAUACAAGCCCAUCUACAAGUCAGUGUAUAUGCGGGCUAUCAAGUCCAAUAUGGAAUCCCUCUCAGAAGAAGGAGGUAAUGUUGUGAGCUCCUGCCCUAUGGUAUCAACGCGAGCCAAGAGAUCCACAACCAUCUACAUGGGGACACAAUGCUCAUCAAUAAACGUGCUCAUCUCUGCAAUGAUAUCAAUAAUAUGGGACCUCAAUGCAGUACUAUCUGUGAUAGCGGCGUCUCAGGAAGACAUAGCGCCAUCCCGCUCAACAACCAUUGCAUCUCUAGAUGAUCGAGCCUUAACCCGCUUAGCAAUAGCAGUAUCCUUGUGAGUUAGAGCAUCAUUUCUCUCAACUAGAGCGGCAUCUAUACCACAAAGGUUGUCAACAUCAAAGCCAAAUCCACUACAUGUUCACCAUAUAGUAAAGAGGUAAAAUCCUCUCGUGAUCUCGGCAUCUUAUCAGCCGAUCUGUCAAAGCAACUAUCCCAGACAAUAAGCAAGGCUGGGGAGAUUUCAAAAUUGGCGACAACCCGAUAUUGCAACCCUUACAACAAGAUUGGGGAAAUCUCGGAAGCAACGACAACUCUACACUAGGGCAUUUAUCAAACAUCCUAAAGUUGAAAAUUCACCAGUCAACACCAUCAGCAUGGUUCAUCAUCAUCUCACUGGCGAUUCAGAUAUUACUCACUCGCGACUUGGUCAAAAAAGAGAGUUUCUCAUAUUGAUCCCCAGCAACAACAUGCGAAAGGACUGGGGCAUUCUCCGAUUCCAGGAAAAAGAAGGAGUUUAAGGCGGGAUCAAGCCUCUCAUCAUAAGAAAGGGGAGAACUCUAAAAGAAAUCAUGGCGACAUAAGCUUGCCCCUACAAAAGAAGGGGAAAAUUCUUAAGAAAGUCUUAAAUCAAAAGCAGAAGCCCUAUGAAAAAAGGGCUAACGAAUGAAAUCCUCAUCAUCAAAUAUGCCAACCGGCAUCUAAUCCUCACAAGUCAAGGCCUCUACACCGAAGUUCAAAUUUGUGUAGCAAAAGAACAAGUUGCACCCUCUAGGGAUGUCAGCAACAUUCAGGUCAUCAGUUCAGUUUGGUUGCGAAUCAAACGCUCAAGGAAAUGGGGCACAAGCAACCAACAUCGAAAGGAAACUCCAAAUCACCUCUAAAACAGUGAGGUAGAGUCUGCUGAAGCAAACUGUUGAAUAUUACUUUAGCAAAGGUAUUAUAUGAUCCGGUAUUCUAAACCAUUGGCAUCAAUUCAAUGCCACAUCAAGAGAGUUCAGUGAGGAAAGCUUUGUAUACCACCAUUCGAGUGGGUACCAAAAUAGUUUGACGAUUUCUGCGUCUUUAACUACCAGCAGCGUAGGAUCCGUUUUCAAACUACCAGCAGGGUAGGCACCGUUGCAAACUACCAGCGUAUACAUCGGGAAGGUCCGGUGAUUUCAGAACAUCAUCCCCAGUUGAGAUGUAGAAAACAUCUCAACUUAUCUUCAUCAAACAAACAUCGACAACACCAACAAAAAGCCAAACCGUUGGAGUCAACACCAGCAUAUGCAUCCGCAAUGAUCGGUAAAGGUAAAGCAAUUUGUGAAAACAUUUUAACAUUUAUCAUAACAUUCAUUACAUUUGCGAUUUGCAAUAUGCGAAAUACAAUGUGCGAGUUGCGAAGUGCGAUUGGCCAAAUGCGAAAAGCGAAUUACGAAAAGCAAAGUUUGAUAUGCUUUUUGAGAAAACAUUUUAAACAUUCAUCAUAACAUUCAUUACAUUGAGAUUUGUAUCAUUAGAAAUACCUUUUCAUAUUUCAAGUGUCUAAUAAUCUUUAUCAUGUCCAUUGCAUUGCAUGAACAUGAUAAAUAAGGGCAUCUGUAGACACUCGAAAAUUUAUUUUCCUGUUACUAACUAUAUAGGAGGACAAAAACAUCUUUUUCACACUCCAGAGAUAACCUUGGAGGACCACAAUAUCAAUUCCAACCCCGGAGAUAGCCUCGAGAGAUCUAGUUUCCAACCCCAGAGAUAACCCCGAGAAAUCGGUUUCCAACCCCAGAGAUAACCUCGGGAAAAUCGGUUUCAACCUUGAGGGAUUAAGUUCAAAGCCUGGAGAUAACUCUAGGAGGUCAAGCCAACCUUAGAGAAAACCCCGAGGAUAGUCAAAGUCAACAUCUGUUCAACCUCAGAGAUAAACCUGAGAAAAGACUGCUACAACUGCGCAAAAAUCGGAGAUAACCCCAGGGAAGAUAAAAAUGGUCAUUUUGCCAAAUCAAUCUCAACUCAAAUCAAAUGCACUCAUUUUAACUCAAAUUGCUUCAAAAGAAGUCCCACAAGAACCAUAUCUUAACUUUCGAGCGCAAACUACACAAAAUGGCUUAACGGACUAACUGACGGAAACCCAGAAAUGCCAUUUCGGUUAUGGACCCAUCUUUCCUAAGUUAAAAAGGUCAAAUCCUAUGUCAUUAUGUAGCUCUCGGAAAGAGAUUUUUGGAAUGGUAUGGCACGCUUCCAUCGGACUCAUGUAUUGAAAGUUAUGAAGGUUCGAACGAACAAUGCGUCAUCCGAGUACACAUACUUCGAGACGGUGGGACCCACAUUGCCUGGGGCACUUCGGGCAGCUGCAUGUACACCCACGGUUACCGCAGGUACACCCACAGAGUCGCCACCUGUCGACAUCGGGAUUUUUAUUUGUCCCUUUUCUGUUCUUGUUCCUUGGUGUUCUCAUGUUAGGUGAGAUUUGUUUGAAAAAACAAGUUGUGAAAAGGUCCGACAUGUAUAUGUCGACGAUUGGACUAUAAGAGUCGACAGUUGGUUUUUUAAAUGGCUGUUCCAACACAACCGAGAAAAGGUUUGCACAUUGACCCAGUGAUGUGACACUGCUAAACAGGUCUAUGAAAACGAGAUUCAUUAGGGUCCGGGGGCUUGAUUAUGUAGAGGAAGGGUGUUAGGCAUCCCCCGACAUCCGUGUUACCACGGUGACCGCCACUUUUCAAGAAACUGUUAUAUGAAUGUGUGUGUGUGUGUGUGGGUCAAUGUGCAGUAAUAUGGAAGUAAUGCGAGGUCUCGUUCGCACCUAUAUACACAGGGUUUGAAUUUGUGUAAAAAUUCAGUUUUAAACAAAAUAUGGCAGUGAUAUUUUAUAAAAGAGGUUUUUUAAACCCUUAUGCUCAAUAGUAAUUGAGACCUUUAACACUCCCAUUUUUUUUAAGUGUUCGUCUUGGUUGUUUUUAAUUAUUCCGAGAUGCGAAGCAUCUUCGAUAAAAUAAUGUACAAAAUAGUGCCAAACUCCUCGUGGGUAUGAAAACUAUACGAAGAAAUUCCAACACCAUAAAUAAAUUUACAAGCUGCUUACAGCUGAAAAUGUCCAUCACGGGAACCGAAUCUAGAUCUAGUAGACUGAAUCUGUGAUCACAUGAUUCCUAGGCUCACAUGAUGCCGCAAUUGAUAAUAAAGCAGUAAGUAGGUAUAUAUAUAAAAGCUGUAUAUAUAUAUAUAUAUAUAUAUAUAUAUAUAUAUAUAUAUAUAUAAGCGGUAAACGCACCGGAUGUAAAUCCAGGCUCAUCGAACAAAGUUUGACACACAGUUGAUAUAUAUAAAUAUAUAUUAAAGCAGUAAACGCUCCGGAUGUAAAAUCCAGGCUCAUCAGAUAUGUCUGACAAUUAUAUAUAUAUAUUACUAUAUAUAUAUAUAUAUAUAUAUAUAUAUAUAUAUAUAUGUACAAACUAAAAUGAAACCACGGACCGAAGUCCGGGUAAACACACGCACCACGACUCUCAACGUGAAGAAUGGUGUGUUCAAAGAUGAAGAAAAAUGCUUUAAAGUGUGUGAGAAGGCUUAUAGUGGGCUGCCAAAGAAGACUUCUAUAUCUUUAAAGGGAUGAACACCCGGCUCCCCCCGAUACAAAAUAGAAGCUAUAUGUGAGCUCACAAGUGUUUAAAAUGAGAAAGCACUCAGUGUAGGGUGAGUACAGAGCAAAUUUGACACGGCUUCCUCGCCUUUUUUCUUACAAAAUGGCCACCCCAAGCCCUCUAUUUAUAGAGGGGGCCGCAGAUGUACCUGCGACUGCCCGGGUUGCCCUGGGCUUUGUGGGUCCCACCUUCUCGAAGUACGUGUACGCAUGCAUUAUAAUGUCCGAUCAAACUUUCAGAAUUGCAAUUCGGGCUUCCAACUAAGGCAUGUAAGACCUAUUUCGGACCGCCGUUGUUGAGAGUUACACAAUGACAUGGGAUUAGAAGUUGUAUGAAGUCAGGAAGAUGGGACCAUGCCCUCUGAUCUUUAAGCUUCAAAUUCUAUCCGUUGUCUUGCAUAAUAGUCGCUCGGGAUUGGAACUCCUUGGUUCUUGUGGGACUUUGUUGUGUAGAAAUGUAUGUAUGAAAUGUUUAGACGGCGUAAUGUGGCAUCACGAUGGAAAGAUGAUGACUUUGCCCUCUCACUGUAGUUAUCGCCGGUUUGGGCUGAUAAAGCAGACGUUGCUCAGGGUUAUCUCUGAGAUUGGACUGCUGCAAGUAUUGUAGGUCCUCAGUGUCAUCUCUGAGGUGUGCAUGUCUUCCCGGUGUUAUCUCUGGGUCUUGUACUGAGUGCCUCAGGGUGAGUGCCGAGGUUGAAGCCGAUUGCAUGCAUUUGAAACAAGCAUUUCCGGGGUUAUCACCGGAACUGCAUUCCAUGGGGUUAUCUCCAAGGUUGGUAACUGCUACUCCCAGUGUUGGGACUGAGAUUGAAUAUCUUAGGGUUAUCUAAGAGAAGAAUCGGCAUUCUCUGGUGGAAUUUCUAGUAUUGGAACUGCAUGCCUCGGGGUUAUCUCCGAUGUUGGAACUGAUACUCCCGGUGUGUGUUCCGGGGUUUAGACUAAACUUCCGGUAGUAUCCAGACUGGAUAUGAGUUGUCUUCCAGGGUUAUCUCUGAAAGACGAAUCUUCUGUAAGACCCCAAAUUUUACGAAAUGAAAGUAUUCAAUUUUCUGAUAAUUGUUAUUCUAUUUAGUAAAUGGUUAAAUUGUUAAAAGGUUAAAGUUAAGGAUGAUAUUUGAAAAUUUUGCAAAGUAAUCAAGUUGAUAUAAAAUAUUUGUUGUGUCGGGGAAUAUUCUUUUUGUCAGGGAAUAUCCGUACGACGACACCAUCAUUGGUGGACCCCACAACGGAAUAAUUGUCGGAGUUAGAAAACGACAGAAAUAUCUUUUUAUAAAAAUAACGGCAAAAGUUUUACCAUUAUACUGUUGAAAUAUCUGGUGGUAAAAAUACAGUAAUACGUGUGGUUGCAUAGUAGCACACGGUAUUGAUUAUUGAUGCUUACAUAAGAAUCCACUCAGUUUACUCAAUUAUUGCUACAGUAAUUAUUGCAUAGUAUCUCACGUUAUUUGAUUCAAUUAUUAUCACAGUAUCAUCUGCAUAAUAUUUUAUAUUAUUAAAUCAAUAAUUCAGACAACAAAGUUAUUCAUAUUAUUAUUUGCAAUAUUGACAAUAUCUAGAAGUUCUGUCAAGGAGAGGUUUGGUCACCUAAUUGUGCGCCAAUAAGGAGAAAUCCUUAUCGGAAAGCCCCCUCUUUUCUGAGAACGACCUGGUUGUUAAAUAUUGUGAGUUAUAAUAUUAGUGAUCAGUAAUUGUUGAAGUAUUAAGAAUGUGUUUAUUGAAGAUAAGUGAAUUACAAAAGUUAGAGGGGAAUAAUGCAAACUUGGAAAACUUUAGGGGUACUAAAGUGUAAUAAGUUAAAUCAAUCUGGACUAUUGGUGGUAGUUUUAAUAGUAAAUCAAUCUGGACCAUUGAUGGUGGUUUUAAUAGUAAAUCAAUCUGGACCGUCAGUGGUGGAUUUAAUAGUAAAUCAAUAUGGACCAUCGGUGGUGGUUUUAAUAGUAAAUCAAUCUGGACCGUUGAUGGUGGUUUUAAUAGUAAAUCAAUCUGGAUCGUUGAUGGUGGUUUUAAAAGUAAUCAAUCUGGACCAUCGAUUGUGGUUCUAAUAGUAAUCAAUAUGGAUCGUCCGUUCUAAUAGUAAAUCAAUCUGGACCGUUCGUGAAUUAGUUACUAUUUAGUCAUUUCUCCUAUAAAUAGAAGCUUAAUUCUUCUUUCAUUCUCACCAAUUCACUGAGACUCUCAAGAGAAGCUAUAGAUAGAGAAACUAUAGAGAGAAAGAAGAAGAGUAUUCUGAUACUUCACUAUUGCAAUAUCCGGUCUUCUACUAAGGUAAGGGAUGUUAUUUUCGUUUAGUGAAGGAUAUUAUUUGUUGCAUUCGUAUGGGGUAUUAUUUCUUUUGUAUUCAUAAGGAAUGCUAUUUUUUAGUAUUUAUCCUUUAAUAUGUCGGAAUAACUUGUCUACGCGGAUUACGUAACAUAUGACGGGUGAAAAUCCAUUUGCAGUUUUGUAUGUUAUUUCUUUUCAUAUUCUUAAAUCUAAACUUACUAUGGUAAGUAUUGCUUCUAUAAUCAUUGAAAUUAGUGGAAUAUUCUUGAGUUUUGCGCUGCAUCCAGUAUCUUUUUAUUGGAAUAUUAAUCUAAACUUUCUUAUUAAAUAUCAAUAUUUUCACCUGGGGUACUAUUCAUGGGUUACUAUUCACCCAGUUACUAUUCACUAUAAUAUUAUUCACUUGGGUAUUUAGGGCACUUUUCAUGUCGGUGUACUAUUCACGAGUUACUAUUCACGGGUUACUAUUCACCUAAUUACUAUUCACUCUAGUAUUAUUUACUCAGGUAUUUGGGGCACUUUUCAUACCGAGGUCCUAUUCAUGAGUUACUAUUCACAGGUUACUAUUCACCCAAUUACUAUUCACUCUAGUAUUAUUCACUCGGGUAUUCGGGGCACUUUUCAUGCCGGGGUUACUAGUCACGGGGUACUAUUCACCCAAAAAAUAUAUUUCUUUUCUGUCCAAAUUAUUUUGAUACAUGGAUAUUAUUCUUGAAUUUUACUCCACAAAGCAGUAUCAUGCUGACAAUUUUGAUAUUUUAAACUCUCGAUAAAUUUAAAGUCUUUAAUAUUUAUCAUUGAUCUCACUUGAUUGAAUCUUUAAAUCAUUGUCAUCAUUCUCAUAUUUAUAUUGUGUUGAAAGUCAUCUUUGGGUGACGUGCAAAGAUGGAUGGUUGAUUAUUAGUUUUAUAGUUGUAUAUCUUUGGCUUACGUGCAAAGAUGGACUGUUGAUUAUUGGUUUUACAGUUGUAUAUCUUUGGCUUACGUGCAUAGAUGGACUGUUGAUUAUUGGUUUUAUAGUUGUAUAUCUUUGUCUUACGGGCAAAGAUGGACUGUUGAUUAUUGGUUUAUAGUUGUAUAUCUUUGGCUUAUGUGCAUAGAUGAACUGUUGAUUGGUAUGAUUAUGACCAGGGAUAAUUCGGUAUAAUCAUGACUCGUAAUGUUACAAAUGAUGUGGUAAAAGUCCUCAUUGGCCUGUAGUGCAUUGAUGGACAGUUGUUGGUAUGAUUAUAACCAGGGAUUAUUCGGUAUAAUCAUUACCAUUGUUGAAAAUACGAAUAUCCUUAGCCCGUAGUGCAUGGAUAAUUCAUGGUCAUAAUACUAAUGAAUAUCCUUGACCGUAGUGCAGGGAUGAUUCGAUGAUGUGAAUUAUUUAUUAAGCUGAGUCUCAGCGAUAAAAUAUUGAUUAUACACUUUUAAUUAGUAGAAGAUAGUAGAAAUCAUGCUCUACUUGACUCUUCUAAAAUACAAUUGUAUGUCUUUGGCAUGUAGUGCAAAGAUGAAUUUAUUAGUAUGAUUAUGAACAAGAAUUGUGAUUGGGUAUAACCAUGAUUUUUGAUGUUUCAGGUAAAGACAUGUGAUGAAAAUUAUCUUCGUGCUGGGUGCGAAGAGGAAUUUAGAAUCACAAUUAUGAUUAUGAGUUAUUCACAUGAUUGUGGACAUGAAUUGUUGAUUAAUGUUAUAGGGAUAAAACACUGUUGAUGGACUUUUAACAUGGAGAAGAUAAUAGACCUUAUGGUCUAUUUGACUCUUCUAAUGGAUUGCUUGUUCCGUUGCAACUAUGGUUGAAAAGUUUUAUCAUCUAUCAUAUGUUCUAAAUCUCUGAUUUAUUACUAAUGAAGGCUAUUGAUAAUAAUUAUCUCUAGUCAUGAUAUUCUUUACUGGGCUAGUUGUGCUCGCCCUUUUUGCUUCACAAUUCCUUUCAGGUAAUAAGAAUGUAGCUGGGUCGAGCGAGGGUAACUGGGGAAUAUAAUGGUGGUCUCUAGCUGUGGAGGUUCUCCCUAAAUAGUAUGGAAAUAAUUUUAUUGAGAACUUUAGAAUAAUGUGUUGUAUUUUAUACAUCAUUUAGUUGUUAUAUUUGGUGAAUCAAAUAGGGUGAGGCGAACCCAACAUUGGAAGGGUGUUUUGCAACUAUCAUACAAGAUUUCUCAUGACAUGCGAGUUCGUGUUAUCAUAAGACAGGGUUGUGCACAUUCACUUGCUGAGUAUAUCUACGAGCACUACCUAUAUAAUCUUGGUGAAGUAUAAUUCUCGAUUAGAGACAGUGGAGAUAAUGAUAUGUCAAGAGAAGACUCACCAUUGGAAAGAAUAUGAUAGUAAUCUUCUCGAUUUUCUUUGGGGUCUAUUGGAUCAACCAAGGAAAAUUCUGUGGACAUAUGAUAUCUAUCAUAACUUAGACGAAUGGCCUCCCAUGUACGAAGGUUUUCUUGAGUACUUUUCGAAUAUUAUAAUUUCUAAAAUAGUUAUUGACUGUACCUUUAUGUAAGGUACCAUUGUAAGGUGUUGUGGUCGAGGCACCAUGAGAGUUGCAUAUAUUUUUAUUAAAACUCACAGCUUAUGCGUUGUCGUACUCUGCACGACAGUUCAAUAUUUGUAUAAAUGAAGUUGUAUUUGAUUUUUAUAGCAUGAUAUCUGGCGACUCAGAAUGGGUCAUUUGGACCUAUUUUGGGGGCGUCACAAAUGGUAUCAGACCUUUGGGAUAUAGUCGCUUGCGGAGAUAUGAGUCUUGAACUAGGAGGGGAGAGACGAGUAAUAUACUUCGCUAGUGUGCGACUUACCUAAGCUGAAAUUUUUACUUGAUAAGUUUACAAAUUUUGAUAUGUCAAUUAACCUUUGCUUUGAAGAUAUAUUCUAGAAUGAUAUCUGAAAUACAUGAGAUGAGAAAUGGGAAAAUCAUGAUACAGAGGAAAUAACCGGGAAGGUACAAUCCGAAAAGAAAAUAAGGUAUUCUCAUAUCUUCGAACUACUAGGUACGUAAAUUUCGAGGGCAAAAUUUCAUAAGGAGGGGGGAUUGUAAGAACCCGAAUUUUACGAAAUAAAAGUAUUCAAGUUUCUAAUAAUUGUUACUCUAUUUAGUAAAUGGUUAAAUUGUUAAAAGGUUAAAGUUAAGGGUGAUAUUUGAAAAUUUUGCAAAGUAAUCAAGUUGAUAUAAAAUAUUCGUUGUGUCGGGGAAUAUUCUUUUUGUUAGGGAAUAUCCGUACGACGACACCAUCAUUGGUGGACCCCACAACAGAAUAAUUAUUGGAGUUAGAAAACGAUAGAAAUAUCUUUUCAUAAAAAUAACGACGAAAGUUUUACCGUUAAACUGUUGAAAUACUCGGUGGUAAAAAUACAGUAAUACACGUGGUUGCAUAGUAGCACACGGUAUUGAUUAUUGAUGCUUAUGUAAGAAUCCACUAAGUUUACUCAAUUAUUGCUACAGUAAUUAUUGCAUAGUAUCUCAUGUUAUUUGAUUCAAUUAUUAUCACAGUAUCAUCUGCAUAAUAUUUUAUAUUAUUAAAUCAAUAAUUGAGACGACAAAAUUAUUCAUAUUAUUAUUUGCAAUAUUGACAAUGUCAAGAAAUUCUGUCAAUGAGAGGUUUGGUCACCUAAUUGCGCGCCAAUAAGGAGAAAUCCUUAUCAGAAAGUCCCCUCUUUCCUGGGAACGACCUGGUUGUUAAAUAUUGUGAGUUAUAAUAUUAGUGAUGAGUAAUUGUUAAAGUAUUAAGAAUGUGUUUAUUGAAGAUAAGUAAAUUACAAAAGUUAGAGGGGAAUAAUGCAAACUUGGAAAACUUUAGGGGUACCAAAGUGUAAUAAGUUAAAUCAAUCUGGACCAUUGGUGGUGGUUUUAAUAGUAAAUCAAUCUGGAUCGUCGGUGGUGGUUUUAAUAGUAAAUCAAUCUGGACCGUCGGUGGUGGUUUUAAUAUUAAUCAAUCUAGACCGUUGAUGGUGGUUUUAAUAGUAAAUCAAUCUGAACUGUUGAUGGUGGUUUGACAAUUUUGUAAAUAUAAUAAUAUUAUAAUAAAUUUUCUGCUUUGGUGUUCUAAGCAUUUUCCUAUAAAUAGGGUGCUUAGGUUAGAAUUGAAAAUCACACCAGAAACUGAAAUCUUCUCUCUCUUUCUCUUUCGAUAUAUUGAGCGUAUUCUUGUGAGUAUUUUAAUACUUUGAGUGUUGCUAUACGGUGCAAGUUCAAGUCAUAGCCUAUAUCCGGUGUUUCAACUAGAAGUACUAUCUUUUCGAGGUAAGGGAUGUUAUUUUCUUUUUAAAUGAUAUUAUUUUCUUCAAUAUCAUUAUGCCAAAAUAUUGGUUUNNNNNNNNNNNNNNNNNNNNNNNNNNNNNNNNNNNNNNNNNNNNNNNNNNNNNNNNNNNNNNNNNNNNNNNNNNNNNNNNNNNNNNNNNNNNNNNNNNNNNNNNNNNNNNNNNNNNNNNNNNNNNNNNNNNNNNNNNNNNNNNNNNNNNNNNNNNNNNNNNNNNNNNNNNNNNNNNNNNNNNNNNNNNNNNNNNNNNNNNNNNNNNNNNNNNNNNNNNNNNNNNNNNNNNNNNNNNNNNNNNNNNNNNNNNNNNNNNNNNNNNNNNNNNNNNNNNNNNNNNNNNNNNNNNNNNNNNNNNNNNNNNNNNNNNNNNNNNNNNNNNNNNNNNNNNNNNNNNNNNNNNNNNNNNNNNNNNNNNNNNNNNNNNNNNNNNNNNNNNNNNNNNNNNNNNNNNNNNNNNNNNNNNNNNNNNNNNNNNNNNNNNNNNNNNNNNNNNNNNNNNNNNNNNNNNNNNNNNNNNNNNNNNNNNNNNNNNNNNNNNNNNNNNNNNNNNNNNNNNNNNNNNNNNNNNNNNNNNNNNNNNNNNNNNNNNNNNNNNNNNNNNNNNNNNNNNNNNNNNNNNNNNNNNNNNNNNNNNNNNNNNNNNNNNNNNNNNNNNNNNNNNNNNNNNNNNNNNNNNNNNNNNNNNNNNNNNNNNNNNNNNNNNNNNNNNNNNNNNNNNNNNNNNNNNNNNNNNNNNNNNNNNNNNNNNNNNNNNNNNNNNNNNNNNNNNNNNNNNNNNNNNNNNNNNNNNNNNNNNNNNNNNNNNNNNNNNNNNNNNNNNNNNNNNNNNNNNNNNNNNNNNNNNNNNNNNNNNNNNNNNNNNNNNNNNNNAUUAUUUAUUAAGCUGAGUCUCAGCGAUAAAAUAUUGAUUAUACACUUUUAAUUCGUAAAAGAUAGUAGAUAUCAUGCUCUACUUGACUCUUCUAAAAUACAGUUGUAUGUCUUUGGCCUGUAGUGCAAAGAUGAAUUGUUAAUGAAUAUCUUUGGUCGUAGUGCAAAGAUGAAUUUAUUAGUGUGAUUAUGAACAAGAAUUGUGAUUGGGUAUAACCAUAAUUUUUGAUGUUUCAGGUAAAGAUAUGUGAUGAAAAUUAUCUUCGUUCUGGGUGCGAAGAGGAAUUUCGAAUCACAAUUAUGAUUAUGAGUUAUUCACAUAAUUGUGGACAAGAAUUAUUAAUUUAUGUUACAGGGAUAAAACACUAUUGAUGGACUUUUAACAUUGAGAAGAUAAUAGACCUUAUGGUAUAUUUGACUCUUCUAAUGGAUUGCUCGUUCCGCUGUAACUAUGGCUGAAAAGUUUUAUCAUCUACCAUAUGUUCUAAAUCUCAGAUUUAUUGCUAAUGAAGGCUAUUGAUAAUUUAAUUAUCUUUAGUCAUGAUAUUCUUUACUAGGCUAGUUGUGCUCACCCUUUUUGCUUCACAAUUCCUUUCAAGUAAUAAGAGUGUAGCUGGGUCGAGCGGGGUUAACAGGGGAAUAGAACGGUGGUCUCUAGCUAUGGAGGUUCUCCCUAAACAGUAUGUUAAUAAUUUUAUUGAGAACUUUAGAAUAGUGUGUUAUAUUUUAUACAUCCUUUAGUAGUUAUAUUUGGUGAAUCAAAUACGGUGAGGCGAACCCAACGUUGGAAGGGUGUUUUGCCACUAUCAUACAAGAUGUCUCAUGACAUGCGCAUUCGUGUUAUCAUAAGACAGGAUUGUGCACAUCCACUUGCUGAGUAUAUCUACGAGCACUACCUAUAUAAUAUUGGUGUUUGGUUGAAGUAUAAUUCUCGAUUAGAGACAAUGGAGAUAAUGGUAUGUCAAGAGAAGACUCACCAUUGGAAAGAAUAUUAUAGUAAUCUUCUCGUUUUUUCUUUGGGGUCUAUUAGGUAAACCAAGGAAAAUUCUGUGGACAUAUGAUAUCUUUCAUAACCUAGACGCAUGGCCUCCCAUGUACGAAGGUUUCCUUGAGCACUUUCUAAAUAUUUUUAUUUCUAAAACAGUUAUUGAUUGUACCUUUAUGUAAGGUACCAUUGUAAGGUGUUUUGGUCGAGGCAACAUGAGAGUUGCAUAUAUUUGUAUUAAAACUCACAGCUUAUGCGUUGUUGUGCUCUGCACGACAGUUCAACAGUUGUAUAAAUGAAGUUGUAUUUGAUUUUUAUAGUAUGAUAUCUGGCGACUCAUGAACGGGUCGUGUGGACCUAUUUUGGGGGCGUCACAUCUGCCCUCCUACAAUGUCGGUUACAUGUGUGCAGAAAAUUUUGAGUGUCUACAGAUGCCGCUCUUUAUCAUAUUCAUGCAAUGCAAUGCAUGGAUAGGAUAAAGAAUCCUAGACACUUGAAAUGCAACAAGAUAAACAUGAUGCAAAGUGAAGCAACAUGAUGCAAAUGUAUGAUGCAUGUGUGUUGGGUUGUUCUCCAACAUGUUGGGGAUGGUUUUCGGCUCCCUGUUGCUUCUAUCGGGGAUUAGCAACGAUGACCAGAUUGGAUGUGUGAUCCAAAUCUUUUAGGAUAUUGACAUUGGGGUUAUCACCAAUGUCCUUAAUCCUUGAUACAUACUUGAUUCCGAAGAUGUGCCUCUCGUGUAUAAGAAAUCUGUGGGGAUAAGGCUAUGUCUAUUUGAGGAUGUGUAUAACAAAUUCCAUCAUCGAUCAUCCUCAAUGAUGCUGAUCUUCCCUAGUUUUUAUCGCCAGGACAUAUCAAUGUUCUGUUGGAUUUACUGCCAAUAGUAUGUGUUGUCAGGGCUGCCUGACCUUCGCUGACAUGUAUGUCACCAGAUAAAACCCCAAUUGGGCAUGCUGUCAAGGAUGCUUGACCUUCGUUGACAUGUGAAUCAACAGAUAAACACGUGUUGUAACCCCUGCCGGGGUUCUUCUUAAUCAUCGCUGACGUGUAAAUCAAUGGAACAUGCGUUGUACCCCCCGCCGGGGUUCUUCGUAAAAAUUAGGGUGACGACCCUACAUUGGCGGCAUUGGACCUGUGCUAGGUAUUGCCGAAUGUGAUUUGUAAUAACUGAGAUCAUCGACAUAGUAUUCCCUGUGCUCGGGUGAAUACCAAUGAAUGAUGUGCAGACCCAUGGCUUGAUCUGAGAAAAACCAGGAUUAUAAGUUAUUCCGCUUAAUCGCGUAGCGUUUUUAUUCCUGAUUUGGCUUUUUCAGCUUAUGAGAAUUUUGUUGCAACUCAAACUGGAUCAAGACGGAGAGGUGGGACCCAUGUAGGGGUGCCCCAGGUACACCUGUAAUAGUAGUAGGUGGACCUGUGGCCAGCCAUGGUUAUUAAAUGGCUGUAUGUGGCUUUCAUAAAUCAUUUUCAAGCUGCGCCGCAAAGAAAAUCUGAGAGAUCUUCUUCAGAUCCGCUGAGUUCGGGCAACUUUUUGUAAAUUCUAUCACCGUACAAGUGUUUUACACUGUCCUGGUAACGUAUGCAUGUCUUCUUUUCCAGUUUUUAUCCUUUGGAAAAUUACUUAUCACAUAAACUGCAUCUAAACACAUAGUAGUGAAUAUGCAUGCUCAAAUGACUUGAUAAAAAAUAUUCAACAUAGUAAAUGUUAGUAUUAAACCAUGUUGAACAGAAUGAUGUGAAAAAAAUUUGACUUUUGAGACAGUAAAAUGGGCACCUUUUUCUUCUAUUUCUUAUCCUAUUUGAGGACAAAUGAACAAAAGGUAAAAUGCAAAGCAAUCUUGUUAAUUAAGUCACCCUUAUGGAUUGAUGACUUUGAAUUUUAAUGCAUAUGGUAUGUAUAUGACUGUGGCCAGGUGUGCUACUGAAUGACCACCUAAUCAUGCAUAUGUGCAUGUGGAUAGUCCUAUUUACAAAGGAGACUAUAGCAAAAAAAAUUCAAAAUGUAGGCAUUGAAUAGUCAUGCAUUUUUGACUCUACUGUAGAUGCAUUUUAAAGUAAUGUAUUCAUGCAUGUAGUCAUAAAAUGCAUUUUAAAAAGAAAGCUCUAGGUUAGAAAUUACCACACCCUUUCUGAGGUGAUUUGGAGACUUUUGUCCAUAUAUUAUGGAUCCGGCUCAGCCAAGUAGUUCCCGCAGGACCACUUCUGGUGUACGGAGGAGGGCUUCUGAAGUGCCUCGACCCCGUUCUGUUAGACAGCCACAUCGGUUAGUGGAGGCUGUGAUACGUCCAGUCCAGGUUGAUGUGCCAGACGUUGAGGAGGAGGAGGAGGAUGUUUCGGUUGCGGACCCUGCUCCUGCUGCACAUAUUCCCCGUAGGGACCUCCCGAGUAUUCAGGUGGCAAACCCAGAGCUCUUGGGUGAUUUUAGUCGACAUCCCUCGAUGUAUUUGAAUGCCAACGAGGUAUAACGUUAGAUCUUAAUCUUCCUUCUUUCCUAUUGAUGAGGAGUAAAGGAUUUUGAUGUUGAUCUGCAUUUCAUGUAGGUUCCCGGCUUUACACAGCCUCGAGUGAACUGGUUCAACAUUCACUCCAUGUACCAGGUUCUACAUCUUGACUAUAGAGCGAUUGGGCAUGACUGAGGAUUCAGGACGUUCUUUUCCAUCUUUCCCUGUCGUUGUCCCUGGGGUUACCUCAGGGCUUUGUCUGAACGCUGGUUUCACCAGACUCAGUCACUCCAUUUGUUGGACUGUGAGGUGAUGAUGACGCCGAUGGAUUGGCAGUUUAUCACAAGUAUGGAGUUUGGAGGGGCACCAAUACCUUGUAUGGCGGAUAUUACCCCUACUGCCGUCAGAUCCUUGCUAGGAGUUCCAGACGGGGCGCUCAAGGGUAGGACUGUCCGUACGGGUCCUUUGAUCGUAGAUGCUAUGAGUGGGAUGUUGAGCGAGCCCAUGCCAGAUGAUGUCAAAGUCAGGGAUCGUAUUCUUCGGCGAUGUUGUUCGCUUUGAUCAGCGCCACACGACAUGUGGACCGUAUAGGAAAGUAUGAUUGGGGUUCCUACACCUUUGCCUAUUUCCUCAGGGGCAUGCGUAUGUGUAGCAUCCCCGAAUCCAGGUCCCAAAUCACCUCGGAUCCGGUACACUAUUUCUAUUACUAAUUGCGGAAGAUAUAAACAUAAAUUGUUUAUACAUUAAACUUACACACUUUUCCCCAAAAUUGAGUAAUCUUAACUUAAACACAAUUCAUAAACUUUCUAACAUAUAACACAUUUAUCAAACUAUACUAUUACAAAAUAGCCGUACAUUUGAUCACAAACUGAACUUGGCCUUAACCUUUUCCUGUAUCCGAACGCAUUCGCCUUAUCUGCAAUGUUUUAUAAUGAUAUAGCAAGGGUGAGCAUGAAAGUUGCCCAGCAAGUUUAAAUACAAUUUAAGGAUAUAUCAUGAUUGAAAGAGUCAGAAUAAAGAGCUGGCUAUAAUUCAUCAAUAUAAUUGAGAACUAGCAUGAACAAACUUUUGACUGAAUAAGUUUUAAACAUGAACAAACAUUUCUGAACCAACUGGUAAUGAAGGUGAUCAGCCUUUCAUACCUGACUUAUACAUGCAAGAUGUACAGAGUACAAUUUUCAUGGCAACCAACAGUGAUUAACCAUAAGCUUGAAUAAAACACUCUUAGUAGAGUUAAGUAAAAUGAAACUUUCCUGAACCGUUGAUCACCGCAACGCAAUUUAUAACGCUUUACCUGAAGACCUAAUAUUUGUAAUAUAGAUCUCCAAUAUUAGAAUAAUAUCAUCACAGUAUAAUACUAUUAUAUUUAUAUACACAUAAUAACCUAAACACAUAACACAUAAGCCUAUUAGUCUAUACAGCACAUAAGACAUAACAUCAAGUCAAACUAUUUAAGUCUGAGUUAAAACCGACACAAUUCUAUCAUCCCGACGGUCUAGUCAGUCAACACUCGAGUUUAAGUUCAAUUAAACUCUGCCUACAUCCUUAACAAUUAUCACCGAUAAUUUCUUAGCAGAUAAAACAAUUUUCAUUGACUUGCAAUAAAUUUUCAGAUAAUUAAUAUCAUUUAUCAACAUUUUUCAAUCAUUAAAACCGUAUUUAAAUAAAUUAAAUACCACAUAAUUCCUUAAUCAUUAAUAUUCAUUUAAUAUAAAAUAUUAAUGAAAAUCAUUACAUAAUAUUAUAAUAUAUUUAUAAUAUAUCAAAGUAUUUUUAAUACCUUAAAAUCAUAAUUAUAUAAUUUUUAAACACUUAAAUCCAUUAUCCGAUAAUUGCUAUUAAUAUUCAAAUAUUAAUAUUUUCAUGCCAAAAUAUCAAAAGUUAUAUUUUAUAACUUAAAAUAAUUUUCUAAUACUUAAAUCAUUUUUAUAUGAUUUUUAAAUCAUUAAUACUAUUUUUCCAUAAUUUAUUUAAUAUAUAUAUUAAAUAAACUAAUUAUCAUUAAUAUAAAUUAUUAAUGAAAUUUAUCACAAAAUAUUAAAAGUCAUCAAAAAUAACUUACAAUAUUUUCUAACACCAUAAAAUAAUUUUUCAUGAUUUUUCAUGAAUUAAAACUAUUUUUAAAUAAUUUAUUUAAUAGAAUAAUUAAAUAAAUAAAUACCUUUUAUAUUCCAAAAAUAUUAAAUAUUUUCAAAAUAUACUUAAAAUAAUUAAAACUUAUUUUUCAGAAUUUAAAAUAAUUUUUCAGAAUUUAAUUAGUAUUUUUUAUAAUUAAAAACCAUUUUUUAUCUAUUUUUAAAUAAUUUUCGGAAAUUAGUAAUUAAUUUCUUAAUUAAACUGUCGCUAAAAGGGCCAUAUAGCGACAGAACCGUCGCUAUAGGUGUUCUUGGUGUUCAUGAGCCUGCGCAGAUUUCCUUGUCAGACACCAAGUUGGUAUGUUUGACCGAAAUUUAAUCCAUGACACUUAGGCUUUCUGACCAGAAUCUACUGUUUAUAUUGUAGCAUAAGUGUAAUACUACCAUCAUCAAUCAAUUUCAUGUCCAUAACAUAUUAUUACAGAGAGAUCUAGGCCAACUAAAUUGAUGUCAGACCUGUUCUUCAAAUUCUGGAAAUUCCAGAUUUGAAGAACAGCCUUAGGUGCAUACUUUGAUGCCUUGUAUCAUGCAAUUUAUGCAUUGUUUGUGUGAUCUAAAGGUUCUAUUUUGUAGUAAUGAUGUCAGGGUACAAUUAUAUUACAUUAUAUCAACCUAAAAACAUCACAACUAAGAGAUCAAAGCCGGUCAAUUUCUGACAACAACUCGGCUGAUGAAGAUCUGGGUUUUCCAGAAAACCUUCAUCAAGCAGUUUGGUCAACGCCGUUUGACCGUAAUUAAUUUUGAUUCUGUGAACUUUCUAGGUGAUCUAAAGACAUUAAUGUGUAGUAAUUACACCAGACUACAACAUCAACACAACAACUUAGCCCAACACUUAAAUCACAGCAAGAUUAAGAGCUUCAAAAAGGUUGUCAGAUAACAUAGAAAUUUCUGGGCUGCCCAGAAAUCAUAUUUUGUGAUCGGUCAACUAGGUUUGACCGUUCAUAACUUUUGAUCUAGACAAUAUCUGGACUAGUUUCAAGUUGGAGAUUAAAGACCAAAUAACAUACUACAACUACAAACUCUUAAAACACUAAAACAAUUAACACAUACGGAUUUAUGGGGUCUGACAUUAUGCUGUCAGACCAUAUUUUUCCCAUUUUCCAGAUUUCUUAAAAUGCCAAAUCCGAGCACUUUGAUGUUAUGGGUUUGUGUUUUGACAACCCAGAUCAUCAUUUGACACCCUAUUACACAUGUUUAACCAACAAACAACAACAUUAAACAUCAAAAUCAUAGAUUUGCAAGGUUAGGGUUUUAUACCACUUUUUGAGCUUUGAUUCAUGAAUCUGACUUUGGAUUCUGUUCUUGGCUUGCUAAAACUCGAUCAUGGCUUCAUCUUUUCUUUCUCUCUCACUCUAGAUUUCGAAUUUUAGAGAGAGAGGGUCUUGGAAGAAAAUGCAAAAUAAAGUGAGCAUUAUCUCUCUUUUAAUCUUAUAUAUGUGAUAUGAUUCAAUGCAUGAUGCUGAUUUUGCUGAGAUUACUGGUCAUAUUAGUCACAUGCUAGGCUAGGGUUUGGUGAGCAACUCACCAUAGGCUUAGAUCUACAAGCAAUGUCCAAUAAUGCAACAAAGGGUAAUUUAGUCUUUUCCAUUCUAAUUUUAAUGGCAUUUUAGUAAAUGGCCAAACCCUUAGGGUUUAGGGUUUGAGAGGGUUUAGGGUUUGGAAAAUUUUUAGGAUUUAGGGUUUGAACCCUCAAGUUUAACAAUUUGAUUUUCUAAAAUUUCCAAAUUUAGAUUUUCAAAAAUAGAAAUUUAAUAUUUCUAAAUUAUAAUUAGGAUUCUAUUAUAAUAAUUAAGAUUUCCUAAUCAUAAAUUCAAUCUUGCUAAUUAGGAUUAGCAUUUCCUAAUACAAUCGCUAAUUAAGCAAUUAGGGUCAAAAUGGUCAUUAGGGUUUAUAAACCACUAAUUAGGGUUUCUAAUAGAAAAUAAAUUUUCUAAAUUAGAAAUUAGAUUUUCGUAAUUAGAUUAGGGUUUCCUAAUUACUUAACCUUAAAAUUAGGAUUAAUAUAUCCUAAUUAACAUUAAAUUACUAAAUUAACACUUAGGUUUCCCUAAUUAUAAAAUUAGGGUUUUUUUUACCGAAAUUAGGGUUUAACAACUAUUAGGGUUUGCUAACUAAUUAAGUGUUACCCUAAUUAAUAUUAUAAUUAUUUACAUUUACGCCAUUAAGUUCCCGAUUUAGGGUUUCAUGCACCGAAUUAGGGUUUCGGAUUCUCGAAACUGAAAUUAGGGUUUCCAGAACCAGUUUCUAGGGUUUCUUGUCAGACGUUAGGGUUUUCUAACUGAACGUUGGCGUUCUUAAUAUACGAUUAGGGUUUGACACAUAUAUAAUUAAUCUGGUCAAUCCUUGACCCUCAACCACAUUCUGAACACAUACAUAACCAUAAACACAGAACAUAGUCACAUAAAUCCUUAAUCCUGAAUAAUUCACCUAAAUCCUUCACAGAAUUUUGAAAUCCUCAAAAUUCAAUCCUAAUAACAUUAAACGCAUACACUUAUUUUCUGUUUAGGUCUAAUAUUUGACCUUAAAUCAAUCAUUUAUGAUUUUAAUAAUUUGUCUAAAUUCUCGGGUUGUCACAUUCACCCCUCCUUAUAAGAAUUUCGUCCCCGAAAUUCACCUUAAACCUUACACCAAAUAGCUUACGCCAUUCAUCAUACACCAUUCACACAUAUUUGCUUGCUACCCAAUUCACCACUCACAAGAGUAAAAGUUUUCAAAUUAUACUGAGGGGUCAUAUAGACCAUGAACACAUAGAUUUGAUGGUUUUGAUCAUACCGCAAAACAAUACAUUACUUGGUCUGUUUACAAUCACAAAGAAGGUAAACUACCGUUGUUAGUACUUUAGGUGAUCAGCCUAUCGUACUCGUACGUCAUGUAUAACGUAUUAAUCAUUUCUAGCGAAUAUUUACGCUACUAGAUUGGAUUAUUUAUCCAAACAUUAUCGUUCACCUCAGUCUUAUCAUAAGAUUCCGCACCAAAACAAUUUGGUUCGGGAAAUUUCUUUCAAUGAACACUUAGAGUUUUCAUAAACAUUAGUCUAGCUGAUUCAAAUAGCAUAGACUCAUAUCAAUAAUUCAAUUCAAUCGAAUUAUUUAGAUGUAGCCAAACCCCGUUGGCAAAUUAAACUUUUUGAAAACAUUUUCGAGAAUGACGUCAUGAUGCCGUACUGUAUUAACAAUCCGUUGAGGAUGCCGUCAUUGUAUGACUUUGUCAUAACACAUCAUACAAUAGUGGAACAGCGACUUCAGGUCAAAUUCACACUAAGUAUUCCUGUAUUUACAACUCCAUCACAUUUUUAUCAUCUCUGCACCAGGUUACAUGGUACAUGAGCGAUAAUUAAAAUACAUUUUGAUAUUUCAAAUCAUUUGAGUCUAGCUGAAAUAAGUAGCAUAGACUGUAUUUUAAACCGUUUCAAAAAUGGUUACGAGUCUACAUUUUUUUUAAAAGGCACAUAGUGCGUAUUUAGCUUGAUGUCAAAAUUUCAAAGUUUAGCAUAGCUAGGAGUUUAGGGAAACCUAAGUCUCCACUAAUGAUCAUUUGCUUAACAAUCUAUCUGUUCCUAUAAUCCUUAACACUCCAUUCACACACAACUAUACCCAGUUCAUAAAACCACACUUAUGAGUCCAUAAAUUGCCACAAUCAUAUGAGUUUAAGAACUUAUCCUAGUCUGACGUUUGGCGUCCGUUCACUGAGGGGUUCAUAAACGUUUCAUAUAACUAUGAAUCAAGUAUGUCAAAUAAGUAUGAGUGUUAAGAACUCGUACUUAAUCCUAUAUUCUCUACCUAUGAUCUAUCUAUUUGUUAUACACAUUAGAAAGGAAUCACCCUCUUAAUCUGCAUAUAGCAAAUAGCGCGACACAAGCAUUUCAACGAUUAUCAAUGCCAGAAACUAAGUGGUUGUCAAACCAAACUCGACCACUAAUCAAUAUAGGAAGCUAAGUGAACAAUUCCCCGCCCAUACAAAGAAUUGGUCAACCUAACCACUACAUCAACUAGGAAGCUAAGUGACUCUAAAACCAAGUACAAAUUCCCCGCCCAUACAAGGAAUCAUACAACUCAGCUGCCGACAUGAGUCCUCAAUUCAAAUCCCCACCUAAUCUUAACCCCCUUUUUCCAUACGAAUUUCAUUUAAUCCGUAUCCAUAAUCCACAACCCUUUCAUGAGCUUUUCAUUGUACAAUUUCAUAGUACAACUGAUACACAACAUUUUGCUGUAGACUUUUCAAUCAUCAGAUUGAUUCUUUCAGGCUGUCAUAACCUUAUCAGAUCACGGGGUGAUCUCAUCGUAUAUAUUACGAUUCAAUUCUAUGACUUGAUCGUUUUGUUUUACGAUCUCUUAUCACUGCACUACUGUUCACCACUUCUGUUCACCACUAUUACCAGAGUUAGAGAACUCUAUGUCUUUACACUCAUCGAGAUUCAUCUUUGAAUCUUACCGACCAACUAACUCUAUUUGAGUUAGUACUUAAUCCUAUUCAGUGUGGUUAUUGGUCUCAGGUAUUACUACCUAAGCUUCAUAACCAACAACUUUGAUACCAAUUGUAGCAUCCUCGAAUCCAGGUCCCAAAUCACCUCGGAUCCGGUACACUAUUUCUAUUACUAAUUGCGGAAGAUAUAAACAUAAAUUGUUUAUACAUUAAACUUACACACUUUUCCCCAAAAUCGAGUAACCUUAACUUAAACACAAUUCAUAAACUUUCUAACAUAUAACACAUUUAUCAAACUAUACUAUUACAAAAUAGCCGCACAUUUGAUCACAAACUGAACUUGGCCUUAACCUUUUCCUGUAUCUGAACGCAUUCGUAUUAUUUGCAAUGUUUUAUCAUGAUAUAGCAAGGGUGAGCAUGAAAGUUGCCCAGCAAGUUUAAAUACAAUUUAAGGAUAUAUCAUGAUUGAAAGAGUUAGAAUAAAGAGCUGGCUAUAAUUCUUCAAUAUAAUUGAGAACUAGCAUGAACAAACUUUUGACUGAACAAGUUUUAAACAUGAACAAACAUUUCUGAACCAACUGGUAAUGAAGGUGAUCAACCUUUCAUACCUGACUUAUACAUGCAAGAUGUACAGAGUACAAUUUUCGUGGCAACCAACAAUGAUUAACCAUAAGCUUGAAUAAAACACUCUUAGUAGAGUUAAGUAAAAUGAAACUUGCCUGAACCGUUGAUUACCGCAACACAAUUUAUAACGCUUUACCCGAAGACCUAAUAUUAGUAAUAUAGAUCUCCAAUAUUAGAAUAAUAUCAUCACAGUAUAAUACUAUUAUAUUUAUAUACACAUAAUAACCUAAACACAUAACACAUAAGCCUAUUAUUCUAUACAGCACAUAAGACAUAGCAUCAAGUCAAACUAUUUAAGUCUGAGUUGAAACCGACAUAAUUCUAUCAUCCCGACGGUCUAGUCGGUCAACACUCGAGUUUAAGUUCAAUUAAACUCUGCCUAAACCCUUAACAAUUAUCANNNNNNNNNNNNNNNNNNNNNNNNNNNNNNNNNNNNNNNNNNNNNNNNNNNNNNNNNNNNNNNNNNNNNNNNNNNNNNNNNNNNNNNNNNNNNNNNNNNNNNNNNNNNNNNNNNNNNNNNNNNNNNNNNNNNNNNNNNNNNNNNNNNNNNNNNNNNNNNNNNNNNNNNNNNNNNNNNNNNNNNNNNNNNNNNNNNNNNNNNNNNNNNNNNNNNNNNNNNNNNNNNNNNNNNNNNNNNNNNNNNNNNNNNNNNNNNNNNNNNNNNNNNNNNNNNNNNNNNNNNNNNNNNNNNNNNNNNNNNNNNNNNNNNNNNNNNNNNNNNNNNNNNNNNNNNNNNNNNNNNNNNNNNNNNNNNNNNNNNNNNNNNNNNNNNNNNNNNNNNNNNNNNNNNNNNNNNNNNNNNNNNNNNNNNNNNNNNNNNNNNNNNNNNNNNNNNNNNNNNNNNNNNNNNNNNNNNNNNNNNNNNNNNNNNNNNNNNNNNNNNNNNNNNNNNNNNNNNNNNNNNNNNNNNNNNNNNNNNNNNNNNNNNNNNNNNNNNNNNNNNNNNNNNNNNNNNNNNNNNNNNNNNNNNNNNNNNNNNNNNNNNNNNNNNNNNNNNNNNNNNNNNNNNNNNNNNNNNNNNNNNNNNNNNNNNNNNNNNNNNNNNNNNNNNNNNNNNNNNNNNNNNNNNNNNNNNNNNNNNNNNNNNNNNNNNNNNNNNNNNNNNNNNNNNNNNNNNNNNNNNNNNNNNNNNNNNNNNNNNNNNNNNNNNNNNNNNNNNNNNNNNNNNNNNNNNNNNNNNNNNNNNNNNNNNNNNNNNNNNNNNNNNNNNNNNNNNNNNNNNNNNNNNNNNNNNNNNNNNNNNNNNNNNNNNNNNNNNNNNNNNNNNNNNNNNNNNNNNNNNNNNNNNNNNNNNNNNNNNNNNNNNNNNNNNNNNNNNNNNNNNNNNNNNNNNNNNNNNNNNNNNNNNNNNNNNNNNNNNNNNNNNNNNNNNNNNNNNNNNNNNNNNNNNNNNNNNNNNNNNNNNNNNNNNNNNNNNNNNNNUGAUGAAGAUCUGGGUUUUCCAGAAAACCUUCAUCAGGCAGUUUGGUCAACGCCGUUUGACCGUAAUUAAUUCUGAUUCUGUGAACUUUUUGGGUGAUCUAAAGACAUUAAUGUGUAGUACUUACACCAGACUACAACAUUAACACAACAACUUAGCCAAACACUUAAAUCACAGCAAGAUCAAGAGCUUCAAAAAGAUUGUCAGAUAACAUAGAAAUUUCUGGGCUGCCCAGAAAUCAUAUUUUGUGAUCGGUCAACUAGGUUUGACCGUUCAUAACUUUUGAUCUCGACAAUAUCUGGACUAGUUUCAAGUUGGAGAUUAAAGACCAAAUAACAUACUACAACUACAAACUCUUAAAACACUAAAACAAUUAACACAUACGGAUUUAUGGGGUCUGACAUUAUGCAGUCAGACCAUAUUUUUCCCAUUUUCCAAAUUUCAUAAAAUGCCAAAUCCGAGCACUUUGAUGUUAUGGGUUUGUGUUUUGACAACCCAGAUCAUCAUUUGACACCCUAUUACACAUGUUUAACCAACAAACAACAACAUUAAACAUCAAAAUCAUAGAUUUGCAAGGUUAGGGUUUUAUACCACUUUUUGAGAAUUGAUUCAUGAAUCUGACUUUGGAUUCUGUUCUUGGCUUGCUAAAACUCGAUCAUGGCUUCAUCUUUUCUUUUUCUCUCACUCUAGAUUUUGAAUUUUAGAGAGAGAGGGUCUUGGAAGAAAAUGCAAAAUAAAGUGAGCAUUAUCUCCCUUUUAAUCUUAUAUAUGUGAUACGAUUCAAUGCAUGAUGCUGAUUUUGCUAAGAUUAUUGGUCAUAUUAGUCACAUGCUAGGCUAGGGUUUGGUGAGCAACUCACCAUAGGCUUAGAUCUACAAGCAAUGUCUAAUAAUGCAACAAAGGGUAAUUUAGUCUUUUCCAUUCUAGUUUUAAUGGCAUUUUAGUAAAUGGCCAAACCCUUAGGGUUUAGGGUUUGAGAGGGUUUAGGGUAUGGAAAUUUUUUAGGAUUUAGGGUUUGAACCCUCAAGUUUAACAAUUUAAUUUUCUAAAAUUUCCAAAUUUAGAUUUUCAAAAAUAGAAAUUUAAUAUUUCUAAAUUAUAAUUAGGAUUCUAUUAUAAUAAUUAAGAUUUCCUAAUCAUAAAUUCAAUCUUGCUAAUUAGGAUUAGCAUUUCCUAAUACAAUCGCUAAUUAAGCAAUUAGGGUCAAAAUGGUCAUUAGGGUUUAUAAACCACUAAUUAGGGUUUCUAAUAGAAAAUAAAUUUUCUAAAUUAGAAAUUAGAUUUUCGUAAUUAGAUUAGGGUUUCCUAAUUACUUAACCUUAAAAUUAGGAUUAAUAUAUCCUAAUUAACAUUAAAUUACUAAAUUAACACUUAGGUUUCCCUAAUUAUAAAAUUAGGGUUUUUUUUACUACCGAAAUUAGGGUUUUCUAAAUGUGAAAUUAGGGUUUGCUAAUUAAUUAAGCUUUGCCCUAAUUAGUAAUAUAAUUAAUACCACAUAAGCAUUAUAAUUAUCCUUUCUAUUCCUAGAUUAGAGCUUCAAUUAAUCAGAAUCUGAAACUAGGGUUUUCAGAUCUGGUAUUAGGGUUUCAAAUUUGGAAUUAGGGUUUUGUAAUCAAUUUGUUAAGAUUAACCCUAAUUAAUCCUAUAAUUAUUUACACUUACGCCAUUAAGUUCCCGAUUUAGGGUUACAUGAACCGAAUUAGGGUUUCGGAUUCCCGAAACUGAAAUUAGGGUUUCUAGAACCAGUUUAUAGGGUUUCUUAUCAGACGUUAAGAUUUUCUAACUGAACGUUGGCGUUCUUAAUAUACGAUUAGGGUUUGACACAUAUAUAAUUUAUCUGGUCAACCCGUGACCCUUAACCACAUUCUGAACACUUACAUAACCAUAAACACAAUACAUAUUCACAUAAAUCCUUAAUCCUGAAUAAUUCACCUAAAUCCUUCACCGAAUUUUGAAAUCCUCAAAAUUCAAUCCCAAUAACAUCAAACGCAUACACUUAUUUUCUGUCUAGGUCUAUUAUUUGAUCUUAAAUCAAUCAUUUAAGAUUUUAAUAAAUUGUCCAAAUUCUCGGGUUGUCACAGUAUGCGUUCGCAGGGCUUGACCGAGGCUUGGUUAGGAUUCUACCCAUUUCUGCUGGUGAGUAUUUCUCUUGUAGUUUUCCAUAUAUAGGUUAAGAGUGUUUGUUGACCGCAUAUGUUUGCCUUUGUGUUAGUAGUUUUGGGCCUAUGAGAGGCUUCCAUAUUUGCGUCCUGUGAGCGUGUUAGGUUUAGAUACCUAUCCACGAGGAUGGUGAUGGCAUCAUUCCAUACUGGUGGAGGUCCUUGUAGCUGAAGUUUUUACUCAUUGCCACCUACAGCUGGAGUUGUUGACAACUAAUGUUAUCACAUGGAUUCCCUAUUCUGGGGAGCACUUGGCCAUGGGAUUUGAGGAUGGAUACCCGACUGGUGUCGAGUACGUGAUUUCCACCCGUAGGGUUCCUCUCUUUACUGAUGGAGGAUGGGAGCUCUAUUUAAGAGAGCGUGCUAUUAGGAGAACUACAGGAGAGAUCCGUAUGCCGAUCUUGCUCCUGCUAGGCGUUAUUGGCCUGUGUCGUAGUCACCCGUCAUUGAUAUCCCAUUAUUGGGUGUUGAAAGUUUUGCACUAUCAGAGGGUCCCUACACUCCGGAGAUGUUCUAGCAUUGGUGGUCCCCUCGUACUAUUGGAGCCCAGACCCGCGCCACUCAGUUUAUGGGGAAUAUGGUUUAGGAUCCGUGAUGAUGACGGAUUGGCUAGCCUGUGUCUGAGAUUCGACUCAUUUGACACAAAUUGACAGUUUGACCUAACGACUGGACCGGGCACAUUUCUUUAUUUGGCAUUUGGCCAGAGAUCCGACAGAGGCAGAUUCGUUUGAUCCUCCCAGCUCAGGCACUGGCCCCUCAGAUGACCCCUUUGGCUUUGCCGGAGCAGAUCCUACUUUGUAUAGGUCUGACAUCCCCGUUGAUAGAGAUCCAAUGACUCAGGAGGAGUUACAUCAGGGGGACAUGAUUGAUGAUGUAGAUAUUGACACCAUUGUUUUCUUCUGAUGUGUAUUCUCGUUAUCUCUUUUGAUAGGCCUCUGUUAGAUAUUGGGUGGCUGUGCCCCAUUCUCGUUAUAUCUUUUGAUAGGCCUAUAUUAGUAGUAGGGCGUCUGUGCCCCAUUUCCCUAUAUUUUUAGAUGUACAAAGAUGAUGUAUUAGAUGAUGAUAUACUUAGGAAUGUAUGUAGAGUUUUCCAUUCCCUGUAUCAUAUUGCCCAUCUAUUAUCUAUAAUGCAUGUAUCAUGUUAUACAUAUGUAUGUAUGUCCAGAGAUAUUCAGCAUUGACCCCUGGAUGGUCUUAUGAUACGGCCCACACAGAUGUCUUCUUCGACAGUCAGCCGCAUAGAUCAUACCCCACCAUUAUUGGUGGCAUCACGUCUUAGAUCAUGGUAUGAUAGUAUGUCACCAUCAAACAGGGUGACUGUAGAUCAGAUAUUGCAACAUACUAUGACCCUCUUGAUAUUUCAGGUUCCUGUAGGAUUUGUGGAGGGCAUGUUGGAUCACUGGGUACUGGAGAGGCAGGAUUUUCGGUUUGGGACCCAGGAGUUGACUCCGACUCUGGAGGAGUAUGCACGUUUGACGAUGUUGCCACUUGACAGACCUUGUGUGCAUAUCGCUAUUGGGGACAUGAGUCGACAGUUCAUGACCUUCACUGGAUUGAGGCGUAGGGUUGUGCAGGAUGAGAUCACAUCCGGCCAUGUGAUAUCCCAACGUUUUCUGUUUGACAGAUUUGGCUUUGAGGACAGCUAUGCUCGUCAUUCUGGGGACUUCACCAUACUAGAGGACCAGUGGCAUUUGUCCAGAGUGGAUGCAUUAUUGAUGUGCAUAGUGGCGUAUGUGUACAUGCCACGAUAUAUGGACGAGAUGAAUAUCAGUGUUAUCAUUGUAGUGAGAGCUCUCAUGGAGGGUCAUACCAUCAUUCCGAUGAUUGUGGCGGACACGCUGAGGUCGACCACGUUUUGCAGCACUUACCCUGCAGGGGUAUUCACAGGCAGUUCGGUCAUGCUGUACGUGUGGUUUAUGUCACACUUGAGACCGAUUGGGACCUUCUGCCAAUACGGGUAUUGCUUCACCCACGAUAUAGCUAUGUCUUACUCCUUUCAGCCCUCGGAGUGUAUAGAUGUUAUGUCUUGGUCGGUAUUUUUGGCAGAGAUUAGAGAUCCAUUUGGCAUUCUGCCGUGUACAGGGCUCAGCUCACCUUAUAGCUUCAUUACUCAUGCUCCGGGCAUGGACUAUCUCCCUCUGGCUAGUUUGAGGGGCAUAACUACCUAUCACCCACUGGCCGUGAUGUCAUAGUUUGACCAGUUCUAGGAUUUCCAUCCUUUUGAGAAGGCGCUAGGCCAGCGUUUAGCUUCUUGCCAUCUAUCAGCAGAGGACCGAUCCUGGGUGUACGCAUGUUGGGAUCAGCGUGAGAUAACUGCUUUAUCUAUUAGCCAUCCAAGCUGUUCGCCAAAGUAUUCUGCGUGGAUGGAGACAAAGACUUCAUCGGCUGCGGCAGUAUCCACAGUGUCAGGUAGUGAUUCAGACGAUGGAGAACCCAUGGAGGACAUUGAUUCCUACAUCAAUGAGGAGCCACUUACUGGGUUUCCAGCAUCCCCUUUAUAUUCUCUCAGUACUAGCACUGUUGUGAUCCAGCAUUCGGCAUAGUACUUUGAGCAGAGUCUUUAUCUGAUGACCUUCAAGAGAGAUCAGGCUAGAGCCUUGAUGUUGACUGCUCUUGAUGGGAGAGACGCAACUCUGCUAGAGAGAUGAGGCAUUAGCUCGUAGAGAUGCCACUAUUGUUGAGCUGGAUGAGGCCAGAUCAUCCAAAGAUGUUGUGAUAGUUGAUAGGGAUAGUGCCAUAUCUGCCUGAGAUGUAGCCAUCACAGAUAGUACUACAGUGAGGUCCCUUACCACUGGCAUGAUUGUAGAGAUGAACACAUAAAUUGAUGAGUAUAGAGUCACCAUGCAUAUGGCUAUAGAUCUGUUAGCUCAUGUAGAUACCUUUGUACAAGAGACCACAUCGUUACCUCAUUCUGCCGAGAGGGAUGCCAUGUUGGGCUUGAUAGCUCACAUAUACAUUGAUUUGUAGAUGAGCUUGUAUUCUCCUGCACAGACUAGCUUAACCAUUUUGUCAUGUACAGUUUACAUUGUAUAUAUCAAACAAUAUUAUAUAUAUAUAUCAGGGAAAUAUAUUUUUGAUCACUUCCCUUUUAGAUAUGUCUGAAUACUUGCUUGAUAUUUUGCCUGCUCCUUCAGGGCUUAUGAUCUCGAUGUAUUCUAAAUUCCUCCUUGAUGGACAGACACUGAGUUGUUUGUGGAUAGUUCAGAAUGGAUCAUUAAUCUGUGUGUAUCCCUGUCAUCUUUGCUGUCUUGGGACUUGUUUCUGUAUGGAAACGUGGAGAGGAGUGUGGCCUUCCUCUCUUAGAUUGACCGCACCACAGAUGGUCGCCAGUACUCCUUUUUAGGAGGAGCCUAGUUAAUUCCAUCUCUAAUGGAUUGGUGUUGCUCUUUGAGGCACAACCGCAACUUAGAUGGUCGCCGAAUCUCUUAUUUAGGAGGAGUUCAGGUAAUUUCAUCCCUUUGGUCUGAAGCCGAAUGAAAUGUGGUGGUUUGAAAUUUGAUCCCAGUACUAGAUGACAAGUAUUUUUGUUUUGGUAGGGGGUGAGACCGAACCAUGGAUGGCUGCCUAUGUACUCCUGUUGAAGAGGAGAUCAAGUCUGCGUAGUUCUUACCUGGUGUAAGAGGUUCAACGAUGUAUGUGGCAGAAAGGUGUAGGAAUGUUUUUAUUGUUUUUGUUUUUGUAAGGAGAAGGGUGUAGAAAUGUUUUUGUUAUUUUUUUUUAUUAUGACCGGGCCAUAUAAAAUGGUUGCCUACGUACUCCUAUUGAAGAGGAGAUCAGGUCGACGUAGUUCACCCCUCACGACGAUUUAUAGCCGAAGAACUUGACCCCAUGUGCAGGACAGACUGCGGGGAAAAAGAAAGUUUUAUCCUAAGUUCAGGAUAAACUGUAAGUGUGAAAAAGUUUGAUCCCAUGUGUGGGGACAAACUGCAAGUGUGAAAGGUUCAAUCCCUAGUGGGAUAACCGAAGUUGUAUGAAUGGAGUGAAGCCAGGCUGCUGGCUUGAAGAGUAUGUUUCCUUGAGGGGCAAAGUGUGGAAAAGAGUUGUCUGUGAUGAAGGGUUAAAGAACCAGAAUGACUGGUGAUCUGAUGAUCAAACACCGGGAUGUUUGCUUGAUGGUAACUUCAUACAUAGUAUUGUUUCACGGUGUCCGAGUUGAUGAGUUGUGGAAAUUCAUCGCCGUCCAUUUCCUGCAAUCUGAGAGUGCCUCCUAUCAAUACCUCCUUGACAACAAAUGGGCCUUCCCAAUUAGGGGCGAAUUUUCCUUUGGACUGAUCUUGGUUGUCAAAGAUCUUCUUUAAAACCAAGUCGUGUUGCUUAAACUGCCGUAGCUGGACUUUUCUAUUGUAGGAUCUAGCGAUCCUUUGUUGAUAUAACUUACCAUGGAAGAUAGCCGCGGUUCGCCAUUCUUCUAUUAGAGACAAUUGGUGAUAUCUGUCUUGUACCCAUUGGUCUUCAUCCAGCUGAGCGUCUAUCAACACUCUGAGGGAUUCCAUUUCAACUUCUAUGGAGAGCACUGCUUCCAUCCCAUAGGUUAAUGCCUAGGGGGUUGCCCCAGUGGAAUUGCGCAUUGAUGUUUUGUAGGCUAACAGAGUAAGUGGCAAUAAGUCAGACCAUUCUUUGUGGUUGGUGGACAUCUUUUGCAUGAUCUUCAUGAUGUUUUUGUUAGCCGCUUCAACAACACCAUUCAUCUUUGGACGGUAGAUGACAGAGUUAAGAUGUUUGAUGUGGAAUUUACUGCAUAACUCCUCCAUCAUUUUGUUGUGAGGUUCUUAGCAUUGUCUGACACAAUUACCUCUGGUUGUCCAUAUCGACAAAUGACAUUGUUUCUGAUGAAAGCAAUGAUGACUUCUUUAGUAACCCAGGAGAAGGAGGCUUCUUCUAUUCACUUGGUGAAGUAGUCGAUCAUGGUGAAUAUAAAGUGAUGCCCAUUACUGGCUUUGGGAUCGAUGGGUCCGAUUACGUCCAUUCCCCACAUCGAGAAGGGCCAAGGUGAACUUAUAUUGUGGAGCUCCCUCGGAGGGGCGUCGUGACAACCCGAGAAUUUGAAUAUUUAUAAAAUAUUAAAAUAUUGAAUUAAGGUUAAAUAAUAAACCUAGACAUAAAAUAAUUGAAUGGAUUUGAGAUUUCCGAGAAGGAAUUUUUGUGAAUUUAAAUUUUAUGUGGUGAAUUAUUCAAGAUUAAGGGAAUAAGUGUUUAUGUUCUGUGUAUAUGGUAUUAUAUGUGUGUACAGUAUGUGGUUAAGGGUCAAUGGUUGACCAGAUAAAUGAUAUUUGUGACAAACCCUAAGUGUAUAUUAAGAACGUCAACGUUCGGUUAUAAAACCCUAGCGAUUGAUAAGAAACCCUAACGAUAGGAAGGGAAACCCUAAUUUCUGUUCCGAGAAUUCGAAACCCUAAUUCGGAAUAUUAAAAUCCUAAUUUUGGAAUUUAAAUACAAUGUAUAAUGAUUUUGUGUAUUAAUUACUAUCUAAUUAGGGAUAACCCUAAUGAUUAAUUAAAAAUUCUAAUAAUCUGAAACCCUAAUUAUUAGAAACCUUAAUCUGUAAAUUAGAAACCCUAAUUUGUAUAUUUGAAACCCUAAUUGGUAAUUAUGUAAUUUUAAUUUUUAAUUAGGAUAUAUUAAUCCUAAUUAGCAGGAUAGAAUUAUGAUUAGUAAAUUUUAAUAUAAUUAAGUAACACUAAUUAUAAUUUAGAAAUAUUAAUUUUUAUUUUGAAAACCGAAAUUUUGAAAUUUUAGAAAUUAAAUUACAAAAUUUAGGGUUAAACCCUAAACCCUAAGGGUCAGGGCCAAAGACAUGAAUGCCAUUAAAUGUAUAAAUCAAAUGACAAUUUUGCCCUUUUUGCAAUUCUUUAAUUAUGAAGUGUGUAGAUCUUGCUAUAUCUUGGAUUGGUCAACCACCCUAGCCUUAGCAUGUGAUUUCUAGCUCAAUAAUCAGCCAUCUUUGCCAGCCAUUACAUUGCAUACAACAUUUAUAUAAAUUAAAGAGAGAGAAAAUGCUACUUUACUUUUCCUUUGAGCCAAAACUUUUUCUCUAAGAUUUUGAAAAUGGAAAGAGAAAAGGAGAGAUAAGUUAAGAUAAUAUCACUACUUAGCUUUCCAAUAACAUAUCAUGAAGUCAGAAAUCAAAGAUCAAAGCAAGAAAUGUAUAUGUUGGGAGAAUGCAUAUGUUAAUUUGAUGUUUAAAUAUAAAUGCUCAUGAUUAUUUGUAAAGUCCUUCAAGGAAUAUAUGUACAAAGACUUAGUGAUAGAUCAAAUUUGUUAGGUUGAUCUAAGCUCUUAAUGUGUAUCAUUCUGGAAAUGAAUGUAUAGAUAGAAAGAUCAAAGCUGUUAGGUUGAUCUUGAGAUGUAAUAGAUAGGCUUCAAAAAAUUCGUAGUGUAUCAAUCUGAUCAACAUUACAGAAGUCAAGGCAGAAAACGUAGAGCUUCAAGGAUCAUAGUGUGCCUGCCUUGAAGGGCCUCUUCAAAAUCGUAGAGUGGUCCCAACGUUUACCAAGCCAACUCAGAGAUCGUAAUGUGCUCUCGAAAAUGUAGAGUUUACAAAUCAAGCAAGCGAAGGUCGUAGUGUGCAAAUAGUUAAGAGAAAUCGUAGUGUUCUCGGCUGAUAGCAUCAGACCAAGCACCAAGGCGAUAAGUCACCACGAUCUGAAUCGUAGAGUACCAUCUGUCUUGUGUCAGAAGCAUCACGAUUUAAGUGGAGACAAACUCCAACAUAUGAGGAAUGGAUUCUAAAUGUUGUGGUACUCACCAGUCCCAAAGUCAUAAGAAAUAUCCUUAGUAUACAACAAAGAAGCGUAUUGAAGAAGCUAAAGAAAGUACCUUUGGUAAGGGGGAAAACACCUUUUCAGGUGUUAGGUGAGAAAGCAGUCUGCUCUGUCAGUGGGCCAGGAUGCAAUUCAGAAGAUGUGCAGAAAAGUCUCCAUCAAAGAACAGAAAGGUCAAACGCAUUUAAUGCUUCAACGGAUGGAUCCAACAGAUAGUUUUCAAGAUCACAUAUAUGCAAAUCAAGUAAAUGAGAGAUGUAAGCAAGCACUGAACAAAAAAUGUACAGAACUCUCAAAGCUCAACUCUACGAUCUGAGAAAUAGAAAAACUUGCUCAGGUACUCAGUUCUUUCGAACAAGUGCUUAAACAACAACUGAGUAGCAACCAUCAAGAACUCAACAUCUACCAAUCAACUUAAGAAAAAGUUCCAAGUCUGCUGGACUUGAAGAGUUCUAAGUGAACUGUAAGAGAGCCAAGUCUGCUGGACUUGAAGAAUUCAAGAGUGAACUAAGAAAUUCCUAGACUGCCGGUUUAGAAGGAAUCUGUGUGAUUCAGAAGUUGUAAAAGACAUCCUUAGUGGAUUUCCUACUCGAGGAGUAGAAGAGUGGACUAGGAGCUUUAAGUGCUCUGAACCACUUAAAACGACUAUGUCUUUUACUUUCUUACUAUAACUGCUAUAUCUGCCAUAAUUGCUAUAACUGCCUCACUCUCAUAACUCCACUACUUCGUAAAGGAGAUUAAAACAAACAUUAAUUCCGCCAAGUUUUAAUCAUCAUCAACUAACAAGUUUAAAACGAAAAGAUUUUUAAAAAUCUAUUCAACCCCCCCUCCUUCUAGAUAACUAUUGUGCCUACUGGGAACUAACAAUUGGUAUCAAAGCAGGUUCUAUUUUAUAGCUUACAAGCUUUAGUAGAUCCAAUGGCACACGUACCAAGCGAAUCAAGGACUGGAGGAGGCAGCAAGCCACCAAUGUGCAACAAGGAUAAAUUUGCAAACUGGAAAGUCAGGAUGCAAGCAUACAUUGACUCAAUAGAUGAAGAUCUAUUUGAGAGUGUUCAGAAUGGGCCCUAUGUUCCAACAAAGCUUGCACCAACCACAGACGAUCAAAACAGAAUACAAAUCAAAGUCAAAGAGGAGUGGACAGAUAACGAGAAGAGAGUUGUCCAACUUGACAAAAAGGCCAAGAACAUCUUGUUUUAAUCCUUAGAAGACGAUUUGUUAAAAAACGUUGUCAAUAGUAAAACAGCUAAGGAGGUUUGGGAAGCACUGCUCAUCAUGCACGAAGGAACUAAAGAAGUAAGAGAAAACAGACAAUCACUCCUGACACAGCAGUAUAAAAUGUUUGCUCAUGUUCAAGGAGAAAAUGUAACUGCCACCUAUAAGAGAUUCAACGUUAUGCUCAACUCUCUACGAGCAUAUGCGAAGUUCUAUCCAAACAAAGAUCUGAUCAUAAAGUUCAUGAGAGCCCUACCAAGCAGGUGGGAUACCAAAACCACUGCUAUAAGAGAGUCAAAGAAUCUUUAUGAGAUGACAGUUCAACAGCUAUAUGGCAAUCUCCUGACAUACGAACUGGAGCUGACUCAACGAGCUGAAACCCUAUCAGAAGGAAGAAAGAAGGAUAAGGGUGUUACUCUCAAGGCAACUGAAGGUGCAUCUAAGGUCAACACUGAGAUUGACUUUGAUUAUGAUGAAGACGAUGAUGAAGACUUUGCUAUGCUGGUAAAAAGACUAAGAAGGUUCAUGCGUCAAGGCAAAAUCAGCAAGCCAAAGAAGGUCAGCAAUUACAGCAGCCAGGAGCAAAUGAAUGAUCUAUAUUACAACUGCAAGAAGCCUGACCACUUCAUUGCCAAGAACAACAAACCUCUCAGAGAAGAACUAAAGAAGAAAUCACAUGCAAAGAAGGAAUACAAAGGCAACAAAAGGCCUUAGAAGAGAGACAAAGGCCUGGUAGCUGGAGGAUCGUGGAGUGAUUCAGAUAAUGACUCCAAUCCUGAUUCUGGAGAUGAUAAAGAACCACAAAUGGCUAAUCUGUGCCUAAUGGCCAAACAUGCAAAGGACAAACAAAAUUCCAAUAUACAUGAUGUAAGUCUCGAUGAGGUAUUUAACUUUAACUCUCCUGAUGUAGACAUAAAUGAUUUAAGAACUGCACUGCAUGGCAUAACCACUGAUCUACAUCAAUACAUGAAGUGGUUCAGAGUUUUGUCUAAGGAUCAUUCACUUCUUCAAGAGGAGAAAAAGAAAGUUCAAGAAGAGCUUGAAACAGCCCUUCUAAGUACUAACCUUCUCUCCAAGCUUGAGGCUGGGAAUGAAAUCUUAAAACAGACAAAUAAACUAAAUACACAACGAGAGUGUAAUCUAACCUCUAAAAUUGAGGAACUAUAAAAGACUAUCUCUAUAUGGAACAAAUCCUCAUCAUUCAUAGACUUUCUGCUCUCUAGUUAGAGAAGUACAUUCGACAGAACAGGCCUAGGCUUUGGGGAAUCCAUCUCAGAGCCAUGUGUGGAAAAGACAAAGAAAACUAGCACUAGUAAUGCCUCAAGUUUUAGUAGAAGCAUUACCUUUGUGAAAUCCUCACAGAAGGAAGAACCAGUUCAACCUUGUUCUACUAUUUCCAUCCAUACUCAAAGGAGUAAAGGGUCUCAUGCUGGCCUGGGCUUCACAAAAGAGAAGAGUAACCCAACCUCUACUCACUAACCUCGAAGAAUCGUAGAGUCAAGUAAGACCAACUCUACGAAUUAACUGGGAAGGUACCAUUGACGUAAGGCACACUCAUCACUAUUUAUGAAACCCAAGGACAAAUGGAAGAAGGAGAAUCAGUUUAAUAUAAGGACAACUAAAGAAUCACACAAGUCCAAAUGGAGGAUGAAUAAUCAUACACACACAGGCAUGCAUCAUACUAGAUGUUUUAUAUGCAAUAAAUUUGGUCACAAGGCUGCCAAGUGCUAUUAUAAUUCCAUGAAUGUGAGACCCAAGAUCAAACAGAUUUGGGUCCCCAAGGGCACUAACAAAAUAGGACCCAUGCAAAUAUGGGUACCAAAAUGAAGGUUAAACUUUAUGAUAGGGAAAGAGCUCCACGAUCAUAACCUGGUAUCUGGACAGUGGAUGCUCAAGACACAUGAUAUGGAACAAAGCCCUUCUAUCGAACUACAUAGAAAAGGAGGGUCUCUUAGUCAUCUUUGGAGACAACGGAUCGGGUAAAACAAGAGGAUACGGCUCUGCUGGUAAUGGUGCAGUAUCUUUCAGUAAAGUAGCAUAUGUGGAAGGUCUCCAACACAACCUUCUAAGCAUCAGCCAACUCUGCGACAAGGGUCACCAAGUAACAUUCCUCAACAACUAGUGUCAAGUCAGAGAUCUGAAGACAUCUGGUGUAAUGCUAACCGGGACAAGAGAAGGAAAUGUCUACACAGUGAAUCUUGGUCAACUAAGCUCAGACGAGACAAUAUGUUUUCUGGCAAAAGCAUAUGAAGAAAUGAGAUGGCUAUGGCAUAGACCGUUCUGGCAUCAAAAUAUCUCAUUUCUGGCCUACCUAAGUUCAACUUCGUAAAAGAAAGGCCAUGCAAUGCCUGUCAGCUUGGAAAGCAAACCAGAAGCUCAUUCAAGAGCAAAACUGCCAACUCUAUCAAUAAGCCCCUCCAGUUGCUCCACAUGGAUCUAUUUGGGCCAAUUCCAACAACUAGUCUUGGAGGAAAAAGAUACUCUCUAGUUAUAGUCGACGACUACACCAGAUUCACAUGGGUAUUCUUCCUAACUUUAAAGGAUGAAACGAGCUCCCAAUUAAUCAAGAUGUUCAGACUGGUGAUGAACGAGAAAGGAGAGAAAAUCAAGGCCAUAAGGAGUGAUCAUGGAAGAGAAUUCGACUUCUCAGAAAUGGACUAGUUCUGCACAGAUAAUGGAAUCAGUCAUAACUUCUCAGCUCCAUGAACUCCUCAACAAAAUAGAGUAGCUGAAAGAAAGAACAUAACUUUGAUAGAGGCUGGAAGAACUCUACUAGCAGAAGCUCAUCUACCUGAAUACUUCUGAGUAGAAGCUGUCAACACUGCAUGCUACACGCAGAAUAGAUCACUGAUACACUCUACGAUCAAGAAGACACCCUACAAACAAUGGAAAGGAAGAAAGCCAAGUGUCAGCUACUUUCAUGUAUUCGGCUAUGCAUGCUACAUUCUCAACAAUGGAAAGCAGUACCUGACAAAAUUUCAACCCAAGUCAGACGAAGGAAUCUUUCUUGGAUAUGCCACAAACAGUAAGGCCUACAGGGUGUUCAACAAAAAGACACUGAAUGUUGAAGUCUCGAUUCACAUCAUCUUUGAUGAAAUAGACUUAGAAAAAAUAGUGCUUCAAGAUACUACGAUCAAUAAUGCAAACACUACGAAUGAAGUCGUCAAGCUCAACACCACGAUCGUAGUGCCAGAAACUGAAAUCAUUGAGCAAGAAAAUGAGAUCGUAGAGAGGUCUAUACAAGACAAUGAACCUCCACACCGAGAAGAAGAAAUAGAUCUUAAAGACUUAAGACAAGAAGGCAUCAGGACAGAUGUCCCAACCGGAAACAGAUGGGCCAGAGAUCAUACUCAAGAUCUAAUCAUUGGAGAUCCGAGUGCUAGAGUUAAAACAAGAGCUGCCACCCAUAAUGAAUGCUUUUAUCUAAGCUUCCUAUCACAAAUGGAACCAAAGAAGAUAGAGGAUGUUAUGGAAGACUCCAGUUGGAUAGAAGCUAUGCAGGAAGAACUCAACCAAUUUGAACGAAGCAAAGUAUGGAGAUUUACCAAGACCAAAGAGUCAUCUUGUCAUUGGAACCAAGUGGGUCUUCAGAAACAAAAUGGAUUAAGAUGGAGUUAUAACCAGAAAUAAGGCAAGACUACGAUGAGACAUUUUCACCUGUUGCCAGACUAGAAGCCAUCGGAAUCUUUCUUGUCUUUGAUGCUCACAUGAAGUUCAUGGUCUUCCAAAUGGAUGUCAAAAGUGCAUUCCUGAAUAGAGAACUUCAAGAAGAAGUCUAUGUAGAGCAACCUCCAGGUUUUAUCAAUCUAUCUAUUUCCAAUUAUGUUUAUAGAUUAGACAAAGCCUUAUAUGGUCUUAAACAAGCACCUAGAGCAUGGUAUGAAACACUAACUAACUUCCUGAUUGAAAAUGGGUUCAUUAGAGGUAGAGUAGAUACCACAUUAUUUCUUAGAAAACAUAAAGACAAAGUCUUAUUGGUUCAAAUAAAUGUUGAUGAUAUUAUUUUUGGUUCUACUGAUGAAAAGUUAUGCAGGAGAUUCUCCAAGUUAAUGCAGAGCAAGUUUGAAAUGAGCAUGAUGGGUGAGCUGAAUUUCUUCCUUGGACUACAAGUAAAGCAGACUGAUGAAGGAAUCUUCAUAAACCAAGCCAAGUACAUCAAAAAUUUACUUAAGAAGUAUGGCAUGGAAUCAGCCUCUCCCAUGAAAACCCCAAUUGCUCCUGCAACCAAACUUGACAAAGAUGAAAAAGGUAAAAGUAUUGAUAUAACUCAAUAAAGAGGUAUGAUAGGCUCUCUUUUAUAUCUAACUGCCAGUAGACCAGACAUAAUGUUUGCAACAUGCAUAUGUGCUAGAUUUCAGGCUAACCCUAAAGAAUCACAUUUAUCGGCUAUAAAGAGGAUUUUCAGGUAUCUCAAGGGUACACCUUACUUGGGGCUUUGGUACCCCAAGGAAUCCUCAUUUGAACUAACAGGAUACACAGAUGCUGAUUUUGUAGCCUGCAAAAUAGAUAGAAAGAGUACCAGUGGCACCUGUCAAUUACUAGGAAACACACUUGUGUCUUGGUUUAGCAAGAAGCAAAGUUCAGUAUCUACUUCAACUGCAUAAGCUGAAUACAUUGCUGCUGGAAGUUGCUGUGCACAGAUCCUAUGGAUGAAAAACCAGCUAGCUUAUUAUGGGUUUGAUUUCAAAUCCAUUCCCAUUCACUGUGACAACACAAGUGCCAUAGCAAUAACUCAUAAUUCUGUUAUGCAUUCUAGGACUAAGCAUAAAGAAAUAAGGUAUCACUUCAUUAGGGAUCAUGUGCAAAAUGGAACUAUAUAUUUACAAUAUAUCCCUACUGAAAAAUCAACUUGAUGAUGUUUUUACAAAACCUAUAGAUGAAUCCAGAUUUAAUAAGUUAAUAAGUGAGCUAGGCAUGCUAAAUUUACAACCAUAAAAUAUAUGCUCUAGUUUGUGCUAACCAUAACAGAUACAAAAGGCUAAGCUCAAAAUCGUAGACAUGAUAAAGGGAAGUCCACGAUCGUAGAGCUGAAGCGACAUGAAAGAAAAUGAUCGUAGCAUAGACUCAACCAUCGCAGUGCAGACUCAACGAUAGCAGAACCCCAACCAUCAAGAGGAGCAUCAUGUGAUGAUAAGUCUCAAAACAAAGCAAUCUCUCUGAUAAGCGCCUUAGGAACAAACCUAACCCUUGACUCACACCAAGAGGUUGGCCCUUCCUGAGCUACCUUAAAAGAAUGUUAUGUCAAAAACUCAUCACAAGGAUCCGGUCAGACUCGAUGAUCUUAGUUCAGACACGACAAUUGCUGGAACAGACUCGACGAAUGCUGGAUAGACUCGACGAUCGUAGCUCAGACAUGACGAUUGCUGGAUAGACUCGACGAUAGUAGCUCAGACACGACGAUUGCUGGAUAGACUCAACGAUCGUAGUUCAGACUCGACAAAUGAAAAGCUGACUCAACGAUCACAAAACUACCUCAAUGAUCAUAGUCCUCCCUAAGGACACAUCAGCUCUGCAGGAGCCAAGGGCAAAUCAGUACAAUCCUUAUCAAUCAAAUUCGUAGAGCCAAGCAAAAGUCGACACCUGUCCCACUAAGCAAAAUGGAGAAAGGGAUGUUAUAUGUACUAUUUGAAAGCACCUUUUUGAAAUUAGAAGUUCAAAAGAUUAUCUCCCUCAUCCUUUCUCAAAACAGAAACCCUAGAUCAGAAGAAAACUCAGUCAAUCACAUUUCCUGCAAGAAAAUCAGUGGAGGCUUCCAGUGUUAUCUCCGGCUAUAGACUUUAUUUUGACGAGUUCAAAAUAGCUGAACCCAAGUUUAACAAGACUCUGUCGUUACUAAAGAAGGCGAGUCUCGAAGAAGCUUUGGGUACAGACACAUUGAUCUACCCUAAACUAGUGAAAGAAUUCUACAGGAAUGGUGUGUUUGAAAACGACACCAUCACUACGAAAGUAAAGGAAGUGGAAAUCAGACUGAAGGCCGAAGACAUCAACCUCGCCCUAGGUCUCAAAUCUGAAGGAUGUCCGUUCAUAGAUAGCAUGGGCUUCCAAGAGGGACUUAAAAGAAUGCAUCACAAGAAACUCCCCCUUUGUGAAAGGAUACAAGAAGAAGGAGUUUCCACAGAAGUAUGAAUUUUUAGCUGAUAUUGUUAGAAAAUGUAUAUGUUGCAAGAGCUCAGGUCAUGACUCUUUGAAUGAAGUACAACUCAAGCUCAUGACUGUCAUGUGUUAUGGAAUACAACUUAACUAUGGAGACCUAUUUCUUGAAUGGAUUGGAAAGUGGAUUACCAACUCAAAAAAGUCAAAAAGCCCUCAAAAGAUUCUCUACGGGCGAUUCAUAAGUAUCAUUCUACAGUCUGCUCUAAGUGACAAAAUUGGGGACGAUGAAGGAGAAGCUAUCAACCCAAACAGACGAAUGACCCAGCAACUAUUUGAGAGUUGGAAAAGGAACCCAGCUGAGUAUGUACGCAUGAUGACCGAGUCCAGUGGAAGAACUAGUGAUCUGAAGGAUUUAGGCCUGCUAGGAAAUAUGUCUGUUGUCAAGGAGAUCGAAGAAGAAGAAGAAACAUACAAAGGAGAACCCUCUGUCCUUAUCAAAAAAAGAAAGGGCAAGAGGAAGCUUAAGGCUAGAAUGGAAGAAGAACCCCAGGGAUCCACAACUGAUAAACCAGUAGAGUCCUCUGACAUUGAGACUCUAAGGAUCCUAUGAAAGAAGCAACAGCAGGCUGAAGCAGAAGAAGAUAGAGCCACCAUAUCUCAGCUGCUGAAGAAGAAUAAGGUCAGCCACAAAUCCAAAAGGCCAUCCAUCUCUUCAAUCGUAGAGUCUCUACUAAUCGUAGAGACCAGACCAAACACCUCGAGCAAAGAAACUGCCACACCUGAUAGUCUGGGUGAUCAACAAGACAAAACUAAAGUUCAAAAAAGUCCUGAGGUUGUGGCUCAGUCUAGAAAAUCAAGAAGAAAGCUGGUCAAGAAAUAUAUCCUUGAAAAUGAAAAAGUGCUCAAGGAGGAAGACAAGAGUAUGGCUGCCAAAACGGAACUGUCUAAAGCAAACCAAGAGGACGAUGCUCCAGCUGAGGGGAAGAUCCCUGAAGUUCUGAUGAUAGAGAAUACACUAGCUGAGGGGAGAUGCCUGAAGCUCUAGAAAAUUCUCCAGCUGAGGGGGAGCUUAUGAGCUUACAAGAAAAUGAUCAAGUUGAGGGGGAGCCUCAUGAUAUUCCCUUGACAGAAGAAGCUACUCCCACACAAAAUGAGGAAGAACUAGAGCAAGAGCAAAAUGAAGUAAGUGAGAUACAAGAAUCCCUAAAAGAAGAUAGGAAAUAAAAAGGAGAAGAAGAUGAUGAUGACCUUGAGAUCACUGGUGUGGGCAAAGAUGGGUAUAGAAGUUAUCUCUACAAUCAGAUGUUCUCUUACCUACCCAUGAUGCCAUAUCCUCAAGCCCAAAUCCUAAAUUCUUGGAACCACAUGUUCUGGAGCUUCAAAGAAUACCCAACCAUCACUGUGCUAGCUCAAGGUUUCCCAAGCACCUUCAAAUUUGCCAAGAAACUCGUCACAAAUGAACCCACCUCAAGAGUGGUGCAUUAGGUAUUAUCUAUUCCAAUCUUUUUCAGAGUAAACCAUUAUCCCCUAUCUUUUUCAAGCCAAUUCUAUGAAUUUCCAAGUUGGUUGGAAGUAGUUCUGAAUCCACCAAGUCAAGUCUUAAUUAUAGAAUCCCAAAAGUUUGUGAUUGAUGAACUAGAUAUUCCAAACUUCAUAUUGCUCUCACAACCCAUCAUCUCUACGAUCACGGACUUUAGCCUUAUUGCAGAGUCUCCACCUCAAAUCGUAGAAUCACCAAACUCAAACAUCCGAACCCAGUCCCCUCCAUCGGAUAUUCCCUCCUCAUCCAACAAAGAAUACUUCAAUCUCGAUCUUGCCCUCUACUCCCUGCAAGAUCAAUCCCAGAAAACAUCCCCUCCAUUAAAUAAUCCUCAACCCAGUGAUCCACUCACAAAUCUGCCCACGAAAGAUAACUUGAAUGAAGUGUCCAAGAACGUGGUCAAGAACAUCAAUGAAAGCCUAAAAACUCACUCAGACCACAUUCAUCUCUGGCUGACUCAAAUGAUCAUUGAUGCAAAUAAUCUCCCCGGCACUCUGAACGCUGAGCUUACAAAGAAGCUGAGGGAAAUUAUCAAGGAAAUACUUCAAAGAAUGAAGGACAGAGAUGAGAUUCACUUCCGGAUAGCCACCAAACAAAGAGAGGUUGUUCUUGAAAUGCAGAAAUCUCAAGAAGCCCAAAAUAACCUUAUGAUGGAGAACAUCAUCAACCUGAAAGCUUCAGUCACAGAAUUUUAGAAAGCCUGUGUAAACCAAGAACAACAAACUGACACUAUUCUAGCUGCCCUCCAGAAUAAAGAAGCUCGAUCUGAAGCCCUGGUCAAGGAAAAUUGAGAGGACAUUGCUCAAACGCAAAGCCAACUCAACGAGCUUGUCCAAGGAGUGACUCGACUAUCUGAAGACAUUCGAACCCUUGAUGCUGAUAUAAAGGGGGAGAAUAAAGGGAAAGGAGUUCAAGGAGGCCAUGGCAGAGGCAGAGGAGUUCAAGGAAGCCAGGGAAGAGGUAGAGGACAGUUUUAUACUCAAGCGUCAAGAAGUUCUCCUGCAAGAAAAUUCCACCAACAGACUCCACGAUCAAGCAAUCAGACUCAACGAUCUGAUCAACAGGAAGUCUUGAUGGCUCAGCCAAUAAGGAGUCAAGGGCCAGCUACCAGCUCACAAAAUGUGACCACCACAGGCCUAAGAAUGCCAAUUGGAGAUCCUGCAUUCAUGAAUAGGCAUGAUCACAACCCAAGGAUAAGCCCAAGUGAGCUGGAAGAGAUAGUCAGAAGGGAUGAAUCAAGCAGGAAAAGAAGGGCUGAGGAGUAUGCCAAUCCUCCAUGCAAAAGACCAAAGAAAUAAAGAUAAGUGAAAGUUUAAAUUCUUAUUGAUGUGAAGCUAAAUUGUAAUACUCUUCAAUCAUCAAUAAAUUCAUGCUUAUUCUCUAGAAAUUUCAGCUGCUCACUAAAAUACUAAGUCAUGUUUAAAUUUCCUGAAAUUGCAUCUAGAUACUAAUAAUCAUGAAAACAAAAUCUCCUUGGUUAUGUCAACAUCAAAUAGGGGGAGAUUGUUGGGAGAAUGCAUAUGUUAAUUUGAUAUUUAAAUAUAAAUGCUCAUGAUUAUUUGUAAAGUCAUUCAAGGAAUAUAUGUACAAGGACUUAGUGAUAGAUCAAAUUUUUUAGGUUGAUCUAAGCUCUUAAUGUGUAUCAUUCUGGAAAUGAAUGUAUAGAUAGAAAGAUCAAAGCUAUUAGGAUCAUCUUGAGAUGUAAUAGAUAGGCUUCGAAGAAUUUGUAGUGUAUAUAUCUGAUCAAUAUUAUAGAAGUCAAGGCAGAAAACGUAGAGCUUAAAGGAUCGUAGUGUGCCUGCCUUGAAGGGCCUCUUCGGAAAUUGUAGAGUGGUCCCAACAUUUGCCGAGCCAACUCAGAGAUCGUAAUGUGCUCUCGAAAACAUAGAGUUUACAACUCAAGAAAAUGAAGAGCGUAGUGUUCAAAUAGUUAAGUGAAAUCGUAGUGCUCUUGGCUAAUAGAAUCAGACCAAGCACCAUGGUGAUAAGUCACCACGAUCUGAAUCGUAGAGUACCACGAUCUGAAUCGUAGAGUACCAUGAUCUGAAUCGUAGAGUAUCAUCUGUCUUAUGUCAGAAGCAUCAAGCCUCACGAUUUAUAUAGAGACAAACUCCAACAUAUGAGGAAUGCAUUCUAAACGUUGUAGUACUCACCAGUCCCAAAGUCAUAAGAAAUAUCCUUAGUAUGCAACAAAGAAGCGUAUUGAAGAAGCUAAGGAAAGUACCUUUGGUAAGGGGGAAAAUGUGAGACCCCGAAUUAUAUGAAAUGAAAGUAUUCAAUUUUCUUAUAAUUAUUCUAUUUAGUAAAUGGUUAAAUUGAUAAAAAGGUUAAAGUUAAGGGUGAUAUUUGAUAAUUUUUCAAAGUAGACAAGUUGUCAUAAAAUACCCAGUUACUAUUCACUUCAGUAUUAUUCACUCGGGUAUUUGGGGCACUUUUUGUGUCGGAGUGCUAUUCACGAGCUACUAUUCAUUAGUUACUAUUUAGGAGUUACUAUUCACGAGUUACUAUUCCCGAAGUACUAUUCACGGGGUACUAUUCACCCAAAAAAUAUAUUUCUUUAUUUUUGGAUACAAUAUUAUUCCAUGAGGAGAUGUCCUAAUUUUUCAGACCGUUGGUUGAAAUUAUAAUAGUAAAUCAAUAUGGGUCGUUGGUUUAAAGUUUUAAUAGUAAAAGCUUUUUAUAUAAAAUAGAAUACUUUUAUAAAGUUAUUCUAUAAAUAGAAUAUGUUAUAUUCUAUUAUGCAUAGUGUUUUACAUAGUAAAAUCUUUUUAUAUAAUACAGAAUACUUUUAUAAAGUUAUUCUAUAAAUAGAAUAUAUUAUAUUUUAUUAUGCAUAGUGUUGCAUAGUGUCUGCAUAGUGUUUUGCAAAGUAAAAUCUUUUUAUAUAAAAAAAAAUACUUUUAUAAAGUUAUUCGUUUUAUUAGAUUAUAAAUAGAAUAUAUUUUAUUUUAUUUAAAAGAUUUUGCUUUAAAUAUGGACUGUCCGAUUAAAAGUAAAUCAAUCUGGACCGUUCAUGAAUUAGUUACUAUGCAAUCCAUUCUUCUAUAAAUAGAAGCUCAUUCCUACAUUAUUUUUUACGAAUUCACUAAAACUCUAGAGAGAGAAACUAUAGAGAAAGUUCUUCUUCUAUAAUCUUGAGCGUAUUUCUUUAGAGUUUAAGAAAGUUUUGAGCGUAGUACAAGUUUCUUCGAGUAUAUCCUCGCCCUACCAGUCGGAAUAUUCUUCUUUCAAAAGUAGGGGAUAUUAUUUGUUGUACUCGUAAGGGGUAUUAUUUCUUUCGUAUUCAUGAAGAAAACUUCUGUUAUUCCAUUUUUUAUUAUUCUAUUGGAAUAACAUGUCUGUGCGGUCUAUCGCGUGCCUGGUGAAUUCUGUUGUUAUUCCAUUCUUAUUAUUCUAUUGGAAUAACCUGUUUAUGCGAAGUACCGCAUACAUGGUGAAAUUCUUCUAAUAUUUCGUUCUUUAUUAUUCUGUCGGAAUAUCCUGUCUGUGCAUUUACGCUGGACCUGGUUCCAUUAAUUAUUAAUCUGUCGGAAUAUCCUGUCUGUGCGUUUACGCUGGACCUGGUUCCAUUAUUUAUUAUUAUGUUGGGAAUAACCUGUCUGUGCGGAUUACACACGCAUGGUGAAAUUCUUCUAUUAUUCCAUUCUUUAUUAUUAUGUUGGAAUAACCUGUCUAUGUGAAGUACUGCAUAUGUGACACCCCCAAAUCAGGGUUACCUGACCCCCGAGUUUGGUGUUCACAAUCCAAAUAUAAAUAACAUUUAACUACCCAUAAUAUAUAGAUAGUAACUUACAGAAGUUUUUAUCAGAGUUUAAUAAUACAUUACCCAGGUUCUCUAACCUUAACAUUACAAACAUACCCUUUAGAUAUACAAAAAGGGUUUACAAAUACAACAUCAUAAAUAUGUUAAUCAUAACUAGUUUAUUACAACGCCUUCGCCUUUAUUCUUCGCAGCACCUCCUUCCACUUCGUUUCUAGCUAAAAUGUUUUAUUUAGCAAGGGUGAGCAACAAAUUUGCCCCGCAAGUUAAUACAUACAAUAAAUGGAUAAGUAUUCAAAUCACCAGACUAUCUAUUUUAAUAGAAUGAAACCAAAGUUUGGGGAACUUUGAAAUAGCUGAACAAAUUGUUAUUCAAUAACAAGUCUUCUCGUUUUUUAAUCAACACAAUAAUUCCAUGAUGAAAGAUUACAACGCUUUCAAAGUUUCUACGAUAUUCUAAUGAAUAAUCAAAAAUCAAUUCUACGAAAUAUCAAAGUGGAAUGUUUUUCCAGAUUUAUACUGAGCGAUCCAUUGGAUCUUGAACUUCUCUUCUCGAGUAACUAUCAAAGUUAUACUUUGAUAUACCCAGGUGUAUCAGAUAACCGUAAAGAUUAAAUCAUACCCCUCUGCAAGUAUAACAAGUGAUCAGCUUAUUAUACCCUAUAUUAUGCAUAAUAUUUAAGUCGUGCGCAAUGAUCGAAUAUACGAUUUAAUGAUAUUCCCUUUUUAUAAAAGGUUGUUCUUCUCAGUCUCAGAAUCAAGAUUUUGAUUUAACAACGAAAUAUUGUGAUUUCAAAUUCUGUUUACUUCUAGAUCUUAGCCGAAAUAAUUGGCAUCGAUCUAUCAAUAAUAAUUGAAUUCUCUUCUCGAACUUAUCAAGUUCUAACAAAUGUUCGUCUCGCUAGAAUAAUUAGCUAAGACAUUUCUCAAUGUAAUUUGACAAUAAACAGGAAUUAUCUGUAUUGUCAAUUCUAACUUCUACAGAUAUGAAUAUCCAACAACAGUUAUUCUACAAAUAUAUAUUUCUGAAUCAAUAAUUCAAUUUGAAUUAUUAAGCAAGCACUAACU